rnacentral:lncRNA from 1 species
AAUUCAGGAAGCAUGGCUAAUAGCAAAGUUAGCAUCCUUACUCUCCUCCUAAUCUGCGGUAUGGUUACUGAUCUGUGCACUUUUUUGUAACUUAUAUUGGCUGAAUUUUGACACUUCUAUGAUGGCCAAGUAUUUUAUCAUUGUGAAACAAUAUUGCAAAAAUACUGUAAUAUAGGUCUUAUGAUAUUAGUUAAGCAGUCAUCUGCUGCCCAUUGGUAAAUAUUGUGUGUUUUGAUAAAGAGAAGCAUUGAAGAAGUUGCUUGUGCAUAUAAAGUAUUAAGAUUUUAGAUAAAUUUUUACAUGCAUGCAGUUGAAUUUAUUGAUCAUUUUCUUUCUGGGCAUUUUUUCCUUAAUUAUUAAGUUUUUCCACUGUUAAAUUAAUCUUUUCUUCAUAUGUUUGUGGAUUCUAAAGUGAUGUUGCAAUACUAUAAGUUACGCCAUUAAGUUGUAGCGUGACAUAUACAUGAUUUUAUCUUAACUACGUAUUGAAUUUUCUCGACAAGAUUGAGCUAAACAAUAGGUUUGAUUUCAAUAUUAUGUUUUUCUUUCUAUGAUAGCAUUGUUUUUCUUGGGAAGCAAAGUGCAAUAUGCUGAAGCCCAAAGGAAAAUUUUUACCCACAAGUUUGCCUCAAAGUUGGCUACAUGACUUGCCCAAAAUCUGGUCCUAAGAAGCUUCAUCCGGCUGCACAAACUGUUGCAAAGUAAAGAAGGGCUGCAAACUUUACAGAUCUAAUGGAAGCCUAAUUUGUACUGGAAAGCAAUUGGAUAUGAGAUAAAUCUUAAAUAAAUUGUCAUAUGCUUAUGCUAUAAACAGGCAAAAUAAUAAAUGAAUCUCUUAUAAUAAAUCCAAGAUUCAGGUUUAAUUGUAUUGAUGGACGUUGUUUCUAUGAAAUUAUCCUUUACAUAAUUACUUCUCUAAGUUUUUUGGGCGAGACUUAGUUGUUGUAUAAUCUUUUGUUCAUCUACUAGCUACCCUGGACCUCCUGCAUAAUCAAAAAAUUGUUGUAAAAACAGAAAAUGCACACAGCAUGAUGAGGGACAAUACAAAAAUUCAAUCGAAAUAAUAGAUAUAUGUACCCAUGGAUCUCUUGAGGAUAAAAUUUACCUCUGGCACAUAUGAAUAGAUCAUGACUAGGUGGGGCUUGCUGUUACACCAACUUUAUUCAUAGUCAAAGUCAAAAUUAUUCAUUCAAAGUCAUCAAUUCAUUUGAUCAAAGUCAAAAUCAAAUAAGGACUUGAUUUGAAAAAGAAAUUCUUAUGGGAACUAUUAUAAGCUAGUCGUAUUUGUUGGGACUAAUUGGUAAUUAUAGAAACAAUUAGGUAAGUUUUAAAUGAAACAUACGGGUUAAAUUGCAAACUAUGGCAAAGUGGAGGGCCUCACUAAUGAAUAUAUAAUUAUUUUCCCAUUUAACUUGAGGAGUAGAGAAGACAGAGGGAAAAAAGAAGAAUCGAGGAACGGGAAGAAAAAAAAAAGGAAAGAGAAGAAAAGAAGAAAAAAGGAAGGAAAGAAAAAGAGAAGAAGAAGAAAGAAUGUACUUUUCAUCAUAGGCAAAGAUACGCAAGAGAAACACAACAACAAGAGAUGGCUAAUGCAUAAAACAAUCCGAUUAUUCAAGUGAAUGAAGGUGCAGUGGUCUAUGAAGGAAAUAUGCCAAUUGGGGACUUCAUGACUCCACAAAUUAUUAAGAGCCAAUCUAACAUCGUUUAUCCUCUUUUUGGAUAGCCAAAUUUUAAGUUGAAGACCAAUGCUAUCUAGCUAUUUCAGAAUGGACAUCAAUUUUAUGGCAGAGCCAAUGAAAAUCCACAUAUACACGUAUCUCAAUUUUUGGAGAUGUUUCAACACUUUUAAUAUCAAGGGGUUUCAAAUGAUAUGAUCAGAUUGAGAUUAUUUCCACAUAUUCUACGGGAUAGAGCACUUGAACGGUUAGAUUCAUAGCCUAUUGCAUAUCAAUAUUCGGAAUGACUUAGCUUAAAAAUUAUGCAUCAAAUUCUUUCCACCAGCAAAGAUAUCAAAAUUGAAGCAUGACAUAUCCAUAUUUUGGUAGGGAGAAAUCGAAUCCUUCGAUGAAGAUUGGAACAGAUUCAAGAAUAUGCUUCAAAAAUGUCCUUAUCAUGGCAUUAGUAAAGGGCUUCAGGUCUAAUAUUUUUAUGCAGGUCUACUUUCAUCUUACAAAAGUAUGGUUGACUAAUCAUCCAAUGGCUUCUUAACCACGAAGACAAUUGAUGAAGCAUUGGAGUUGUUUGACAGAGUGGCUACUACUACAGCCACGUGGGUUUUUGAGUGGGUUGUUCAUAAGAAGGCAGGAAGAGUAAAUGAGGUGAACACCAAUAACUGGGUUAUCUGUAAAAAUUGAUUCUUUGGCUCAUAAGGUUAAGAGCAUAUCACAGUCAAUCAAUGUAGUACAAUUCAAGCGGCUAAGUUGUGAAGAAUGUGGGACAUAUCAUAUUAUAGUAGAUUGUCCAAUUCUUGCACAAAAUAUUGAACAUGUUGAAUAUGUACAAGGAGGUCAGCACCAACAAAAUAACCCACAUUCUGAUACAUAUAACUCAGGUUGGAGAAAGUACUCGAAUUUUUCUUGGGGUAAUCAAAAUCCUACUGCAUUGCACGAUUACCAGUAUUAGCAGCCUGAAAAGAGAGUUCUACUAGAAGAAAUGUUUGGAAAAUUUAUAGAAAGGACAGAGCACUAUACAAAGUUAAACAAUCAAUUUAUGAGAAGAACUGAGAUAACCCUUAAAAAUCAAAGUGCUGCAAUCAAGAACCUGAAAACUCAAAUGGGAUGGAUGACACUUGCCAUAUCAAGUAAAGUAGCAGGUACCCUACCGAGCAAUACUAAUACUAACUCCAAGGAGCAAGUAAUGGCUAUAAGUAUUUUAGAGGAUGUAAUAAUUGAGUAUCCCUCUGUGAAAGCAAUUACAACAAAAAAAUGGUGUGUAGUUGCCAAUUAUGAACAAAGUGAAUACAAGAGAUGAGGAGCAAGUGGAUGGUCUAAACAAUCAAUCGAGAAAAUUUUGAAAGAGAAUAGAGGCAAUCCACAAUUUAAAGCACCGAUCCGGUCAGAGAAUAUAGCUCCCAUCUUGUUUCCACAAAGGUUAAAGAAACACAAGCUAGAUAAAUAGUUUGAGGAGUUUUUUAAUGUACUAAAAAAACUCCACAUCAAUAUCCUGUUCAUAGAUGCGAUAAGGCAAAUUUCAAGCUACGCAAAAUUUUUGAAGGAUGUGAUAUCAAAGAAAAAAAAGCUUACGAAAUUUGAAACUGUGGAACUGAUAGAGGAGAGCAGUGCAAUAUUACAAAAUAAACUGCCUCCCAAACUCAAGGAUCUUGGGGUUUUACUUUACCCAUUUCAAUUGGAGAAGCUGGUUCUUUCAAUACUUUAUGUGAUACAGGCACAAGUAUUAAUUUAAUGCCUUUAUAUGUAUUCAAGAAAUUGGGAUAAUGGAAAGCAAAAGAUACAACAAUGUUAUUGUAGCUUGCUGAUAAAAGUAUUAAAUAUCCAAGAGGUAACAUUGAGGAUAUACUCAUCAAGGCUGACAAAUUUAUAUUUCCAGCAAACUUUAUUGUUCUAUACAUAGAAGAAGAUAGAGAUAUUCUAAUAAUCUUGGGACGUCCAUUCUUAACAACUGGUCGAACUUUGAUUGAUAUGGAGAAAUGUGAACUUAUAUUAAGAGUUUAUAGGGAACAAUAAUUUUUAAAAUACACAAUACAUCCAAACAACUAUCAAAUCUCGACUAACUUAAGUGUAUUGAUGAAGAUGAACUAUCCAUUGAACAAAAUUGUCAGAAUAGAAAACCAAAAUUUGGAGGACUUAUUGGUAGAGACAAUAACAGAGAAUUCAUAGUUUAGAGAGAUAAAAGGGGAUGCAAAGCUAGAAAUUGCAAGGAGUACAAGACAAAACAUUUCAAUUUAAAACACCUCAAGGAAAUCACCCCAAAAGUCGAGCUCUAAGUUAUAAAUCGAGCGUUUAAUGGGAAGCAACCUAUUUUUCUAUCACUUUUCACUUAUUUCGAUUAAUUGUUGCAUUACAUGUAGUUUUAGGGAUUGCAUUAAUUUAAUAACUCAAGCAUUUAAAUGAUUUGCUCUGAACACAUUUUAGGUAAUACUUUAAGACUAGCAUCAUUAAUUUAGGCAUGUUUAAGUUUAUUUUUACUUAAACUCAUCGUUAACAUCCUAGCAUUAUAUUAAGCUUACCUUGAUGUGAUAUGCAUUUUCAAGGUUUGCACUUAGACUUCAAUAUCCAACCUAUUUUGAAUGACUUAUCUUUUCCUAGCUAUAGGAUUUUUGUAGGGAUGACACUCUAUCCAAACAUUAUAUGACUAGAAAUUUUUUUGGUGUAAAUUCAUUACAAAUAUUUAAACCUUAUUUGCUAUCACUAAUAUUUAUUUUGAAUGCUUGAAAUAGAAAAUUAAAGCCUAGCAAUAAAGAAAAGUGGCAGUUGUCAUGACUUCUACUAGCUGAGCCAACUUGAUCAUUCUACCUAUCAGCAUCUACUCCGAUGAGUUUCUGAUCCUAACAUCUAUUAUUCUUGCUCCUGCAUUGGAAGUAUUGUAAUAUAAUGCUGUCUAGUUAGAGUUGAAUGACUUGACGCCAAAGAUUAUAUUUAUUUGUUUGAAUUAAGUACAUGUUUAGUUAGAUACUAGACAACACCAUAAUUGUACUUUUACUUGAAAAUUUAUCUAUGUUAGAUUUGAUUAUUUGAGCACAUAGCCAUAUUGAAUUAUUAGUUAUGUUGGGACAUGACUGAAUUAAGUGAAUUUAAUUGUUGAUGGUGUUGAUCUAGGUUUGAAUAAAAUUUUCCAAAUCCUUUAUAGAAACUAAAUGGUUGUAAAUCAGUUUUGGGGCAGGAAGGUUAGUGAUUGUUUUCAUAGAUGUGUGAUGGUUUGGAAUUCUUGGAUCCCAACAUUAGUUGAAGGAGUUUGAGAUAAAGAGUCUAAAAUGGGUAUUGAUCAUCCUUAAAAAAAAAUUCAAAUCUCAUACAUAUGUAACCUCUUUCGUAGCCUUUAUGACUCAAGUGAUUAAGCCUGCUAAGGUCUUUAAAACUUGGUGCCCUAUAAUCGUCUGGUUUGGGAGUCAUAGGUCUAAUGCUCGCUACAUGGGAUCAUUUAGAAAGUUUAAUAGAAAGAAGUUUUACACAUAAGAUAUUAAAAAAAAAGAAUGAAAAGUCAGAUUCUCAUAUUAAAAGAAAAGGUGACAAAUCUUCUACCCCUCAUCGUAAACUUUUUUAAUCGAGUUAUUAAGUCUGGAAGGGGAUUUAAAAUUUUGGUUUCCAUUGUCGUCUUAUUUGGGAGUCAUCGACCUAAAGCUCGCUACAUGCAUUAUUUGGAAAGCUUAAAGGAGAGAAGACUUGUACAGGAGAUGUAAAAAAAAAAAAAAAUGAUCUAAAUAAUCAAAAGUGAGAUGUGCUGGGUGAAGACUUUGAGAUUAACCUCUUGGGAUUAGUAGUGUGACUUUGAGAAACACUUACCAUCUUCUUCCUAGAUUUACAUAUAUGCAAACCUCUUGAGUGAAAAAUGCGUUAUAAUAAUUUUUAGAAACCCAUACGUGCUAGAAGUACCUAGGGCUUUGGGAGAAAAACAUAUGGAUUGAUCAUGCACGAGAGGCAUGAGGAAAAACUAACCACAAGAGGAUUGUGAUUGCGCAUAAAUCAACAUUACUUGAUUAGUUGUGUUCCAGUAUGGGUGUGAGUUCAAUGUUGGCUAGUCAUACACACACUAAGUCGAGCAUCAGAUAAGUAAAAAUCUAUUUUAAUAUUAUUUGGAUCUUUCUAAAGAAUUGCUUAAAUUUGAAUCUAAGGCUUAUGAUAAGCGAUUCAGCGUUGAGUCUUUUAUUUGUGAUUUGUUUGGGUAAGUUAUAUGUAUCAUAUCUAAGUUUUAUUUUAUUUUCUUCGAGGAUGAACAAAUGUUUUAUUUUGGGUUGUUUGAUAAGUAUAUUAUUGUGCACUUAUUUAGGACAUAUUACUAAACUUUUAUGUCAUCAAAUUGUUGAAUUUUAUUUAACUUGGGUUAAUUUUCUUUUAUUUUACUAAUGGACUCAUUUGAAUCAAUUGAAAAGAAAAUAAGCAUUGCUUGGUUGUUAAAUAGAAUUUUGUGGACUAAAUCUCAUUUGAAUAAAAGUUGGAGAAUCAAAAUCGAGGAGAAAAUGAAGGAAGGGUUAAGUUGCAUCACAUGGAAGAAUUGAGUCCUUAGAAGAUAAAUUGCAACUAAUUGGGCCUCAAAAUAAUGAAAAGUGAAAUCUAAUUGGGCCUAAAGUGGAAUUUUAAUUGUAAUUAAAUUGAAUAAUUAAUGGAACGUUGAAUAGAAAUUGCAACUAAUUGCACCUCAAAUUAAUGAAUAGUGAGAAUUUAAUUGGGCAUAAAGUGGAUUUUUAAUUUUAAUUAGUGGAAAUUACACCCACCCUACUUUUGGAGAUGUGAUUUCUCAAAUCAGGUGGGGUGUGUUUUCUUUCAUAAAUCAGAAAUAUAUUUAAUUUAAUUAAUAUAUAUAUGUUCCAACCAUAUCCUGUGAUUAUAGAGUUUUAUUUUGAGAAAACUCUUUAGCUUCCAUAUACUUUGUAACCGCACCCCACGUCCAUAAUAUUACUCCCACGACAUGACCGUAUGAAUCCCUCACCAUCUAUGCCAACGACCCGGCCCUCCGGUGAACUCCCGAAUGCAGCCAACACGCACAUUAUCCUCCCGCCUUGUAACCUCAUUGUACAUGUGUUAUUAUUACUUAGUUGGUGUGUGGGACGUGAGAUUAAUGGCCCGUUCGAAGACCGGAAAUCUGGUGAAGAAAGCCACAGAUUCUUCAGAUGGUAGGGCUAAAAGGAAGGUUGAGGAAUCACAUAAUGUAUUCCUAUCGAAAAGGCACAAAUCUUCCCAGUCGGGCUUGAUGGCUUUUGCAAAAAAGGUAUUUUUGGCUGUAUCAUGUUGAUUUAAUUUGAUUUACAUUCAUGAACCCCUAAAGUUUAUGGGUAUGGAGCAUUUGCUUUUGUGUUUUAAACAUGUAAAGCAUGCUAAGUUCGAUUUGUGAAUUUGUUGUACGGGGUGAUUCCAUUUAUGUCGUACAAGUUUCUCGUGAACACGUUGGCUGUCGUACUACUGCAGGUCAUGGGUCUUAUGCAUACUCAACUAUUAAAGUUGUUUUUUGAUCGACCGAAUGAUGAAGAAUUGCAUAUGCAAUGUCCCUAAUCCAUGUGUGCCCAAUUUUUUUUUUUUCAUUCAUCUGUGACCAAUAUACAAUUUGGAUAUCAAUGCGUAACUUUGUAUCCGUGUGACCUGUAAAUUGGUUACUACUGUACUCACUUAUGUGACCAACUAGUUUACUUCUUCAUGCUGCUAUCAUGCAUAUUCGGAGAUAUGUCUCAUAAAAUGGACCUUGUUGCCUUGUGUAUUAUGAUUUUAGUACUUUACACGUGUGACAUUUGUCACUGAUUUUUCUCGUCAGCAUGUAGGUUUGGAGCCUUAUUAUACCAAAGAAUCGUUGGUUCCCUGGAAAAAUCAUUGUUAUUCCUACCAAGCGGGUGCUGACCAAGUUCCAAUAAAAUCUUAACGAGGCACAACAGAACAUACUUCGUAACACAUGUUUCGGUCACUUUUUGGAUUGUCACGAAAUCGUUGUUCAAUCUCAGUUGAUUCAUUAUUUCCUGUUGAGGCAUGUUCGACAAUCAACGAGAAUGAAUUGUGGUUUGACAUCGUAGGGAGAUUUGUUAGAUUCUUUGUGACUAAAUUUUGUUUGGUUUCUGGACUCUGAUAUUCUGGCAACGACGAUACAAGUAGGUUCGAGAAGUCACCGUCAAUCUUGAAAGAAAAGUAUUUCAGUACCUUGAAGGCCGUCACACACGAAGAUGUCAAGGACGUGUUUCUUGCUGCAAGGGACAUUCCAGAUGAGGACGUUUCUAGACUUGCGGAAUUCUCUCCCAUCUCAUGAAGCAUAUUGGAGUCUAAAAAAAAGACUUAGGUGCUUAUUCGGAUGAAUCCAUGGAGUUGGAGGUGCUGCUAGACUUCUCACUUCUGCAGCAAAAAAAUGGGUACAUUUGUGACCACAAUUUUUCAUCUCAAAGAAGUAGAUAAUGGUAAUCUCGUACCUAAUUACCUCUUUCUUCUUUUUCACUCAUGACUACGGCAUUUAUGUGAUCAAGUAUGUUGAGUAUAUGUUGAUUUGAUGCUGGUAGAGCACAUCUAGAUAUAGCUUUGUUGCUAUACAAACAUUGUGAAAUCAGGAAGGAAGGGAACAAAGUGCAUCAGACUAGGGGUAAAAGCAUAGUUAUUGAGUGAUAGUUGUUUAUCCUUUCUACUAAUUAUUUUUGGAUAUGUAUUCAGAUCUAGUCAUUAAUUUUUGUUGGAUGGUAGAUAUAUUUCCGUGGAUAGUAGUUUGUAAUGAAUACAGUUUGCUUGCUUCUUGGUUGUGUUUAUGUAAUUUGCAGUGAUGAGAUUGAAAAUUUUGAAUCUAUAUUGAUUGAGCAUUGUAGUUCUGGUAUGUGCGUAAUGUUUAAAUUAGAUGUCACUGGUAUUCUUAAAUAGUCACAGGAGUGUCGACACUGUUACAACACAUUUGAAAUAUGAGUCUUACACCGUUAAAGGUUUUUGUUCAUGGUUGCCGUACAAGUCACAUAUGGAAAUAGUAGUUUCGUACGCUGCUAUACAUGUUUGCUUUUCAGGUCACAUAUUUCAAUAUAAACUUGUAUACACAAUAGGUAACCGUUGUGUUGUUGAAAGUUACAAUAUUAUAUCUACGAGAUAAAUAUAGGUCACAUUUAUUUACCAAUGGUCUCAAAACCUUUCAUUUCACAUGUCACAAUAUUCUUAUCGAUAGUCACAUGGUAAAUUCUUACAACAUUGUAGGUCUCAUAUGUCCGUUUAUUUGGUCACAACGUGUUUUCAUUGGGUCAUAUAUUGAGAGUGUUAUAACAUAUGUAACAGAGAUUUCUCAUAUGUCACAUUAAAUUAUCAUUUCCAUUUACGAGAUACCACUUAAUUCCUUUACCUCAUAGGUCACAAAUUCAUUGUAUGAAGUCACAGAUUCACUUGUGCCCGACAUUAUAGGUCACGGAUGUCUGUCUUCUUUGUCACAUCAUUUCUGUCAUAGAUAUAUAGCCUCACAAGACGUCACAAUAUGUGACAUUACACUAUCAUGUGAAACAUGAACGAGAAUUCACUAAUUUCGUUCACUGCACAGGUCACGGUUUCUAUUGUCCGAAGUCACAGGUUAAUGUGCGGGAGAUCAUUACAGGUCACAGAUUUUUUCUAUUAUUUUCUCACAGUAUUUUCGUCACUCGGCCAGGUCUGUUGUGUGUCUCUACACAUGUCACAGAUUAUUGACAUAUGUCCUAUUACCAUUUCACGUACAUUAACGAGAAGUCACUGAUUGGUCUGUGACUGUCACAUAACAAUUUCAGCGCUUGCAAGAAUGGUCAUAGAUGUUUGUAAAUUUGACAAUAGCUUGUCACAUACAAUUGUUCACUUGUCACAUGAUAUUGGUGCAUGUCAAAAUAAAACAUAAACUUCUUCAUCGGCCAUAUAGUAUUGACAACACCAAUACACGAAUAAUCAUUUAUUAUGAAUGUCAUAUAACAAAGAUCGAUGAUUCAAAAUAUUAAAAAAUCAGUCCAUAUUGAUCAAUUCGCAACACCAGUUGUCUUUCUUUUCCUUUGUUUCCUUUCUCUUGGCUUUGACUUAAUGGAACUAAGUUGUUGUAGGUGCGGCGGUUGUGACCACGUUCACCACAACGUUCACAUUUGAUAAUUAUGGUUUGUUCACAUGAUGAUCUAAAUCUCUUUUCUGUAGGCCUUCCACAAUUGCGCUUUUGAUUGGGUGCCAAAAUAACCAUUUCUCGAAAAUCUUCUGGCAUGGUCCAUUCAGUUGGAUUCUCAACAGGAAAGAUUACUUCUUGGUAAGUUUUCUUGUAUGAUUCUGCUGUGUAAUAGUAUAAAUAGUACUCAUUUGGAUCCAUCUUCAUACUAGCAAUCACAGCCAAUGAGUGUGGACACGGAAGUUGAUCAAUUCAAAGCAUUCGACAUGUGCAUGUAUGCUGUUCUAUAUCGAAAACGAAAGAUGAACUGUCACCACUAACGCAAAAUAUUGCCUAGGUGAUAGGACUGACCUACAAUUAAUUAAGAAAGUUAUAUCUGUAAAAUGUUAUAUUUAACAAAAAAUCACAGACAAUGUAAACCAUGCGAUACACUACGCAAUUUAAUAGUUAUACAAACGGAGAUUAGUUAUUGCAAAAGACAUUACCUUUAAGUUCCUAAUAUCUGUGUUCAUUUCUCGUAACUGCCUCUGUACUUGCUUGACAACUUUGUGAACGUACCAUAUGCAGUAUCUCUAUGUUUACAGAACCAAGACUGUAUUGUUUGUCGCAAUGACUCCAGCAAUGCUAUAAUUGGGUAGUUCUUGGCAGACUUUAUGAUUGCAUUAAACGACUCUACUAUAUUUGAGGUUAUUGUGGAAUACCUAUUUGUGGGCAUGUGAUAUUGUGACCAUUUCUUAGGUCCAACGUCAUCCUACAAAAUAAAGACAUGACGAUGCAUAUAAUAUUUUUUCACAGUAGGGAAAAUGUUUGGAUACCAAUAUAGAUUGCAGAUAAUAUGUAUUUCAUAUGCCAAGUAAUCUGUUAUGUUCUCAUUAAUUGCAGCAAGCUGUUGCAUGUGAUAUUCGUAUUCCGACAAUGUGUAAGCUCGAACGGCUGCAUUGAACAACUGCGCUAUGUUGUGACUUGAUUUUUCGUAACGUGUUUUAAGAUUCUGUAGGAGAUGAUAUGAACAAAUCCCAUGAUAUGUUCCUGGAUAGACUUUUUCAAUGGCAUUUUUAAUAUUGUUGUGAUGAUCUGAAACAAAACAUAGCCUUUCUCUACUUCCGUAAGCUCGCUUCAAUUCUUGUAGAAACCCUAUCCAAGAACUAUCAUUCUCAUUAUCCCCAUUUCGAAAGCAAGAAUAAAUAUGUUGUUGUUUGCAUCUUGGGUACAAGCUGUGAAUAGGGUCCUACCAUAAUGUCCAUUCAGAUAUGUCCCGUCUACCACAACAACAGGCCUACAAUGUUCCCAUCCACGGAUUACUGUGACUAUCAAACUCUAUUCUUGUGACCAUCCCUUGAUUUGUUUGAUGCAGCAUAGUAAAGAAUCUCUGUAUCUUGCCAAAUGAUUUCGUUGGAUCAUCCCUAAUCAUUCUUAAAGUCUCCUCGCGAGAUCUCCAAGCCUUCACAUAGUUCAAAGACGCUCCAUAAGUAUGCAACAUAUCAUUUUGUAUAUCAUUUAGAGUGUAUAUAGUGCGCGAUGAUAUGUAUUUGUAUUUAAUACAGAAGGACACAAUCGAUUUUGUUACUUACCUGUGAUACCCCAGAACAAUAUUCGAUGCACAUGUGUGUCCGUCUACAAUAUGUCUUAUUUUAAAUAUCUCUAUUUUUCCUAGCUUCGAUGAUCUACAGAUCCAGUUAUACUCGUCACGUGAACACUUUAUAAGGUAGUAUUUCUUGUCGGAUCGAACAACAUAUUCAAACAUAUUAUGGAUUGCUUAAAAGGACAAGCUCAGAUUCAAAUCCUCCUUGUUACGGAGAACCCGUCCUUUCUGGACAUCCCUACCAUCUGCGAUCGAUACAACUGUGACCUCAUGUUCGAAACUGUCACAUGCUAGAUGUUAUAUUGCUCCACAUAUAUCUAAUGACAUUUCAAGCAACGAAAACUCAUGUUCAUUAUACUAUACACCACUUGGUACCGUGAAUUGAUGUUUCCCCAUUUCUGCUUCUGUGGCCUCAAUGCUAAUGGGAUAUUUGGAAGCGCCACGAUCCAAAUCUUUCAACGCCAUAUAUGACAACAUGUUACCGUCACUUUUGAUUAUGAUCUUAGGUAGGUCACUCUGCAACACAUAUUUCAUUGUCACUGCCACAUUGGUGGGAUCCAAUCCAAAUUUCGUCAUGACAGUAUCUACGAGCUUUGCAUACUCGCAAUUACGAUCAACCAAAACCAAUGAAACUUGCGAUCCAUUCAAUAAACAGAUGUGGAUGUACACCAUUUAUGUGAAGUCAAAUUCACCAAUUUUAGUUAAAAUUCUUAAUUCACGUCAAAAUAAAUGCUAAAUCACUCAAUUGCAAACGAGAUGGAAAAAAUAAGCUUUGAUUUGCAUGUAUGCCAUGUUUAAUGCCUGUUAUCGUGUCUAUUGUACGUCAUAGAUUUUUUGGAUACCUUUUCACAAUAAUUGUUGCAUACAUUACAACAAUAUGUUUGUCCUUAGUUGCAGAUGUAUGCUGUCACACCACAUAUCAUAGAGUUUUCACUUACAUCACAUUAAACUAUCUACGUUAUGUAUUUCUCAUGCGAUAUCAUGAUAGGUCAUUAUUUUUUAUCAGAUAAAUGCAUGGGAGGUCACAACUCCAUAUCGAGACACGUGACAAACAUAGAUCGAAAUAAUUUAUAUGCAUUUUCAGAUCAGUUCACGAACUAAAUCGUACCACCUUCGAAGUCACAGCCUUUUACGUGAAUGCGAUUUUUAGGACAGCAUGGCGUAUACAGGCUUCUCGAUUACAUAUAAUGUUUACGGUAUAACAGAAGGGUGGACAGUGUUUCAUUACAUUAAAUUUGUACCUUCAUACUGGAAAUCCUGAUAUUUUAACACAUGACCACCAUACUGCAUAGGCAGAAAUCGUUAAUGUAAAGGUAGAAAUCGUUAAUGUAAAGAUGACAAAUGGGAUUUCAUUGAUUUAGCUUUACAUACCGAUCAACGUUUUUAUUCAGACUGAUAGAAUCAAUUUGAAGCUGUGACAGUUUUCGAAUAUGUUGUCGAUCUAGGCAAUAAUUCGACGGUUUCAAUGGUUUUCUAACCCAUUUCAGAAUCGCUCCAGCAGUUUACUUGAGUUCGGAUUGCUCCUGCUACUGAAGGCAACCUGUGGAGUUCCAACUGCUACCGUCGUGGUUUGAGAGAUAGAAAAUAAUUUAGACAUUGUGUCAAUUAUCGUAGAGAUGGAAUAGAAAUAUACAUUUAUGCUUUAUGUGAUCUUUAAGUGUUCACAAAUUCAUUAAUACAUUUUUAUAUGUUUACAUCCAUCAUAGAAAUAAAGGUGGGUCACAUAUAAAUAUGGGUUUAAUUCUACUUGAGAGAGAUUGUUAAACAAAUUAGAAAUAUUGGUCUUCAUAAUUGAGCCGUGUUGUCAAAUUUAUAAAUUUAGAUUUAUAUAUUUUUCAUCAUUAUAUUUUUCUAAAAUUUGCAUUUAAUUUAAGUAUUGGAUUUAGUUUAAUCAAUUUAGGUCUUGCAUUUAUAAGUAUAUUAUUAUUUAAUUUAGUUAGAAAAAAAUUACAACUUUCAAUUGUUUCGAUUAAAGCUAAGUUAAUUUGAACUUGAAAUAAAUUGAUUUCUGUGGGAACUAUACUUGGACUCAAAAAAAUUCAUUUUACUAUUUGUUAAUGAACCGUACACUUGCGAAAUUUUAAAUCAAAAUAAUAUUUUCGUGCAUCGAUGAAUAAUGUGGUUAUCCUAUUUCCAUUUGUUAAUUUCAUACUGUCUCUUGCUCUCUUUUGGUUUCUGUUAUUCAAGUUAGGAGUAAAACAAAGUAAUGUCUGUUUGGUAGAUUUUGGAGUUGCAUUAGACAAAACCAUCGCGUUGUAACAAUUGGAAGGUAAAAAAGUAAUGGGGGGGUAUCAUGACUAUUUCUUGGGUAAUGAUGUUGCUUGAAGCUCUUAAUGAUUAUGGAUGUUGGUGUAGAUGUUUUUAUUUUUGCAACCUCUUUACUAUGUAUGUUAUUGGAAAGCUGCAUUUGAAAUUUUCUUUACACCUAUUUGUAGGAAAACCCAAAGUAUGAAAAGUUCAAAGACAAUGAUAACAACAAAAUUUACCACAAUUACAGCAAACUAUUUAGUAAUAGUUAUGGUUCCACGAAUUAUGCUUUAACUUCGACUAAAUUAUCGUAGCACGAUUUUAAUUUUCGCUUGGACAGCGAUACGAAUGGUCCAAAUGACAAGUUGCUCAUCAACGUUGAGAUAGUAGAUUCAAGUGCGGGGCCUACAAAGGGCAGAGAAAACUUGUUUGGCGAGAAGCGUGAAGAAAAGAAAGCGAAUGGAAAGGGAAAGAAGAAGAAGUUUGAUGCAAAAGCAGAGAAGUUCUAGAGUUUGUAGAUAACUCAGCAUCUACAUUAAGGAAAUUCGCCUUGGUCAUUCGGUCUAGAGACAAGGGUGGAAUGAUGAUUCUCGAGUGCUUCAAUGACUUGCUUUUGAAUGGCCUCGUCGAAGUUGGUGGUCAGCUACUUUUGUUUGUUCUAUGGUUCUUUUGGGACUCUGACAAUCAAAUUGAUUACAGUGCCGCUCAAACAACGGAACUUAGAAUGGUCAAAAGAAUGCCCCACGUGCCUAUACUUGAGCAAAAAUAGGUAACUUCUCAUGUAUCACAUACUUUCAAAAAUAGCAAUUAUCUUCAAAUUCAUCUAGACCUUGUCAAGUAGUUUGAGCUCUAGGCUUAACUCUACAUAAAUCAUAGCCUCACAAAGUCUAUAGAGAUUAAAGAUGGACUUAUCAAUCUUUAUGGGUAACCUAAUAGGUUUGGAUAAAGCAAGCAAAAAGCUUUUAACACAUAAGUGCAAAGGCAGUAACGAAAAAAAAAUCUACAAUGGAGUAUAUAUACAACCUUAAUUAUAAUGUUUUAGAUGGAAUGCGUAUCUUAAAAUUUGUCAAAGUUGAAUAUACACCUAGGUCAGAAAACAUAGCAGUUUGAUGUUCCUUGCGUGAAGUGAGCAGCAAGACUAGUGCUCAAAUGCCAAACUUGUGGGCAACAAGCGAUAGACAUCUUGUUCUAAGCACUCGAAUAGGAGAUGAGCACUUAACAAGAAAAAAUGUGGCGACUUCUUCUCCUUAGUCCAUCUUUAAACCUCUUCAAAGCCACUUCAACCAAACAACCAAUAUUCAAUGGAAUAUGGGUCACAAUUCGACAAAUCUCUACAUUGAUACAGAUUUCUAUACAAGGAAUUACUGUUCACUCAUUAACAAACAUUUCCCUACCUCUUCCACACUAGCCCCUAAAGACCAAUUCAACAAAAAAAUAUCAAUCAAGUCCAAGAAAUACUCACACUUGGCCACAUUGAAUGCCUUUGUCAAUAUGUCAGCUAAAUUCUCCUUGGUAUCAACUUUGCUCACUACAAUAUUACCACGAGUAAUCACAUCACACAAAAAUGACACCUCACAUAAAUUUACUUUGUCCUCUCAUGAAAUAUCAGAUCAUUUGUUAGAAAAUUAACACUAUAACCAUCACAAAAUAAAUAAAUAAAUAUAAUUGUAGAUAUCUACUAGUCUUUACUAAUUUUACCCAACAAUCUCCUCAUCUGCAUAACCUCCUGACGAGCCUGUGUAAUAGCCAUAUACUCUGCCUGUGUAGUAGAUAAGGCUACCACAUUUUGUAAAGUAGCCUUCCAAGUAACAGCAGAACCACCAUUGGUAAACACGUACCCUCUAUGAGAUCUCCUACAAAAUAUGAAUUAACAUACCUAAUAACUCCAUAUGUAUUUUUUUCCAAAAUGAAAACAAGCAUUAAUAAAGCUACACUGGUAUCUGAAAAUCUACUGCAUUGAUUUCUAAUCUUCAUGUACAGGAUUUUCCAUGUAAGAUAUUAACUUUACUAAAUGCCUGUGCUAAAUCUGGGUGUAUACAAAGCAUAACAUACAUAAGCGAUCCAACUGCACUUGAAUAAAAAAUAUGUGUCAUGCAAUCGAUAUCCUCACUGAUUAUGGGCACAAAACAAAUGACAGUUUAGAGUGGGUAGCAAAAGGGAUACUGACAUUCUCUGCAUUCAACAUAUAAAACCUUUAGAGUGUUCUCUUAAGGUACAAUUUCUGGCUCAAGUAUAAUCUAGCAUCGUUUCUUCUCUCGAGAUCUCCAUUCAAAGUAUAUUCUCCAAUGCACCCAAGUCUUUCAUAUCUAUUUUUUUUUAUUGAGUUAAACUUUUACUUCAUUACCUCUACUUUAUUCUGGAUAGCUAUCAACAUAUCAUCAACAUAAAGUAGUAGAUAUAUAAAAAAUCCAUCAUCACACUUCCUAAAGUAUACAUCACUAUCAUAACUACUUCUUUUAAUGUUAUAAAUAUUCAUGAAUGAGUUAAACCUUUUAUAUCAUUGCCUCAGUGACUGAUUCAGAUCAUAAAAGGACUUCUUUAAUGAACAUACAUAGUCUUCAUUUCUUGUGACAAAAAAUCCCACUGGCUAUUCUAUAUAGAUGUCUUCCUCAAGUUCUCUAUGUAAGAGUAUUAUUUUCACAUCCUAUUUUUCAAGCUUCAAAUCAUUAUUGGUCAAAAUACCAAGUUAAUCUUUAAUUCAGCUAUACUUUACUAUUGGGAAAAAUAUAUCUAUGAAGUCUACACCUAGAAUCUCUAAAACCCUUAGCCAAUAAUCUUGCCUUGUACCUGGUGUUUAAGAAUUCUGAUGCACAUUCCACACUCCUUUCAAAUGCCAGUUUACAACAAACAACUUUCUUUUCCUUUGAUAAUUUCACUAAGUCCCAUUUGCCAUUUUUAUGAAGAGAUUCCAACUCUUCUUGCAUAGUAAAAAUUCCCCUGCCAUAAUCAUUGCAACUCACUACUUCAGUGUAUGUAAUAGGCUCUUCACUAGAAUCAAUAUUUUUAGCCACAAUCAAUGCUACCAGUUAGCUUUCCCAUACUUUUGUUGAGGUCUAAUCACCUUCUAGGUCUAUCUUUAACAAAAGAAUACUGCAAUGGUGGUUGCAAAAAAGUACUCUCCUUCACUUUUGAAUUAGACUAAGAUGAAAACUCUCAUUUAGAAACUAAACUAACUUCAACUCUGCCUACGUAAUUUCUUUUUACUAAUUUGUAUUACCAGAAUCUCUAAGAGAUAAACUGAACCAUUGCAUUUUAACUUAACAUAACGUCUCUACUAAUCACAACCUUAUAUGUUUCUGAACACUAGAGAUUAUAUCCUUUAACACUAGAUUUAUAACUAAGAAAAACAUACUGUCUAGAUUUGCCCCCAACUUUUCAUUAUUCACAUGAGCAUAAGUAAGGCAACUAAAUAUUUUUGAAUCUGAGUUACUAAGGGGAGACAUAGACCAUACAUCGUCUGUGUCAUUUUCCCAAUAAUAAUUGAGGGUGAGGGGUUGGUAAUAAAUCAAGUUGUAGAAGCAGCUUUCAACCAAGAUUGUCAGGUCCUUAGAUCUUUAUCCGAGAUAUUUAGGUCAAAAAUUGUAGCUAUAGAGGAGAGUAAGGACUAGAUGCUAUUAAGGUUGAAGAGUUGGUUACAUCUCUACAGACCUAUGUACUAACAUUAGCUAAACUUACAAAAGAUAAGUUUUGGCCUUGAACAUUCUUAGGGAUAACAUUAAUGAGGAUUCUGAUUCAGACUCACCCAAUAAUGAUAUAGCUUGUUUUGCUAAAAAAUUUUGGAAAAUGUUUACAAAGAAGAUAAAGCCUCAAGAGAGACAGAGAGGUGAUCCCAGUGAGUCUAGAAAGAGAUCUCAAUAUGUGAGAUGUCAUAAGUGUCAAGGUUUUGACCAUUAUAUGAGUGAGAGCCCUAACAUUAAGAGAAAUAAGGAUAAAGCUAUGAAUGUUACACUCACUCAUGAUGAGUCUAAAUCUGAUAUUCAAAGUAAGAGGUUCACUUAGGAUGAGAAUGGAAAAUAAAUGGCCUUCACUGUUAAGAGUAGGAGUAAAUCUUAUAAUGAGAGUGAGAAGGUUGAGGAUGCAGAUAGUGGUAAGCAAUCCUAGGAAGAUUAUAAAGAUUAGGAAGACAUAAAUGAGUUUAUGAUAUAUUAUAUAAAAAGAGCCUAAGGAUAUUGACUACCAAUAAAGCCUUAUGUAUGAAGGUCAAAGAUCUCGAGCUAGAGAAUGAAAAACUAAUAGCUGACCUUUAGGAAUCUACCUUAUCUCUAAGUAAGUUGAACUCUGUGAAUGAAUUCUUAGAUACUCAAUGUAAGAAUCUUAUUAGUGAUCUUGAAGAGUCCUCUGGGAGACUUAAUGAGUUGAGCAUUGUGAAUGAGUCUUUAGAAAACAUGGUUAAGACAUUUUAUGAGUGAUCUUGAUGAUUCCAACACCCAACUCCUUGCAUUCUCUAGUGGUUUAUUGAAGCUUGAUAGCAUCUUAGGAAUGAGUAAGCCUACUGGUAAUAAGGGAAGUUUAGGAUAUAAGGAGAAUGAUCACAAUACUUCUAGUACUUCCAAGACCAUUGUUGUCCCUAUCAUUAACCAACCUAAGUACAUUCCUAACCCUGAACCUAAGAAAAAGUAAAUCGUAAGACAAAGGCCUACUAGAUAGCGUAGGACCUACCAACCUAGGAAUAAAAAUCAAUGACCACAUAACCUUGGUCCUAGAUUUAUCCAUACUUCAAUUGUGUUGAGUUAGAACAUAUAAGGCCUAGGUGUCAUAAAUUCCUGAGCAGAAAUAGAAUAAGAACUUCAAUAGAUAUAAAAAAAAGAGGAUUUUAAUGGCUGAAUUGACUUCUUCACUAAUCAGGUGAGUCAAUUAACUGAGCUAAUGACACAGUUAACUAGGAUUAAUUCUUCAACUAGGCAAGUUUAGGCAAAGAGGAGUGAUCCAAAAAUUCUUAAAUGGAUCACCCUGCUCUUAAAGGUAAGAGAGUUUAUAUACCUAACUGAUUAGGUAUUUCUGGUGCAUGCUUGUGUGUAUUCAUUGCAAUUCAUUCACUGUUACAUACAUCUCAUUUUUGUAUUUGCUUUAUAGGUAGUAAGUCCAUGUAUGUGCAUCUUCAUCAGGUUUGUAUUGGCACAAGCAUUUUUAUUUUUUUAUUUUUGUAUUGCAUGUUGAAUAUUUUUAAUUUUUUAGUUUGUGUGGUUAGAGCAUUUAUUUAAAAAAGGGUAAAGUUUUUAAAACUACAACAUGAUAUAUGAUAUACUUGAAUUUGUGCAAUGUGACCAACUAUGAGUUUAAUUGAUGUGUUGUAGCAUACUUUUCAUUAUUUUCUUAGAUUUUGAUACAGUAAUUGGUCUAGGUUUUUCAUGCACCAUCUAUACUGCACACACUAUGAUAUUGCGAGUGGGACUUGACCGCGUGUAUGAGAUUUGAUAUGGUAGUUUCAUGUUGGUAUGAUGACUUUGAACAUGAAUUGACCUUAUUUUAUUAGACCUAAGAUCAAGUGUAUUCCCUUGAAAGAAAAAGAUCAGUAUCUUAUGCCCUUUUUCGGAGUUUAUUCAACUUGAACAAUUAAAGCUGAGGGGUUUCUCAUAACAUAGUGCCUAUAAUCAACUGACUUGGGUUAAUAUAUAUAUAUAUAUAUAGGUCAUAAUAUGCUAUUAUUUGUUUAACUUUCAUAAGUAGAGGGAUGAGCUUAUUGACAGAGAUGUUUAGAAUGUCUUUUCUCACAAAAUUAAGAUUUGGAGUCCUAUUUACAAAGUAUUAGUAACACUCUACAUACAUGGGGUGACUUAUACAAUUUACUCCAUUUUAACUUGAAUUGAGUAUGUGGAAAAAUGUAUUGAUCAUUAAUUAUGCUUGUGAAUUCUAUCAACUGCAUCUUUGAGUUAUUAUAUAUUAAUGUUCAUGUGUAUUUGAUAUAAUUCCCUUAAUCAUUUGACAAAAAAAGGGCGAAAAAGAUUCGAUGGUAAUUUUGAGUUAAGAGUUAGAUGCAUUUUAGGGAGAGCUUGCAGUAGGGGGGGGGGGGGGGGGGGGGGGGGGAAGAUGAUAGUAUCUUUUAUUCAUGGCAUUCCAUAUCAUAAUGCAUAGCUUCUUUGAAUUUUGAUGUUUGUUGAUGUUAAUGUUUCAAUUGGUGUUUUGAUUAACACUAGUAUUACUUCUCAAUCUAGCCAGCAUAUUUAUGAUUGUAGGUUUCAAUUGUUAUAUUUCCUUUAUCAUAUGCUUUUACACUUGGAAUGUGAAUUGUUGAUUUCAGGAAACAGGUUAAUAAGGAAUGUAAGAGAUAAACAUUCAGUUUUGCUUUGGAUAGAUUAGUUUUUAUUUUUUUUCCUUGACUUGUAUUGUAUUUUGUCACAGAAUGCCGAAGAGGAGAUUGUUAGGAUUUAUGUUGUAUUGGCAAUUUUGUAGACAAAAUAAAAUCUUAGUUAAAUUGCAUUAGGAGUUUACUGAGUUGUGAUCAAAGUCAAUCAAAGUCGAAAUAGGAGUUAUUGAAUCAUAAUUAAAGUCAAAAGGGUUGAGAUUAGUAGUAUGGUACUUAAAGGAGUCCAAGAUAUCAAAGAAGAUCACGUGUGAUCAGGGAAAUACAAUUAGAAGUCUAAAGAGUUUUAAAGAGCAGCAAAAGUUAUGUUUUAAAUUUUCACUCAUAAUUUGUAACACAUUUUUCACAUAGAAAACAUUAUAAUUUGAACAAGGCUAUUUAAUAGAAUUGUAGCCCUUUGAGUUAGCUUUUCGUCGUAUUUUGAAUCGACUCAAACAGACGUUGGAAGAGAAAGUUAUUAUAAAAAUACUGACAACUGCUCAGCAGUUGCUCACUUGUCUAGAGUUCGAGCAACAGUGUUACAUGUGUAGCCUUAUUUCGCAUUUUUCAAGUGUUUUAUCUGGCCCAUACUACUUGAUUAUCUCUUACUAUAAAUACCCAAGCCCUUAUAUAUUUUGUGUGUGGUUGUUCAUUUAUUACUUUUUCAUAAUAUCACUCCAAGAUCCAAGAAUAAGAUUACUGAAGAUUGAGGGAGGUCACACCAAAAGAACGGAAGAGUACAAAAUAAGGUGUUCUUGAUGAUGUACAGGAGAUAGAAGAUUUCAGAAAAUCAUAAACAGAUGUGAGUGAAGCACAAUAUCAAAAGAUCGGGAGAUUAUUAGCUUGGUCCUGAAGUUUUUACUCAGUUAAGUUUUCUCCGUCGACAUAUUUUGUGUUGUUUAUCACUUUCAUACCAUUCAUUGUGGUAUUCAAACUAUAGAAUAAUCUGAUAUGAUUAAUUAACUAUCUAGAAACAAUUAAAAGUGACUUGCUUCUUUUAAUUGUAUAAUUCCUCACAUUGUGUCAAAACAAAUUAGCUAAAUGUAAACUUUCAAGCCGUAUAAGAGCUUUUCACUCACGGAAAUGAUAUUUAUACUCAUUUUACAAUAUUAUUUGUUAGUGCUCUAGUACACUUGUUUGACUUGACAUAGCAUUGUCCAAUAUAUUUUAAAAGCAGUAAAUAUAAUAGCGGGAAAAUUAUUUUUCCCUCAUUUCAACACACACAAAUAGAUGAAAAUUAUUAUAAAGGAUGAGAAGUACAAAUUAAUAACGGUUUAAAGAAAAGAACUCGACGAAAAAAAGAUAGGAAAUAAGUUCUACAAUGAGUAAUGAUCGAAUAAUUUAAAUGAAAUCAAAGUGUGAUGUAACAAGUAAAAAUACAAUGUAAAUAUAAUUAUCUGGUUUAGUAUCGUUUGAAAAUUUUUGGAUUCAAUUUUGUUAUGGAGCCAUGGCAAAAAAUAUUAUUUAGUUGUUGGAGGUUGUUAAGUUAUUUACAAUCAAAUUGAAAGUUUCCAGUAUUGCUUAUUUGGCAAUAAAUUUUUUUCUCACCUGUUCCACGUAGCUAUGACUAUGCUUCUACGUUAUGAAAGUAUUAAAAUUAAAAGGAAAAAAAUGUUAACAUCAUUGUUCUACCAAGUACCAGCCACAUGCUUUCUAGCAACUCACACCACCAAGCCCUGCUAGUCUACUACUAAAAAUUCCAAAUACAUACCACUUUUCGACAAGAUCAUGUGCCUUAGCCUUACAUAUUACGAAUAGAAACACAAAUUGCUCGUAAUGAAGAAUAUAACAAAAUAAAAAAAAAAUAAGAUGAAGAAGCUAAAAUGAGAGGAUAUUCUAGGAAAUGUUGACAUCCCAAAUGCUGAUUUUCGAGGAACAAUAAAUCUCUAAAAACUAAAAAUACAUUUACAGAAAUAAUUGACCCCCCUUUCUUCAUUCUUUAUUUGAAUUUAAAUAUGAAAAUAUUGUACCAAUUAUCUUCUAAAAUCAAUAACCAUUUCAAAAAUAAGAAAAUAUAAAAUUAAAACCUGAAAAUAAAGAAUUAAAAUAAAUUACAAAUAUAGAAAUGUAUUAUCUUCUUUCUCCGAGAGUUUUGCAAUUCACCACAAUUGCAAGAAAAUAGAAAAUCUAUUUGAUCAAAACUGAUAAAAGACCCAGAGCCAAAAAUAAAAAAGUAAAAAUAAAAAAAAACAAAAAAAAAAACAAAAAGAAAAACAAAAUAAACAAAAUAAAAUAAAAUAAAAUAUAUGCAAUUAGAAGUUCAAUCGUUCAUCCAAGCAUUUUAUUUGAUAUCACUUGAUAAAAAAAAAAAAAAAUUAAAUAAAUUGUUAUCCAACACUUUGUUAGGUAUAUCAUACGAAGUUAGAUAAUCUUUAAUUUCCUGGAUUAAUAUGUUAUUGAAAGUUCAAUUGGUUUUUGCUUACGGACCAUGCAUGGACUUUCACUUUAUAUAUGAAAAAGUCAUCACCUAAUAAUACUAUUUUUCCCCAUAAAUAAUUUGAAAAAAAUAUGCACUAAGCAUAAUUCGAGAAGCAUGGCUAAUACCAAAUUCGGCAUCCUUACUAUCUUUUUAAUCUGUGGUAGUUAAGCAUUCGUCUGUAGGGGUAGACGCAGACAUUUUGAAUUAGGGAGCACAAUUAAACCUUAUAUAAAUUGAAUAUUUUGUUAUUGAUUUUUGAAUAAUUCAUACUUGACUCGAGAAAACGCAGAACUAAGUUUAAAAACAUAGUCCUUCAUUAAUAUUUUAUUCAUCAUUUUAACCCAUUUGAAUUCGAACAGUCUUUUUAUUGAUAUUUUGCUCAUCACAAGAAAAUGCAUGUCUACGUUUAAAGAAUUUAUAGUGUAUUUAAUGCAAACAAUCAAUUCAAGUAAUAAAAAGAAAAAAAACAUAUAAUCAAUAUUCAUUACUAAUAUUCAAUCAAAUAAACACAGCUAGUUAAACACAAGUCAAAUUGGACAUAAUUAUUUAAGUCUCAUUCUAUAUACACAAUUUGAUAGGAGAAAAUGUAAAUUUAAGUUCAGAAUAUGAUUAGGAAGUGAAGUAAAUGUCAUAAUUUGUAGAGAAAUUAUAAACAAAUUUUAAAAAAAUUAGAAGAGUUAAGGUUUUGAUAGUGUAAGGGAAAGUGAAAAUGUUCAAAUUUAUGGUGAUUUUAUCCCUAUUUGAUGGAGAUUAAAGUCAAAUUAAUAGUAAGUUUUGAUAGAAGUUGAAACUUUUUGAGUCCCAUGAAAUAUAUUAUUAAAAUUAAUUGUUAAUUUUGAUUUAAAUUAAAAUUUAGAUUUUAAGUCAUAAAAAUCAUGGCUUCAUUAUAUAUAUUCUCAAAAGUUGGUUGAUCACGUGAUCCCCAUAAAACCCCCCUUCUGUCUGCCCUUGGUCAUCUCUUACCCAUUGAUAAAUCUUGUGUGUUUUGAUCUUCAUGUAAAGAGAAGCGUGGAAGGUAAUAAAUAAGUUACUCGUACAUGUAACAUAUUAAGGUUUUGCAUAAAUUUUUAUAUACUAGGAUCAUGAAUUUAUUAAGAUCUUCUCGUAAAGAGAAGCGUGGAACAUAUUUUAUAUGCAAUAUUGUAUAAAACUAACUAGUAUAAUCAACAAGCUAUCAACUUCUUUUUCUUUUUAACUAUCAAGUUCUUCCACUUAUAAGUUACUUUUUUCUUCUAAAAUCAAGAACCAUUUCAAAUUGCCCGUAAUGAAGAAUACAAAAAAUUUUAACACUUGUUUCCAUAGCUAUGACUAUGCUUCUACGUUAUAAAAGUAUUAAAGGAAAAAGUGUUAACAUCAUUGUUCUACCAUCCACACGCUUUCUAGCCAUUUACACCACCAAGCUCUGCUACUCCAUUACUAAAAAUUCCAAAUGCAUAGCACUUUUCGUCAAGAUCAUACGCCUUAGCCUUCUUAAAUAUUACGAACAGAAACACAAAUUGCUCAUAAUGAAGAAUACAACAAAUAACAUAAGAAUAGCUAAAAUGAUUUUCGAGGAAAUCUUGACCUCCCAAAUAUUGAUUUUCGAGGAACAAUAAACCUCUAAAGCUGGAUAUCAAAAAAAAAAAAAAAAACAUUUACAGAAAUAAUUGAUCACCCUUACUUCAUUUUUUAUUUGAAUUUAAAUAUGAAAAUAUUGUACCCAUUAUCUUCUAAAAUUAGAACCAUUUCAAAAAUAAGAACAUAUAAAAUUAAAACCUGAAAAUGAAGAAAUAAAAUAAAUUACAAAUAUAGAAAUGUACAAUCUUCUUCAUCCAAGAGUUUUGCAAUUCACCAUAUUUGCAAGAAAAUAGAAAACCUAUUUGACUAAAACUGAUAGUAAAAGGACCUAGGGCCAAAAAAAAAAAAAAAAAAAAAAAACUACAAUUAGAAGUUCAAUCGUUCAUCCAUGUAUUUUACUUGAUAUCACUUGAACAAAAAAAUUUAAAUAAAUCAUUUUUUGACAAUUCGUUAAAUAUAUCAUUAAAAAAAUGUUAAAAGGUCGAUCAUUCAACCAUGCAUUUUACUUAAUAUCACUUGAUAAAAAAAAAUUAAAUAAAUCGUUUUCCGACACUUUGUUAGGUAUAUCACAUGAACUUAGAUAAUCUUUAAUUUUCUGGAUUAAUAUGUUUUUGUAAGUUCAAUUGGUUUUUGCUUACGGACCAUGCAUGGACUUUCUCUUUAUAUAUGAAAAAGUCAUCACCUAAUAAUACUAUUUUUCACUCUCCUUUUAAUCUGUGGUAUAUUCUAAUUGCUUCUCUUUUUUGGCAUUCAAGAACUAUGCCAACUUGUACAAUUUGCAGAUCGAAAUAUGAUUUCUAUGACGGUCAAGAGACGAAUGAUUUAUGCACUUUUUUUAGAAACCUAUAUCCGCUGAAUUUUGACACUUCUUCAAUGGCCAAGUAUUUUACCAUUGUGAAACAUUUUUUCGAAAAUAUAGUAAAUUAGUAAUACGGAUUUUAUAAUAGUCAUCCGUCACCCAAUGAUAAAUCUUGUGUGUUUUGAUCUUCAUGUACAGAGAAAUGUAGAAGGUAAUAAAUAAAUUACUAGUGCAUAUAACAUACUAAGGUUUUGUAUAAAUUUUUACAUACUAAGAUCAUGAAUUUUUUAAGAUCUUCUUGUAAAGAGAAGGGUGAAACAUAUUUUGCACGCAAUAUUGAAUAAAACUAAUUAGUAUAAUCAACAAUAUAUCAACUUCUUCUUCUUUUUAAUUAUCAAGGUCUUCCACUCAUGAGUGACUCUUUUCUUCUAUCCUUUGUGGAUUCUAAAGAGAUAUUGCACCACUAUAAGUAAUGAUAUUAAGUUGAAGCGUGACAUAUACAUGAUUUCUCAUAGCUGCAAUUGAAUUUUGCCUAAAUUUUCUUUGCUCAUGUUUUAUACCCAAUAUUGAGCAAGACCAUGCUAAACAAUAGAUAGGUUUUUCUUUCUAAUGAGUGACAUUGCACUGCUAUGACGGGGCCCUUUUUUUUUUCUUUUUUUUUUUUGGGAAGCAAUGUGCAAUAUGCUAAAGCCCAAAAGUAAGUUUGUCCAAAAAAUUGCCUCAAAAUUGGGUACAUGACUUGCCCAAAAUCAGGUUCAAGAAGGCUUCAUCCAGGCUGCACAAACUGUUGCAAAAUCAAGAAGGGUUGCAAACUUUAUCGACCUAAAGGAAGCCUUAUUUGUACCGGAAAGUAAUUUCGAUAUGAGAUAAAUCUUAAAUAAACUAUCAAAUGUUUGUACUACACACACACAAAAUAAAUAAAUGACUCUGCUAUGUUUCUGUGAAAGGAAAUACAAGGUUCAGGUUUAAUUAUAUUGUUGGAUAUUUCUAUGAAAUUAUCUUUUACAUAAUUACUUCUCUAAAUUUAUUGGGUGAGAUUUAGAUGUUGUAUACUCUCUUAUAUUGAUCUACAAUAGCGAAGAGUUGUUGUGGAAACAGUAUAUACCAUAUAAUAAAUGGGGACACUAGAAAAAUUGAGUCGGAAUAAGAGAUUAUGCACCUAGAUCUCUUGAAGAUAAAAUUUGCCCCUAGCACAUAGAGGUAUGGAGAAUAUACAUUUUCGAAAAGAGAAUAAACAUCCAAAAAUGGCAAAAUCCCAAAAUUAUACCAAAAUAAAAUAUUUAGUAAAAGAAGUAAGUUGCCAAAAAUUUGGCUCAAUUCGAGUUUUCUAACAUAUGGAAAAAAGGAAACAAAAUAUUACCAUAAAUAGUAAAAAAUAACUUAAAAUUGAAUUUUGGAAAGGAAAACAGUGGAUUUUGGACUCGAAAUUGACGUCUCAGUGGCCAUGACGUGCGUGCCGAAGAGAGCUUUCCAAAUUGAGGUCAUAAUAGCGAUUUCAAUAAUCGUAGCCAAAGUUAUGGCCAAAUUACCAAAGACGCGUCAAAUUCUCCCAAUUUAAGGAAAUAAUGGUGAUUCACUUUCCAUCUUUGCGCCGAUCCGCCAUCUCAUGGUAUCCCAGCGCCAUCAUCGUGCUAUCUGACAAAUCAGCAUCACUCGACUCGGAUCCUCCUGCAUCAAUUAUUUAUUUAUUUUAAAGUUGAAAAGUGAUAAAAAAAAGUUAUUGUAAGAUGCAAAACAGUAAUUAAUAUAAAAAACUGUUUUACUUGAUAUCUUAUUUUAUUCGUCAAACAAUGUUGGGAAAUAAAAUGUUGGGGAAAAAAAAUCAAAGUAAUAUAUAUUUUUCUAUAUUUUUUUAAUACGUAAAUAACUCAGUAAAUUUAUUUUUGUUCAUUGAAACACUGGAGCUCGAGGAGAAUGAGAAUAAUAAAUUGUAUAUAUCUCACACAAAAGAAGACCAUACUAUGAAGAAAAAUUAUUUAAAUAAUACAUUACGAUUUCCAAUAAAUUAAAUUUAAUAUGAAGAUAUAAUCUUUUAAUUUUUCAUUUUGAUUGAAGACUUAUUUUUAAUUAAUAAUCCGUGGUAAUUGAAUGAUUCCAUACUUCUCGUUUGAAUGAUUGAUCACCGUUUAUAUGAAUAUAUAACUUAUUUUAUUUUUGGUAGUUUCGAAAUAGAUCUAGCUUAUUGUGGUAAUCAGAAUAAGAUCAUCUAGCCAUUAGGGAUUAUUAUUUAUGCCUUAUGCAAUUUAUAUUGAUUAUCUUUUGACUGAAUGCAUUUUUUGUUACUCAAAUUCUAGAUACGGAUAUCUCGGGAGAGAUUGUUAAAUGUUAUAGGAUUAUUGUUUAUAAAUGUGCACAUAUCAGGUUAAAAGAGAGCAGUCGAAGAUUAUAACGAAUGUUAAUGGUGAAGUCGGACUCCUAGUAAGUUUUCUCAUGCAAAACUCUUUCAUCUUGAUCUUCAUUUUUAUUUUGAUAGUUGAUUGUAGAGUAAUUAAUCGAUUCAUAUUAUAUUUCAUCUAAACCCUUGUUACAUUUGUUUAUUCGUUUUUUAGCACAAAUUGAUAAAUUUGAACUAAAGUCUAAAUUCUCAUGGAAACGAGAAUUUUACUCAUUUUGUAAUAUUAUUUGUUGGUGAUCCAGUACGCUUGCAUGAUUUGACAUAGCUUUGUCCAUUAUGUUUCAAAAGCAGUAAAUAUAAAAGUGGAAAAAUUAUUUUUCCCUCAUUUCAAAGCACACAAAUAGAAGAAAAUUUAUUAUAAAGGAUUAGACAUACUAACUAAUAGAGGGUUAAAGAAAAGAACUCGACGAAAUAUAAUGCAAUUAAAGUGUGAUGUAACAAGUAAAAAUAUAGUGUAAAAAUAUUUCUCUUGUAUAGAAUCGUUCGAAAAUUUUUGGAUUUAAUUUUUUUCCAUGGCGCCAUGAUAAAAAAAUAUUAUUGAGUUGUUAAGAGGUUGUUAAGCUAUUCACAAUCAAAUUGAAAGUUUCAAAUAUUGCUUAUUUGGCAAUAAAAAAUUUUAACACUUGUUCCACAUAGCAAUGGCAAUGCUUUAUAAAAGUAUUUUAAGGAAAAAGUGUUAACAUCAUUGUUCUACCAAGUACCAUCCACACGCUUUAGCAAUUCACAUCACUAAACAAAAUUGUAGAAAAGAGAAUAAACAUCCAAAACAGUAACUAAAAAAAUAACAAAAUGAUUUCCAAUUUUUUUUUUUUUUUUUUUUUUAAAGUUGCAAAAUGAUAAGAAGCUGAUAACCGUAACUAUAAUGGAUAAAAAAAUUAUUGUAAGAUGCAAAAUAGUUAUUAAUAUCAAAAACUGUUUUACUUGAUAUCUUAUUUUAUUCGUCAAACAAAGUUCAUUAAUCAAAUUAAAAAUUUCCAUUUGUCUAUUCACAAUGUCGGGAAAAAAACUCAAAGUCAUAUAGAUUUUUCUAUAUUUUUCAUUAAGUAAAUAAAUUACUAAUUAUUUUUGUUCAUUGAGAAACUGGAGGCUCAAGGAGAUGGAGAUAAUAAAUUGCAUAUAUCUCACACAAAAGAAGACCAUAUUAUGAAGAAAAAUUAUUUAAAUAAUACAUUACGUCUUCUAAUCAAUUAAAUUUAAUAAUAAUUUAUAUAAUAGUUAAAACAAACAUGAUGUAAAAAUAAGUAAUAUAUAGUGUGAUCAUUUUUAACAAGGGUGCGUUCAGCUGUUUAUGAUGACAAACUUGUUGACUUAUCUAUUCCUUUUCAAUGAUAAUGGUUUCUUUUGUUACACAAAGUAGAAGGUAAUAUGUAGAGUAACAAGACAAGAUGUUAAAGUGUAAAAACACCACAAACGCAUGGUAUUUAUAAAGUAGUGUGACAAAAUAAUUUGACGAGCCGUUUAUAUGUAUAUGUGAUCAUUUGCAGCUACCAUGGAGAAUUGCAAAGCUAAUUCCUAAAAGGGUUGGUGAGAGAAAAGGAAAUAAAUGCUACAAUUUGUUGACCAAUGUAAAAAUAAUAAUAAAAAUAAAGUCCACGAACUCCAUUGUAGAAAGGACAAGUAUUGCGACUUUUGUAUAAUCAGUAAAUCUAUCACUUGUUGAACAAGUUAUAUGGAGGAUCAUAGAAUGAGUCCUAAGUUCAAAUUCCCACUAUUAUAUCAUAAAUAAAUAAACAAAAUAUUAUAUUCCUUAAACCAAUCUAGUAUAAUUAAAUCCGCUAUAUCAAUACGCAAUAGUAAUUUAAUUUUUUGUCGUAAUAGUUUGAGAAAAUAUUGCUUCUAUAAUUGAUUUUUUGAGGCCAUAUUGUGACUUGUUUAACUAAAGCAUCUCCACCGCUAAUAUGGCUUGCGCUAAAAUGGUUUUCACAUAAACUAAAAUCGAUAAUUUCUACAAAAGUACACCUCUAAUACAAAAUUUCAAGAACUAUGUCUAGCUGACGUAGAAGUAUAUAUGGUCAAGAUGACAAUCUAGGUGCAUACGGUCUUUUAGAUAGAGCGAGUAUCCACAAUUUAAUAUUUCUCUCUUUAUUUCUCUCUCCUUUUCCCUAUUUUUCUGUCAUCAUUGUUUUUCUCUCUCUCCUAUGAUAUAUACUUUAGUGAUGAAAUUUGAUUAUAGAAAAAAUUCAUUAAAGAUGAAAUUUGAACGAGGUCAUCUAUUCAUUAGAUCUUAAUGUCACAUAUAUGAAAGCCAUCUUAUUUAGAUCCAUGAAUAUAUUAGAGAACCUCAAAGAUUCCUUACUGUUUGCAAAAAUUACCGAAUUAGCGUUUUCAAUCUAUUGCAAUCUUCUGGAGGCAAAUAUAAGUGGACUGUAAAUGCUUUAAGGAUUACAUUUUUCAUGUAAAAUUUGCAUCGGAAAAUUUUGAAUUAGAUUUCUUUAUUUUAAUCUUUUGGAGGAAGGGCUUUACAUCUCCUAUUCAUAAUAAGAUUUCAAUGAAUAUACAGUUUUGUGCAAGGCUGAGCAUCCCAUCCCUGUUUUGGUUAGAAACCCUGAAACUGUAAAUGGAUUUUAUCUUUAAAAAAAUAAAAAAUAAAAUAAAAUAAAAUAAAAAUUCAAUCUCUCUGUCCAAACUCUCGACAUAUUCAACUUGAAUAAAAAUGUUUACAUAUUUCUUAAUAUUGGCUUGCAAGUUAACGUGCAAUUAAAAGAUUGUUCGUUAAUCCAUGUAUUUAAUAAGGCGUGAGGCACGGUAAGAUGGCAAGUGCGCAGCUUCAAGUGUCAGCUAAAUUUUUUAUAGAAUUCUUUCUCGAGCAUUUCUUUUGUUCUUUGUUUCUUGUCUGUUGUAGUUACAUAACUGUAGCUUCAUUGAAGGGUGUUGGAAAAUUGUAAUAAUUAGUUGGUUUGACCAACUUUUGACCAAUUAUUUAAAUAGGUCCUGUUAGUUGGAUAAAUGAUUUAUUUGGACAAGUACAUUCUACUCCAUAAGUAGAAUUGAUAUAUGUACUUAUUUCUCAAAACUAAUUAAGGGUGAAUGAGAAAUUAAAGCCAAAAGAUGACCACAUGAAGUUGAAAUAAAUUGGAAAUAAAAAAUUGGCGGGAAAUUGGAAAGUGCCAAUCUCACAUAGGAAACUAGAAGAAUAGAAACCACUUUAUAUAACUCAAGUUAAGAACUUGGGUUUGGGCCACAAGGGGUAUCACAAGUCUUUAGAGAAGAGAGGACCUACAUGUUAGUAGGUUCAGCUAAAACCCAUAUGCUAAAAUAAUAUUUUAUUAUAUUAUUUAUUUUUUUCUUCUUCGAAUUUUCUGUGCAAGACACAUAGAUUCUUCUAGAAACUGGCGAUUGGUGAUAGUUUAACUGUCUGUCCAAAUGGAUUAUGUCUAUUCCGAGACACAACCUUUCGGCUGUUGUGUCUUUUGGGCACAACCUUUCAACUUCUAUAAAUAGACCCUAGAUCCCCGAUUUUUAUUCACUCCAAAAAUUUGUUUUACUUUCCUUCUCCUGCAAUAUAGUCUUUAUGUCCUACAAUUUUCAUAUAUUUGCAUUUUAGUUCCAAAUAUUAUUUUCGUGCAUUUUAGUCCUCCUAUUAUCGAGAGAUCAAAUAUUAGUAGGUUCAUCGGGUCUUGUAAUUUGGAGUGCUACUAUUACAAGUUGAGGUCGUUGUAUAUUGGGAUACGAGUGCCAGGAGACGAACAGCACCAGUGCGGGGCAUUUUCGUCUUAAGGAGAAAUAGUCGAACUCUUGACUCGAUCAUUAUUCAUUCUAGUUUAUUCCGCAAAUUUGUGUAAGUCGAAAUUCUGCUAUUUAUUUUUGUAAAUUACCGCACGACAUUCUCGAAGAUUUUCAACAAUCUUAAGACGAAAUUUUUUUUAUUUACAUGCUAAUUUAUAUUCUGAAAUUUUGUUAGACUAUGGCAAGUAACAAUACAUCCGUCGUACCCCCAAACAAUGCUCACGGGGAGGAACCAGAAAAAUUCACAUGAGUGGAUUUUAAAAGAUGGCAAUAGAAAAUGUUGUUUUAUCUCACAACUCUGAAUUUAGAAAAAUUCUUGAGUGAAGAUGCUCCAACUGUUGAGGAGGAAGAAACAUAUUCUAAAAAACGAGCAGCAUUUGAUGCAUGGAGUCAUAGUAACUUCUUGUGCAGAAACUAUAUCCUCAAUUGUCUUGACAACACACUAUACGGUGUAUACAGUUCAGUCAAGACAGCCAAGUUACUGUGGGAAUCAUUGGAAAAGAAGUACAAAAUGGAAGAUGCCGGAUUAAAGAAAUUCGUUGUGGGCAAAUUCCUAGAUUUCAAGAUGAUAGAUUCUAAAACAGUGAUGAAUCAAGUCCAAGAGCUGCAAAUCAUAUUGCUUGAUAUACAUGCAGAAGGUAUGAAGCUCAGUGAGUCAUUUUAGGUCGCCGCUAUUAUCAAGAAUUACCUCCAAUGUGGAAAGAUUUCAAGAACUACCUGAAACAUAAACAUAAGGAAAUAAGACUUGAAGAUCUGAUUGUAAGAUAAAGAAUUGAAGAAGAUAAUCAAAAUUCUGAGAAGAAGUCUAGAAAGCUACAUAUGAAAUUUGGUGGAGCCAAAUACUAGCAAGAAAAGAAAACACUUAGGCAAUGGCAAGCAAAAAAAUAAGGAGGCUAGGUGGUGGAUUUAAACCUAUCAGUAAAGGCUCCCAACCUCGUGAGGUGAAUAUGGCUACUAGGUUAGGCGGUAGGUUAGACAGGGUGACCUCACGCUCUACUAGGACCGAACGUAAAGAAAACUGACUCCCAAAAACUUCCCGAGCAAUCAAAGAGAUAAACUUAGAUCGAUUAUAAAAUGUCACCCACUAACAGGCUGAGUAGCAGUCCUAGCCUUCUUAGGUGGCAUCUGACACAAAUAACAGUGGCAGCUGAUCAAGGACAAAAGCUAAGCAGAAUGGAUGGAACACAAAAUGAAGCAAAAUCAUGUCAAGCACGCAAAUCGAUGCAAAGCAGUGUAAUGCAUGCAAAAACCAUGCAAAACGAAGUAACAUAGUAUAAGGCAUGCAAUACCAUGCAAAAGAUGCAAAAGCACACAAAAUAAUGCAACAUAGUGUAAUACACGCAAUACUAUGCAAACCAUGUAAUAAUUUUGCAAAAUGAUACAAAAUAGAGGAAGGCAUGCAAAACUAUGCAACUAAGCGCGAUGACAUGAACUAAGUGACGUGAGUGUAAGGAAUAAGUGACAUGACGCGCUGUCAAGACGCAGGUGGCAAGAUGUCACGACAUGGCCUACAUGACUUGGACACACCAUGUCAAGGGUGGAAUGGUGAUUAAGACCCAAGAAGAUCUAUAGUUGACUGGGACUAAGACUAUGAUAGUAGUGUACGUGGUGUGUAGUGAAGAGAACAUUCAUCAAACAAGUGGUGAGCAUGAGAAAAUGGUGAAAAAUCUACACUUUACAAUAGUUCCAAUAUAUCCACCAAGCGCCAAUGUGUAUUCUAACAUUCCCACAUCAAGUCUAUGUAAAGAGAAUGUAUCCCAAUGUAGCUAAAAAAAAAAAAUGAAAACGAAAAAGAAAUGCAAAAGGAUAAUGCCAAUCACAUUGUAAUGCCAAAGAGAAAAUCCUCCCAAUGGUCACUGAACUUUGUAGAAAAUCUCCUAGGAGGUCAUCGAACUUCAAUAUGUCCCUAAAUAGUCACUGAGCUUUGUCGAAAUCUCCCAAGAGGUCAUCGAACUUCAAAACAUCCCUAAAUGGUCACUGAAAUUUGUUGAAGUCCCCCUAAGAGGUCACUCAAUAUUGCAAAUUGGGAUCCCAUACAUAACUAGUUUAGUUAUCUCCCAGGGACUUUUUACAAAGUUCAGUGACCAUUCAGGGACAUUUUAAAGACCUCUUAAGAGACUUCGACAAAGUUCAGUGACUAUUUAGAGAAGUAUUGAAGGUCGGUGACCUGCUAGGGAAUUUUCUGCAAAGUUCAGUGACCAUUGGGAGAUUUCCUCUAAUGCCAAAUGAGCAAGCAAGGUAGACGCCAUGGUGGAAUUCUAAUCACAAUAGCUUAAAUGGAUGAUGUUGGAUGCACAAAAUGACAAGAAUUGUGAAAGAAUCUAAAAAUCCCCAAAAGAAACAAAAAAUUUGGUGAGUUAGGGUUGCCAAUUAUACCUUCGAAGAUAGUGUGAAUGUGAAGAUGAAAUGGCGCUAAUUUUGCACACAAAUGAUGAAAUCUAGACCAAAUCACUGAUGUGAGGGAAAAAACGAGAGAGCAAGGAAGAAGACAAGGAGAAAAUGAAGAAAGAAAUCGCGCUUCGCUUGAGCGAGAAGCGAGGGAGGAGAUUGUAUUAUUAUCACUCGAUCGAAAAUCAAGCGAGAAUCAAGCAAGACUCAAAUCACACAAAUAGCACCAAUGCACUAAAAUUUAGAAAAUUGGCACCAAUUUGAAAAUUUUGAUUUUUAGGACAACAUACCUUUUUUUUGGUAAACAAAAUACUACAAACAUGGCAUGCACUACAUGUAUGUCCACCCAAAUUAGUAGUUAAUCACACAUAUGACAUGCUCAAUGAUUAGAAGCACAUCCCCACACACAUAGAAUAAGUUCAGAUGGAGUAAAUUAUAUAUGUGACCCACAUGUAAAAAAUGCGACUAAUUUUAAGUGUCUCGAACCUAAAACCAUCUAAAGCUUUAGUAAACAGAUUGGCAAGUUGAUUUUCUAUAGAAAUAUGUUCUAAGGAUACCAUAUUAGACUCAACAAGCCCUCGAAUGAAGUGAUGAUGGAUGUCAAUAUGUUUGGUAUAAGAAUACUGAACAGGAUUUCUGGAGAUGUUGAUAGCGCUAGUGUUAUCACAGAACACCGUUAUGGUACCUUGAUUUAUCCCAUAAUCACUCAGCAUUUGUUUCAUCCAAAGCAAUUGAGUGCAACAACUACCGACUGUAAUGUAUUCUGCCUUGAAUGUAGACAGAGAGACUGAGUUUUGUUUCUUACUCAUCCAUGACACAAGAUUAGAACCAACAUGGAAACAUCUACCCGAGUUACUCUUUCUAUCAUCGUCAUUUCCAGCCCAAUCAACAUCAGAAUAGUCGUGCGAGAUCAAUAUUAGACUCUCUAGAAUACAAGAUCCCAUGAUUUACGCUCUCAUUAAUAUACCUAAUGAUACACCUUACUGCACUCAAAUGGAAUUUCUUAGGAGCUGCCUAAAAUCUCUUAUACACUCCAACACUGAAUGCUAUGUCAGGUCCACUGGCUGUAAGGCAGAGUAAGCUACCUAUCAUAUUCCUAUACAAUAUCUGAUCAACAUUCCUACCUGUAGAAUCAUGACCUAACUUAACACUCAUGCUCAUGGGUGUCUUCGUAUGUUUUUGACUAUCCAAUCUGCUGACCACUGAACUCCGAUCUCAUCAGAAAUGAUUGCAGGCCCCACCUCAUGCAGAUGUGAGUUCGGCUAAGAUCCUCAGAUUGAAUUUGUUGUCAUAAUCUCAGGAACAUCAUGAUUAUCCCUUGUCACAUCAACCUCUUAAAUUAACACAUUCAUCAGGAAUGACAUAAUCGUUGCCCAUGGCCACCAAUCCCUAGCUCGAAAUCUCCAAGUUGCCUGAGGGUCAUCAUUACCUGAGGAAAACAUUGACACGUGGCCACCAGCCUCAUCGACCAAUCAUAGGAGAGUUUGAUUUCCAAGUUUCGAGCUCGAUACUAUAACUGAUUUGAGGUAAUUUCAGCUGAAAAUAUGUAUAAAUAGUAAAGGAAUUGUUACCAUAAAGACAAGUGAAUUCAUAUGCAAACCCAUUACAUGAUUACAUUUUCUCAAUUGAUUUGGGACCCAUUUAGCUAUAAAUCGUCAUUUUUCUUAAAGUUGGCUCAAGAUCAGUCAUACAAAUUUUGAAGUCAAUAGUUUGGCACUAGAAGGAGGGCCCCAAUUGUAAAAAAUAGCCUUAUUUCCCCACAAAAUUUGAGAGCCAUGAGCCAUAGUUUUAGUUCUAGAAAUCCAUCUCAUACCUACCCUCAUGAAACUAUUACUCCAUCGAGUUCUCCAAGAUGACAAGACCCACAGAUGACCGCCAUGAGGGAAGCCCUGGAAAAAUUAACAGAUGCAGUGGGAUUAUUGGAACGGAUUCAAGCCCAAUUGUCUCCACCAGAUACCAAAGUGGAAUCCCCUGCAAGGACAAGGGCAAGACGUCUCUCCACUAGGAGGAUCCUCCACUUUUCAAGAGGAGAAUCCUUAAGAAGCCGAGUUGAUGAAGUUAGGAGUAAGGAUCCCACGGCAAGGAGGACUGGUAGUGUGUUUGACAGGUUGAGGACCCAACACUCACUGACCCCCACGCGAGGAUAAGCUGAAUCCAACCUUAAACAUCCUCUGGAAUAGGCAGAACCCAAACGGAGCACAGUGAAAAGACGCAUCGCUAACCUAGAGGCAAAAAAUAGAGGAGGCACUGAAGACUACCUCACCAAGCGACAUUCUCCCUAUACAGAGGACGUCCUUAUGGAUCCUUUACCUGAAAAAUUGAAGAUUCCCCGGAUGACCGCAUAUGAAGGAUACGGGGAUCCUCUCUGCCACCUUGACAAAUACACCUCAUGAACGGAACUGCAGGGGGCAAGCGAUGCCACCAUGUGCUGAACUUUUCCACUGACCCUAGUAGACAAAGCACAGAGAUGGUUGAGGAGACUGCAUCAGAAGUUGGUAAAAAAUUGGAAAACCUGGCCAUAACAUUCUUAGCCUAGUUUAUGGGCUCUAAAGCUAGAACCACGCCCAAGAAGCGGCUAGUGAGUAUUAAGUAGAGAAAAAGUGAAUCCUUUAAAAUCUAUAUGAGUAGAUUCAAUAAACAAUCCAUGGAAGUGGAAAAAAUAUCUGAUGAUGCCCUACUCAUGGCCGUACUGGCUAGAUUGAGGCCCAGAACAGGAUUCUGGUGGUCGGUACACGAGGAGGGCCCAAGAACUUAUCACAAGUUCUUGAACCAAGCUGAGAAAUACAUAAGUUCUGAAGAAGCAACCUCUGAUCAAGAGGAAACCAGAUGUGAUCCCGACCUCAAUAAUACGACGAAAGAGAAAAAGUUUAAUAACCGCCCCCAGCUCAAAAGGAAGAAGGAUAGAAGAGAAAAAGAUUGUCCUAAGGCUUAGCCGUACAGGUUUCGAGAGUACCACCACUCAAAGCUUCCUUCGAAGAGGUAUUCAUGCAAACUAGUAAGAAAGAGGCAUUUCGAAGGCCAGUGGUCCCAAAGAACAGGCAGAUAGGACACCAAGAAGGACGAUACUGUCGAUAUCACAAGAUGGCAGGUCAUGACACUGACAACUGUUGAGAAUUGAAGAAGGAAAUUGAGUCCUUAAUUCAUAGAGGUCGAUUACAAGAAUUUGUUGCCAAAACAAAAGAAGUAGAUUGACCUCAAUCGUAAUCGCUUUUGUAGUAGGGGCCACCCGCACAAGCUUAGCAAGCGGUUCCUAAUCAUAAUCCACCCCCACAUGCCGAAAUUAAAAUGAUGGUCGGAGAAAACCAGUAUGUUGAAAGAUCUAGAAGGGCGAGACAAAGACAAGCCCGAAAUGCACGGAUCAUGUCAAACUUUGGGGAGAAAACCCCGUAGAUCGGUAUAGACCCUGAAUGGUUCUGGUUCACCGAGGAAGAUUCCUAAGGAAUCUUUCAAGAUCAAAGCGAUGUCCUAGUGAUCACCAUACCAGUUGCCAGGGUAAAAGUUCAUAGGACAUUGGUAGAUAAUGGAAGUUCGGUUAACAUACUGUAUUCACGAACUUUGAGUCAGUUGGAAAUCUAUCUUGAACCAUACUCAAGGAAACUACAGGGAUUCUAAGAAAUACUAUCGAAGCCCCGAGGUCAGAUCGUCCUUGUUGUAGAACUGGGCAAAGCUCCUCACCAAAGAAGGAUCCUGGUAGAUUUCAUAGUAAAAUUAUUUUUGUUCAUUGAAACACUGGAGCUCGAGGAGAAUGAGAAUAAUAAAUUGUAUACAUCUCACACAAAAGAAGACCAUAUUAUGAAGAAAAAUUAUUUAAAUAAUAAUUACGGUUUCCAAUAAAUUAAAUUUAAUAACAAUAUAUAUAAUAGAAGACAUAAUCUUUUAAUUUUUCAUUUUGAUUGAAGACAUAUUCUUUUAAUUAAUAAUCCGCGGUAAUUGAAUGAUUCCGUACUUCUUCUCGUUUGAAUGAUUGAUCACCGUUUAUAUGAAUAUAUAACUUAUUUUAUUUUUAGUAGGUUCGAAAUAGGUCUAGCUUAUUGUGGUAAUCAGCAUAAGAUCAUCUAGCCAUUAGGCAUAUUUAUUUAUGCCUUAUGCAAUUUAUAUUGAUAAUCUUUUGACUGAAUGCAUUUUUUGUUACUCAAAUUCUAGAUACGAAUAUCUCGGGAGAGAUUGUUAAAUGUUAUAGGAUUAUUGUUUAUAAAUGUGCACAUAUCAGGUUAAAAGAGAGAAGUUGAAGAUUAUAAUGAAUGUUAAUGGUGAAGUCGGACUCCUAGUAAGUUUUCUCAUGCAAAACUCUUUCAUCUUGAUCUUCAUUUUUAUUUUGAUAGUUGAUUGUAGAGUAAUUAAUCGAUUCAUAUUAUAUUUCAUCUAAACCCUUGUUGCAUUUGUUUAUUCGUUUUUUAGCACUAAUUGAUAAAUUUGAACUAAAGUCUAAAUUCUCAUGGAAAUGAUAAUUAUUCUCAUUUUGUAAUAUUAUUUGUUGGUGAUCCCGUACGCUUGCAUGAUUUGACAUAGCUUUGUUCAUUAUGUUUCAAAAGCAGUAAAUAUAAAAGUGGAAAAAUUAUUUUUCCCUCACUAACUAGUAGAGGGUUAAAGAAAAGAACUCGACAAAAUAUAAUGCAAUUAAAGUGUGAUGUAACAAGUAAAAAUAUUUCUCUUGUAUAGAAUCGUUUGAAAAUUUUUGGAUUUAAUUUUUUUCCAUGGCGCCAUGAUAAAAAAUAUUAUUGAGUUGUUAAGAAGUUGUUAAGCUAUUCACAAUCAAAUUGAAAGUUUCAAAUAUUGCUUAUUUGGCAUUAAAAUUUUUUAACACUUGUUCCACAUAGCCAUGACUAUACUUCUACGUUAUAAAAGUAUUAAAAGGAAAAAGUGUUAACAUCAUUGUUCUACCAAGUACCAUCCACAGGCUUUAGCAAUUCACACCACCAAACAAAUUUGUAGAAAAGAGAAUAAACAUCCAAAACAGUAACUAAAAAAUUACAAAAUGAUUUCCUUUUUUUUUUUUUAAGUUGCAAAAUGAUAAGAAGCUAAUAACCGUAACUAUAAUGGAUAAAAAAAAAUAUUGUAAGAUGCAAAAUAGUUAUUAAUAUCAAAAACUGUUUUACUUGAUAUCUUAUUUUUUUUCGUCAAACAAAAUUCAUUAAUCAAAUUAAAAAUUUCCAUUUGUCUAUUCACAAUGUCGGGAAACAAAUCAAAGUCAUAUAGAUUUUUCUAUAUUUUUCAUUAAGUAAAUAAAUUACUAAAAUUAUUUUUGUUCAUUGAAAAGCUGGAGGCUCAAGGAGAUGGAGAUAAUUAAUUAAUUGUAUAUAUCUCACACAAAAGAAGACCAUAUUAUGAAGAAAAUUUAUUUAAAUAAUAUAUUACGUCUUCUAAUAAAUUAAAUUUAAUAAUAAUAUAUAUAAUAGUUAAAACAAACAUGGUGUAAAAAUAAGUAAUAUAUAGUGUGAUCAUUUUUAACAAGGGUGCGUUCAGCUGUUUAUGAUGACAAAUUUGUUGACUUAUCUAUUCCUUUUCAAUGAUAAUGGUUUCUUUUGUUACACAAAGUAGAAGGUAAUAUGUAGAGUAACAAGACACGAUGUUAAAGUGUACAUACACCACAAACGCGUGGUAUUUAUAAAGUAGCGUGACAAAAUAAUUUGACGAGCUGUUUCUAUGUAUAUGUGAUCAUUUGCAGCUUACCAUGAAGAAUUGCAAAGUUUAUUCCUUAAAGGGUUGGUGAGAGAAAAGGAAAUAAAUGCCACAAUUUGUUGACCAAUGUAAAAAUAAUAAUAAAAAUAAAGUCCACAAACUCCAUUAUAGAAAGGAUAAGUAUUGCGACUUUUGUACAAUCAGUAAAUCUAUCACCUGUUGAACAAGUUAUAUGGAGGAUCCUAGAAUGAGUCCUAAGUUCAAAUUCCCACUAUUAUAUCAUAAAUAAAUAAACAAAAUAUUAUAUUCCUUUAACCAAUCUAGUAUAAUUAAAUCCGCAAUAUCAAUACGCAAUAGUAAUUUAAUUUUUUCUUGUAAUAGUUCGAGAAAAUAUUGCUUCUAUAAUUGAUAUUUUGAGGCCAUAUUGUGACUUGAUUAACUAAAGCAUCUCCACUGCUAAUAUGGCUUGCGCUAAAAUGGUUGUCACAUAAACUAAAAUCGAUAAUUUCUACAAAAGUACACCUCUAAUACAAAAUAUCAAGAACUAUGUCUAGCUGAUGUAGAAGUAGAUAUGAUCAAGAUGACAAUCUAGGUGCAUACGGUCUUUUAGAUAGAGCUAGUCACUACAAUUUAAUAUUUCUCUCUUUAUUUCUCUCUCCUUUUCCCUAUUUUUCUGACAUCAUUUUUUUUCUCUCUCCUAUGAUAUAUACUUUAGUGAUGAAAUUUGAUUAUAGAAAAAAUUCAUUAAAGAUGAAAUUUGAACGAGGUCAUAUAUUCAUUAGAUCUUAAUGUCACAUAUAUGAAAGCCAUCCUAUUUAGAUCUCACCCUAAUGACAAUCCACGAAUAUAUUAGAGAACCUCUAAGAUUCCUUACUGUUUGCAAAAAUUACUGAAUUAGCGUUUUCAAUCUAUUGCAAUCUUCUGGAGGCAAAUAUAAGUGGACUGUAAAUGCUUUAAGGAUUACAUUUUUCACGUAAAAUUAGCAUCGGAAAAUUUUGAAUUAGAUUUCUUUAUUUUAAUCUUUUGGAGGAAGGGCUUUACAUCUCCUAUUCAUAAUAAGAUUUCAAUGAACAUACAGUGUUGUGCAAGUCUGAGCAUCCCAUCCUUGUUUUGGUUAGAAACCCUGAACCUGUAAAUGGAUUUUAUGUUUAGAAAAAAAAUAAAAUAUAUAUAUAUAUUUUUUUUUCAAUCUCUCUGUCCAAACUCACGACAUAUUCAACUUGAAUAAAAAAGUUUACAUAUUUCUUAAUUUUGGCUUGCAAGUUAAUAUGCAAUUAAAAGAUUGUUCGUUAAUCCAUGUAUUUAAUAAGGCGUGAGGCACUAUAAGAUGGAUGUUAGACAAUUUGUUGUCAAACGAUCUUUCGGGCAAUGAUGUAACCUCGAUUUUAUUUAUUAUCAAUUGACCUUGACCUUAUGAUUGAAUUAUAGUCGACACUAUCAUCGAGAUAACCCAACCCACAUCUCUAUGGACCGUUAGAACCAACCUAUUUUAAUAGUGUUGCUCAUGGUUCGUCCCAUUUACUUGGAGGGCCUAUAGUAUUCAUUUGGAGCCCAUUACCUCAUGUUGAGCCUUGUUUGGACCACUUAGUUUACCUAACCUAACUUACCAUUUUUGGUCACUCAUUUGACUUAUAACCUAUGGCUCCUCUACGCCUCCAUCAUUAAGAAUACUCCAUCUCUUUCUGUGACUUGGAUUCUCGGCCUCUUUCCUUCAUAUAACUUAUGCGGUUUCUCGUGCUAUACAUUUUUCUUCAUCUUGGCCGACUCUUUGUGUGUAUAUAUAUAGCAACCGGAGGUGGGAAAGAAGGAGGUGAAGUUAGGUGUUGUCUCAAUCGAGGUUGUGUCGACAUAUGGUGGAAACUGAGCCCGGUAUCGCCUUGGUUAUUACUGGAAUUUCACCCUACAACUAGUAUCAGAGCGUGGGUCAUCUUCUCCGGCAAGAAAUUGACCAAGAAGGGCGGCGGGUUCACGAUUUCUUCAAAGGGACCGAACCUGCAUCUGCUAUUUCCGGACAAACGGCUGACCUGUAGAAGAAACUGAGGGCAAAUUCAGACUCAGCAAGUCGAGGCACCUCCGGUGGUGAGGCGCGUAGCUACGGCGACCGACGACGGCGCGUGGAGGACCUCCUGCAUGGUUUUUUUGUGCCAUUUCAAUUAUUUUAAUUUCCUAAACGUACUAAUGUGUUUAGUUUAGUGUUUCAGGUUGUGCAGAAAAUUUUGGACGAUUUUGCCCCUGAUUAAAUCUACAUUUGUUGCUGAACGAACUGUUAUAUUUGUUGAAUCUUUAGGGCGAAUAGUAGUGGCCCUAAAGUAGCAAAUUCGCAUCUCUCCAGGCUAUGGACUCAGAUAGGUCCGCUAUAGUAAAUUGGCUGAAAUCUUUAUAUUUUUGCACUAACAGAUAAUCGUGUGGAGUGAUCAUUAAGUUUGGGGAUUGCCAUUGCUUGGCAGUCAUUGCUUAGGCUAGAAUUAGGGUUACGUGCUCUUGAUUAUUUGAUUGAGUAUUUAUCUUUUAGUUAAAUCAAUAUUUGAGCCUCAGUGACAUAACUAUCGUGAAACUAGUUAUCUGUUAGACGUAUCUUUUAUUGCAUUGUUACUUCCGCUGCUCACUUAUUCCGUUAGAACUACCGUGACCUUACUCAUUCGAACAUUCCCUUGAUCUAAGACCACGAGUCUUACGAAACCUUGGGAAUUUAGAACGGUGUAUGCAGUCUGUGACCCUAGGACUACUUUGUGUGGUUUGAUUGUGUGUUUUUGUGCUCUUUAACUACUGUGUAAAGAUGACAACUCACAACUUUGAUUUGGAAAUUUUUAAUGGAAAGGGUGAUUUUGCUAUAUGGCAACAAAAAAUGAAGGGUAUUUUAAUCCAAAAAAAAGUUUCAAAAGCCAAUGAAGCCAAUUUUUCAACUGAUUUUUCACAAGAACAAAGAGAAGAAGCCGAUGAGCUUGCUUAUACCUUAAUCAUUUUAUACUUGUCUAACAUCAUUUUAAGAAAUGUGGGUGAAUUGAAAAUCACUAAAGAACUUUGCAAAAAAUAAAAAGACUUGUAUUUGCUCAAGUCUACACCGAAUAAACUUUACGUGCUCGAACGUUUUUUUAGUUUUAAAAUGGAUCUUUCAAAGGAUCUCGAUGACAAUUUAGACAUGUUUAACAAAUUGGUGUAAGAUAUAGUUAAUUGUGAUCAGGGUGUCCGAAACUUAUAAGGCUAUAAUUUUGCUUAAUGCAAUUCCUGAUUCUUAUAAGAAAGUUAAGAAUGCCAUUAAGUAUGGUAGAGACACGUUGACAACUGAAAUUGUCAUAGAUUUCCUAAGAAGUAAAGAAAUGGAAAUUAGGGCUGAAAAACACGAUAAGAGGAACGGUGAGGUACAUAUGAUGCGAGGUAAAACUCAAUUUAGGCAAAAUAGUCAUGAUGGAUAUUAAACUAAUGGCGAGCCAAGUGGUAAUGGAUGGAAAAAGAAGAGCAAAGGUAGGUCUAGAUCAAAAUCUAGGACUAAGGCAAGAAAAUAUUAUGGUUGUGGAAACAAGGGGCAUUUUAUAAAGGAUUGUCAUAAGGAGAAGGGUAAGCUAAAGAUUUAGGGGAGAGAUGAGGUCAAUGUGUUAGCAUUUACUUUCGAUAUAAAUGGUGGUGAGGUCUAUAUGAUUACAAGUCCCGUUGCAUAUACUGCUGAAUUAAAUCUACCUAUUAAUUCCCACAUGCAUGAGUAGAUACUUGACUCUGGCGCAUCUUUUCAUGUGACGUCUAAGAAGAAUUGGUUUUAUAAAUUGCACGAAUCUAUUGUUGGGCAUGUUGUGCUGUGUAAUAACUUUGCCUAUACUAUUGCUGGAAUUGGUGACAUAAACAUAAAAUUUGACACAGGUUUUGUGUACACGUUAAAGGAUGUUAGAUAUAUUCCUGAAUUGUCUAGGAAUCUGAUUUCAUUAGGGAAACUUGAAAAUGAUGACUUUACUAGUAAAAUUGGAAAUUCUAUGCUAAAAAUGAUCAAUGGUGCUUUAGUUUCCAUUAAGUAAAUUAAGAAAAACGAUAUAUAUUUUACCAGUGGGGAAGUGAUUAGAGGUUUGAACUCCUCUAUCUCCUCUGCCAAGAUUGAUCGCACUCACACAUGGCAUAAUAGACUUGCUCAUGUAGGCAUCAAGGGACUUAAGCUACUUGAUGAAAAAUGUGCUUUUGGUAAUGACUAUGUGUCAGAUUUGUCAUUUUGUGAUCAUUGUGUGCUUGGUAAGCAUCAUAAAACUUCUUUAUCCACGAGUGUUAAUAGAUCUAAAGGCAUGCUCGAAUAUGUGCACUCUGAUUUAUGGGGUCCUGCUAGUAAUCCUACAUCGGGUGGGAAUAGGUAUUUCCUGUCUAUUAUCAAUGAUUACACUAGGAAAGUGUGGGUCUAUCUAUUGAAAGAUAAAUCUGAGACUUUUAAUAGUUUUAAUGAUUGGAAGAGACAAGUGGAAAACCAAACUGACAAGAAAAUCAAAAUUUUUAAGGAUAGGUAACGGCCUAGAAUUCUGCAAUAAGGAAUUUGAUAGUAUGUGUAAAGAAAGCAGCAUAACUAGACAUAAGACCGUUCCUUACACUCCUCAACAAAAUGGGGCAGCAGAAAGGAUGAAUAGAACCACACUUGAUAAAGUACAUUGCAUGAUGAUAAGUUCUGGUGCUCCCAAGUCAUUUUGGGGUGAGGCUGUUAUGACUACUUGUUAUUUGAUUAACCUGACUCCUUCUACUACAUUGAAUGGUGACACUCCGCAUGAGAGAUGGUCGGGUAAAUUGAGUGACUACUCGAUGCUUAGAACUUUUGGCUGUACAGCUUUUUCUCAUCAAAGUGAGGGUAAGCUGGAACCUAGAGCUAGCUGGAACCUAGAACUAGGAAGUGUGUCUUUCUAGAAUACCCAGAGGGUGUUAAGGGUUAUAUGUUAUGAGAUAGAAGCCAAAAAGGGGUUAAGAUCAUCAUAAGUAGGGAUGUCACAUUUAACGAGAAUGAAAUGCCGUGUAUUAAAGGGGAAACUGAAACUGAUAGUGAAACUGAACCAGGUGAAGAGAGAGACCCGUUUAAGGUGGAGUUAGGAAAGCUCAGUACACCUGCCCCUAUUGCUCCUAAUGAGGUGGAGAUUCAAGUUCAGGAAUCUGAGGUGGAGAAUAGUAACGAAGUAGUAAUAGAAGAACCCUAUGAGGAAGAAAAUCCUUUAGCUAACUACAACUUAGUUAGGGAUAGAGAGAGGAGAUAAACGAGAGAACCUAGAAGGUUCAUUUUUGAAUAUGAAUUAGCUUUCGCUCAGGCUAGUUGUGAAGAACUAGCUGAUAAAGCGCCAAAAACCUUUGAAGAGGCAAUAGGCAGUGAUCAAUCUAAUGAAUGACUUAAGGCAAUGAAAGAAGAGAUGAAUUCUCUAGAAAAGAAUCACACUUGGGAGCUAGUACCUAGGCUUAAGAACAAAUCAAUUGUUGAUUGCAAAUGGGUUUUUGAGGUUAAGAAAGGUACUAGUAGCUCAGAACCCUUAAGGUUUAAAGCUAAGUUAGUAGCUAAAGGUUACACACAGAAGGAGGGCGUUGAUUAUAAUGAGACUUUCUCACCAGUUGUUAAGUACACCACUAUUAGGGUCAUACUCACAUUGGUUGCACACUUUGACUGGGAACUUGAACAACUUGAUGUAAAAACUAUUUUUUUUACAUGGUGAGCUUGAUGAACAAAUCUUCAUGAAUCAACCAAAAGGUUUUAAGGAUAAGUCAAAACCUGAUUAUGUGUGUUUUCUAAGAAGAUCUUUGUAUGGGUUAAAACAAUCUCCUAGAUAGUGGUACAAGAGGUUUCAUUCCUUUGUACUCGCUAUAGGGUUCCAAAGAAAUAAAUUUGAUCACUGUUUGUAUUUUCAACACAAUGAGACCGAUGAUAAUUAUCUAUUUUUGUUGCUCUAUGUGGACGACAUGCUUUUGAUUGGAUCAUCUUCUAAGUGGAUAAAUAGCAUAAAAGUAAAGCUAAGUGGUGAAUUUCACAUGAAAGUCCUAAGUAAGGCUAAGAGAAUUCUAGGCAUGGAAAUAGAAAGAGAUAGGUCAAAUUCCAUUUUGUUCUUGCAUCAGUCUCCAUACGUAUCCAAAGUAUUGAAGAAAUUUAAUAUGAGUGAUUGCAAACCUAUCACGCUGCCUCUUGCUAAUCUUUUUGUUUUAUCGAAGGAACAAUCUCCUUGCAAUGAUCAUGAAGUAGAAUAUAUGAGUAGAGUGCCUUACUCUAAUUUGAUUGGUUCUAUAAUGUAUUUGAUGGUUUGCACUAGAUCAGAUUUAGGUUUUGCUAUUAGUACUCUCAGUAGAUACAUGGCUAAUCCGGGCCAUGAACAUUGGGAAGUGCUAAAGUGGCUAUUAAAGUACUUGAAAGGUAUAAGUGACGUAAAUUUAAAGUUUAAUGCUAAUAAAGAAGGUAUAAAAUUAAAGGGUUUUGUAGAUGCUGAUUACGCGGGAGAUAGGGAUGGUAGGAAAUCCACUUCGUCUUACGUGUUUACCUUAUCUAAUUCAUGUGUUAGUUGAAAAUCACAGUUACAACAUAUUGUUGCACUAUCUACUAUAGAAUCAGAAUAUAUUGCUACCACUGAAGCUAUUAAAGAAGCUCUAUGGCUUAGAGGCCUACUUCAUGAACUAUAUGUUUUGAAUGAUUAUGUGAUAGUGUAUUCUGAUAGUCAGUCAUCUAUACAUCUGUGCAAGAACCCCGUUUUUCAAGAGCCCACUAAACACAUUGAUAUUAGACUCUACUUCAUUAGAGAUAUAGUAUCUCAAGAGGUGGUAAGACUUGAAAAGGUCCACACCCACUACAACCCUUCCAAUAUGGGGACGAAGAUAUUGCCAUUGACAAAGUUUAGAAGUUGCAAGGAACUUCUAAACAUUGGUACAGGUAAAUGAUGUCCAAUUUUAUUGAUUUUCUAUUAGAGGUGUCACUAAUAGGAGACAUUUUCUUUUGCAGGUCCUUUGAUACCAAGGUAGAGGUUGUUACACAAUUUGUUGUCAAACGACCUCCCGGGCAAUGAUGUAACCUCAGUUUUAUUUAUUAUCAAUUUCCAUUGGCCAUAUGAUUGAAUUAUAUGUCGACACUAUCAUCGGGACAACUCAACCCAUAUCUCUAUGGACCGUUAGAAGCAACCUAUUUUAAUAGUGUUGCUCAUGGUUCGUCCCAUUUACUUGGAGGGCUAUGGUAUUCAUUUGGAGCCCAUUACCUUAUGUUGAGCCUUGUUUUGACCACUUAGUUUACCUAACUAACUUACCAUUUUUGGUCACUCAUUUGGCUUAUAACCUAUGGCUCCUUUAUGCCUCCAUCAUGAAGAAUACUCCAUCUCUGACUUAGAUUCUCGGCCUCUUUCCUUCAUAUAACCUAUGUGGUUUCUCUUGUGCUAUACAUUGUUCUUCAUCUUGGCCAACUCUUUUUGAGUAUAUAUAUAGCAACCGGAGGUGGGAAAGAAGGAGGUGAAGUUAGGUGUUGUCUCAAUCGAGGUUGUGUCGACAUAUGGUGGAAACUGAGCCCAGUAUCGCCUUGGUUAUUGCUAAAAUUUCACCCUACAAUGGCAAGUGCGCAGCCUCCAGUGUCUGCUAAAUUUUUUAUAGAAUUCUUUCUGGAGCAUUUCUUUUGUUCUUUGUUCCUUGUCAGGACUAUGCUGCAGUUACAGAACUGUAGCUUCACAAAAGGGUACCAGAUUACUCACAAUAGGGGGGUUGAGAGAUUUUUUUGGCAUUUUUUAUUCAUGGCUGGGGCCCAUAUGCGUGACUAUCUGGUGCAAUUCUGUGUACAAAUUUUUUAUACAAGUGGCUUUUCCCUUCUUGUCAUAUCUCUUCAGCCACGAAUUGAACCUAAAAUAUGCAAAAACACGCACUCUCAAUAACUAUACGAUCAAGAUGAUAUUCAAAUUUUUUGAUGUUCGUGGCCCUAUAUAAGCGCUAAUUACACUUAUCACCAAACUCUCAAUAUAUUCCACUUAUUCCCAAGUUUUUGUUAAAUAUUCCUUAAUAACCGAAUGUGAGUCAAUUCAUAAUUAAAAGGGUGACUUUAAUCCAUGUAUUUUACUUAAUUGAUUUACUUUAUAAAAAAAAAAAAAGGGGUUCCUUUUCCUACACUUGGUUAGGUAUAUCACGUGAACUUUAAUAAUCUUUAAUGUUGUGAAUUAAUAUGUAUUUGUAAGUUUGAAUUGGUUUUUGCUUACGGACCAUGCGUGGACUUUCUAUUUACAUAUGAAAAAGUCAUCACCCAAUAAUACUGCUUUUACCCUAUAAAUAACUCAAAAUAAUCUGUACUAAGCAUAAUUCAGGAAGCAUGGCUAAUAGCAAAGUUAGCAUCCUUACCCUCCUCCUAAUCUGCGGUAUGGUUACCGAUCUGUGCACUUUUCGUAACUUAUAUUGGUUGAUUAUUGACACUUCUAUGAUGGUCAAGUAUUUUAUCAUUGUGAAACAAUAUUGCAAAAAUACUGUAAUAUAGAUCUUAUGAUAUUAGUUAAGCAGUCAUCUGCUGCCCAUUGGUAAAUAUUGUGUGUUUUGAUAAAGAGAAGCAUUGAAGAAGUUGCUUGUGCAUAUAAAGUAUUAAGGUUUUAGAUAAAUUUUUACAUGUAUGCAGUUGAAUUUAUUGAUCAUUUUCUUUCUGGGCAUUUUUUCCUGAAUUAUUAAGUUUUUCCACUGGUAAGUUAAUCUUUUCUUCAUAUGUUUGUGGAUUCUAAAGCAAUGUUGCAAUACUAUAAGUUAUGCCAUUAAGUUGUAGCAUGACAUAUACAUGAUUUUAUCUUAACUGCAUAUUGAAUUUUCUCGAUAUUUUCUUUGAUCAAGCUUUAUACGCAAUACUAGACAAGACUGAGCUAAACAAUAGGUUUGAUUUCAAUAUUAUGUUUUUCUUUCUAUGACAGCAUUGUUUUUCUUGGGAAGCAAAGUGCAAUAUGCUGAAGCCCAAAGGAAAAUUUGCCCACUAGUUUGCCUCAAAGUUGGCUACAUGACUUGCCCAAAAUCUGGUUCUAAGAAGCUUCAUCCAGGCUGCACAAACUGUUGCAAAGUAAAGAAGGGCUGCAAACUUUAUAGAUCUAAUGGAAGCCUAAUUUGUACUGGAAAGUAAUUGGACAUGCGAUAAAUCUUAAAUAAAUUGUCAUAUGUUUAUGCUAUAAACAGGCAAAAUAAUAAAUGAAUCUCUUAUAAUAAAUCCAAGAUUCAGGUUUAAUUGUAUUGAUGGACGUUGUUUCUAUGAAAUUAUCCUUUACAUAAUUACUUCUCUAAGUUUUUUGGGUGAGACUUAGUUGUUGUAUAAUCUUUUAUUCAUCUACUAGCCACCCACCACCCUCGACCUCCUGCAUAAUCAAAAAAUUGUUGUAAAAACAGAAAUUACACACAGCAUGAUGAGGGAGACUACAAAAAUUCAAACGAAAUAAAAGAUAUAUGUACCCAUGGAUCUCUUGAGGACAGAAUUUGCCUCUAGCACAUAUGAAUAGAUCAUGACUGGGUGGGGCUUAUUGUUACACCCACUUUAUUCAUAGUCAAAGUCAAAAUUAUUCAUUCAAAGUCAUCAGUUCAUUUCGUCAAAGUCAAAGUCAAAUAAAGACUUGAUUUGAAAAAGAAAUUCUUAUGGGGACUAUUAUAAGCUAGUGGUAUUUGUUGGAACUAAUUGGUAAUUAUAGAAACAAAUUGGUAAGUUUUAAAUGAAACAUACAGGUUAAAUUGCAAACUAUGGAAAAGUGGAGGGCCUCACUAAUGAAUACAUAAUUAUUUUCCCAUUUAACUUGAGGAGUAGAGAAGACGGAGGGAAAAAAGAAGAAUCAAGGAACGGGAAGAAAAGAAAGGAAAGAGAAGAAAGGAAGAAAAAAGGAAGGAAAGAAAAAGAGAGGAAGAAGAAAGAAUGGAUGACUAAACACUGAUUGAGUUAGGAUUCUUCAACUUCCUCAGUUUCUAGAUGUAAGCAAAAUAUUUACCUCGUUUGGCCCCAUUAAUUCUCGUUAAUUUACAUUUUUUUGGUGUUUUUCAACCAAAUAUCUAGGCCAAAAACACAGCCUCCAGCUUUGUUUGCUACUUACAUCAAGGAUAUAUUUUUUCUCAUUCUUCUCUUCAACCGAUGGGACCUUUUUUCGUCUACUCCAACAAACACUCAGGCUACUAUUAUGGACAAUGAAGGCCCGAAGUGGGGCUACUAUUUACAAACCAUGGUAAGCAGACUGCUUGGUUGUUUCUCCCUUGAGAUCUUGUUUAUAUGCCAAAUCUGAAAGAUUCAAUAUUUUUGGGGAUAAGUGCCGACUUGUUUAGCUAAAACUAAAUCAACAUCUAGUUACAUUUAUUUUAGUUCACAUUUCACUGUUUGUAGAACUACACGGCUCAUUUUUUGGACCCGGUGCCGGUUGCAUCUCCUAUUCAACAGUGUGAGAGGAAGACAAAGACUCGCAAGUCUGCAAAGUGGAACGUUGGGAGCAGAAGAUAUUCGCAAUUACGGCAGAACAUGUCACUACUGAAGGCUAUCAUAGGGAAACGUGUUUAACAAUAACUGGUUGAGAGCACAUCCAUGAUUUGUUCAACAAAAUCUUUAAGGAGGAUUAGACCAUCGCCAAGCUGAAGAACCACUAGGCUGUUAUGUAAAUAGAACACAAGUUUUUCGUCAAGUUGCUCCGAUGCUCUAGAAUUUAGUAUAGUCUUAGCAAUGAGGGCAAAAUUAACUCCCUUGACUGGUGGUUAGAGCAGAAACUGAAGGUAAAACAACGAAUCAAACAACCUGGCUUAAAGAUUGAACCCUAGUUUUUUAUGAAUGUGGGGAUCAAUUUCGUUUAUUGUACUAAUGAUAAGUGUGUUUUGUGCACUUUUUCAAGCCAUAUUACUAAACUUUUAUGUCAUCAAAUUGAUGAAUUUUACUUAACUUGGAUUGCUUUUCUUUUGUUUUAGUAAUGAACUCGUUUGAAGCAAUUGGAAAGAAAAGAAGGAUUAAUUGGCCGUUAAGUAGAAGUUUGUGGACUAAAUCUCACUUGAAUAAAAGCUGGAGGAUCAAAAUCGAGGAGAAAAUGAAGAAAAAGGGCUAACUUGAAUUACAUGGAAGAAUUGAGGCCUUGAAAGAUAAAUUGCAACUAAUUGGGCCUCAAAUUAAUGAAAAGUGAAAAUUUUAUGGGCAAAUUUGGCCCAAUGCCCUAAAAAAAUUACUAAUUUGAUUAGUACCCUAUUUAAUUAAUAAAAUCAUUCAACAACGUAAUUAAUACGUUAUAACCUCUCCCAAACCUCCAAACUCCUGAAGCCUGCAUGAAUGAGGAGAGUAGCAUCGCCACCGUCAUUCACAACUCAAAUUGGUUCCACCAUCAGAUCUCCAAUCGAGAGACCGCUCACUACACCACCUGUACUUGUGAAGUGUUUCACCCUUCUAGGCGAACACCGCCGCACUAUCGUUUGCAAUGGCUGCUGCGACGUGGUCCUGGGUGGAAAUUGGAAAGUAUGUUGCACGAGCACCUGAAGCACUUAGCACUUGAUUAUGUUUUUGUAUACAAAUAUGGUUUUUGUAAUGUUGUUUGUUUAGACUGCUCUGGUGGACUUCUAUUUGAAAAUGGGUCACAUGGACAUUGCACAUCGGAUGUUCAAUGGAAUUGAAGGGAAGAACGUUGUUUCUUGGAAUUAAAUCUAUGAGAUUUAGCAAUGGCUCAGAAUGUGUUUGAUGAAAUGCCAGAGAAGGAUGUGAUAUCUUGGAAUGCAAUGGUUUCAUCAAUACACCAUCCCCUUUGGAGCACCUCAUCUCUCUCUACAUCUCUGCCUUUCUUUGUCUAGAAACACAUUCUAAAUUCUCAUCUAUUCAACUUGUUUAGCAAUAUAUAUACUCUUUUUAUCAGUUUGCUAAAAGGUAAAAGCUAAAUUUCUGUUCAGAUAAUAACUUUAGCAAUGGCUCAAAGUAUGUUCGAUGAAAUGCCAGAUAAGGAUGUGAUAUCUUCGAAUGCAAUGGUUUCUAGUUAUGCAAUGGGCAAGAUUAUGGAGCAAGGAUAUGCAUUCUUUUGAUAGAUGCCAGGGAGUAGUUUUGCUUCCUGGAAUGCUAUGAUCUGUGGGUAUCUAGAUUGUGGAAAGAUAGAAUUAGCAUGCAACUUUUUUGAUGCGAUGCCCAAGAAGAACAACAUUUCUCAUAUCAGAGUGAUUUCUGGGUACUCAAAAUGUUGUCCGAGUUUGGGAAACUAUUCGGUCAGUAUUCAAAUUGUAGGAUAUGUUAUGAUUUGAAGACCGCAAAAAAUAUUAUUCGAGUAACAAUGAUGAGCGUUUAUAUGAUCUUUUGACAUUUACAUCUUAGGUUAGUCAUCAAUUUUCAUUAGUUGUGACUUGUGAGCUUAUUGUAAACUUGGUUGCAUUUAAAUUUUGGAUUAUGAUCAUAUUGUCCAAGUUGUUAGUUCAAAAAUUUUUAAUUUGUUCAUUAGCUGUGAACUUAUUAGAUAAUUUGUCUAUAUUGAAAAUUGUGGAUUACGGUUUGUCAUUUUUUUGAAUUUGAGUCACUUUUUUUUAAAUAUUUGUCACUUUUUUUGAGUUUGUCACUUUUUUUGAAUUUUUUUUUUACUUUUUGAGUGUUUGUCAUUUUUUAAUCUGUGUAACUUUUUUUAAAAUUGUGUCACUUUUUUGAAUUCGUCACUUUUUUUUUUUAAAUUUUCGUCACUUUUUUGAAUUUUCGUCACCUUUUUAAUGUUUGUCACCUUCUUGAUUUCUAUCUCUUUUUUAAAUUCGCCACUUUUUUAGUGUUCGUCACUUUUUUAAAUUUGUCACUUUUUUGAAAUUUUGUCACUUUUUUUUUAAUAAAAGGGGAGAUUGUAUGUCAUUUUUUAAUAAAAAAGCGACACUAAACUUUUAAAAGUGACAUUGUGUCACAUUUUUGAGUUUUUUUGUCACUUUUUUAAAUAUUUGUCACUUUUUGAAUAAAAUAAAAAAGUGACAUAAUAUGUUAUAUUUUCCUAACAUAAUUAGGACAUUAACAAUCCACAUGCUGAUUAUGUUAAGAACUGCUACUACGCUCUAAUUAUGUUAAGAAUGUGAUUGGUGGUGCUGCCUAAAUGGAUGGCGCUAUUUUGGUGUUUCUCACUUUUUUAGUGUUCGUGUCACUUUUUUUGAGUUUAAAAAAACAAAAACAAAAGUGACAAUUUUUAUAAAAAGUGACAUUGUGUCACUUUUUUCAUUUCACACAGUAUUUUUUACUUCCUAAAAACUUUUCAUAUGAUUUUUCAAAAUACCUCUAAUUUUAAGGGCAUUUUUGUAAGUUGCCCUAAUUUUAUUGGGCCUAAAGUGGACUUUUAAUUGUAAUCAAAUUAAAUAAUUAAUGAAACAUUGAAUUGGGUAGCUGUUUACGCAAUAGACAAAUAGAAACAUUUGGGUGGCUGGAGAAAAGAAAAAAGAGAAGCAAAGCCAACGGAAAAGCAAUAUGAAAUUAAGAAAUUAAUCACGUCCAUUGAUUUUUUAUGAUGCCUUUUAUCCUUUCUUUGUCUAAUUUCAAUAUUAUGCUAUGCUAAAUUAUUAUGUGUUAAGAUUAACGAUGAAACUUAUAUCAUGAACCUUUUAGAUCUAAAUUUUAUUUCUUUUGACAUUUAAAACAUGCUUUCAAUUCUUAAAUGAUUGGCAUGGAUUUAAUUUUUUCUACAAUUAUUUGAUCACUAAUUUUAUGAAUAUUGUAGCUUGUUUUACCCUUGAGAGAUGGGUAAUAAGUUAGACAUUGUGUCAACUGUCGUAAAAUCUGAUAGAGGAUAUAAAUAUGCCGUUAUACUUUCCAUGAUCUUUAAGUAUUCACAAAUCUAUUAAUGCAUUUUUAUAUGUUCACAUCCGUCAUAAAAAUAUAAGCAAGUCACAUGUAAAAAAAAUUUUAAUUCUGCUCGAGAGAGAUUGUUAAUCAAAUUAGGAAUAUUGAUCUUCAUAAUUGAAUUGUGUCAUCAAAUUUAUAAGUUUCAAGGUAAAGGGAAUUGAUAUAAGGGGACUUGAGAUCCUAGUACCCUUUUCAUCAUUAUAUUUUUUUAAAAUUUGCAUUUAAUUUGAGUCUUGCAUUUAGUUUAAUCAAUUUAGAUCUUGCAUUUAUAAGUAGAUUGUUUAAUGUAGUUAGAGAAAAAUUACGACUUUCAAUUGUUUCGAUUAAGGCUAAGUUAAUUUGACUAUGAACUAAAUCAAUGUCUAUGGCAAUGAUAAUUGGACUCAAGAAAAAUCCAUUUAACUACUUGUUAACAUACCAUACAAAUCGCAAAGUUUUAAAUCGAAAUAUUAUUAUCUGAACAAAUUUUUAGUGUCAUUGUUGAGGAUUGUGUUUGAGUUUAAGUUCAUUUAGCUUAGUAUUAAUUUGAAAUUUUUGUGUUUAUUUUAUUUUAUUUUUUCUUUGUUAAAUUAUUUUAAUGCUUCUAUUUUAUUUUUAUGACAUUUUAUGCAAAAUUUGGGAGACUGUGAAUUGAUACCAGCUAAUCCAAAAAAUUGAACAUACUUUUCAUCAUAGGCAAAGAUAAGCAAGAGAAACACAACAACAAGAGAUGGCCAAUGCAUAAAACAAUCCGAUUAUUCAAGUGAAUGAAGGUGCAAUGGUCUAUGAAGAAAAUAUGCCGGUUGGGGACUUCAUGGCUCCAAAAAUUAUUAAAAGCCAAUCUAACAUCGUUUACCCUCUUUUUGGACAGCCAAAUUUUAAGUUGAAGACCAAUGCUAUCCAACUAUUUCAGAAUGGAUAUCAAUUUUAUGGCAGAGCGGAUGAAAAUCCACAUACACGCGUAUCUCAAUUUAUGGAGAUGUGUAAACACUUUAAAUAUCAAGGGGUUUCAAAUGAUAUGAUCGAAUUGAGAUUAUUUCCACAUACUCUAUGGGAUAGAGCACUUGAAUGGUUAGAUUUAUAGCCUAUCACUAUUCGGAAUGACUUGGCUUAAAAAUUCUGCAUCAAAUUCUUCCCACCAAGAAAGAUAUCCAAAUUGAAGCAUGAUAUAUCCAUAUUUUGGUAGGGAGAAAUUGAAUCCUUCAAUGAAGAUUGGAAUAGAUUCAAGAACAUGCUUCAGAAAUGUCCUCAUCAUGGCAUUAGUAAAGGGCUCUAGGUCCAAUAUUUUUAUGCAGGUCUCCAUUCAUCUUACGAAAGUAUGGUUGACUAAUCGUCCAAUGGCUUCUUAACCACGAAGACAAUUUAUGAAGCAUUGGAGUUGUUUUGACAGAUUGGCUACUACUAUAGUCGUGUGGGCUUCUGAGUGGGUUGUUCAUAAGAAGGCAGGAGGAGUAUAUGAGGUGAACACUUAUAACUGGGUUAUCUAUAAAAAUUGAUUCUUUGGCUCAUAAGGUUAUGAGCAUAUCAUAGUCAGUCAAUGCAGUACAGUUCAAGCGGCGAAGUUGUGAAGAAUGUCGUACAUAUCAUAUUACAGUAGAUUGUCCAAUUCUUGCACAAAAUAUUGAACAUGUUGAAUAUGUACAAGAAGGUUAGCACCAACAAAAUAACCCACAUUCUAAUACAUACAACUCAGGUUGGAGAAAGCACCCAAAUUUUUCUUGGGAUAAUCAAAAUCCUACUGCAUUGCAUGAUUACCAGUAUUUGCAGCCUGAAAAGAGAGUUCUGCUAGAAGAAAUGUUUGGUAAAUUUAUAGAAAGGGCAGACCACUAUAUAGAGGUAAACAAUCAAUUCAUGAGAAGAACUAAGACAACCCUUAAAAAUCAAAGUGCUACAGUCAAGAACCUGAAAACUCAAAUGGGAUAGAUGGCACCUGACAUAUCAAGUAAAGUACCAGGUACCCUACCGAGUAAUACUAAUACUAACCCCAAGGAGCAAGUAAUGGCCAUAGGUAUUUUAGAGGAUGUAAUAAUUGAGGAUCUCUCUGUGAAAGCAAUUACAACAAUAAAAUGGAGUGUAGUUGCCAAUUAUGAACAAAGUGAAUACAAGAGAUGAGGAGAAACUGGAAGGUAAAAACAAUCAAUCACAAAAAUUUUGAAAGAGAAUAGAGGCAAUGCACAAUUUAAGGCACCGAUCUGGUUAGAGAAUAUGUAGCUCCCAUCUUGUUCCUACAAAGGUUAAAGAAACACGAGCUAGAUAAAUAGUUUGAAGAGUUUUUUAAUGUGCUCAAAAAACUCCACAAUAUCCCGUUCAUAGAUGUGAUAAGGCAAAUUUCAAACUACGCAAAAUUUUUGAAGGACAUGAUAUCAAAGAAAAGAAAGCUUACGGAAUUUGAAACUGUGGCACUGACAGAGGAGAGCAGUGCAAUAUUACAAAAUAAACUGCCUCCCAAACUCAAGGAUCUUGGGGUUUCACUUUACCCAUUUUAAUUGGAGAAGCUGGUUCUUUCAAUACUUUAUGUGAUACAGGCACAAGUAUUAAUUUAAUGCCUUUAUAUGUAUUCAAGAAAUUGGGAUUAUGGAAAGCAAAAGAAACAACAAAGUUAUUGCAGCUGAUUGAUAAAAGCAUCAAAUAUCCAAGAGGUAACAUUGAGGAUAUACUCAUCAAGGUCGGCAGAUUUAUAUUUCCAGCAAACUUUAUUGUUCUAUACAUAGAAGAAGAUAGAGAUAUUCUAAUAAUCUUAGGACGUCCAUACUUAACAAUAGGUCAAACUUUGAUUGAUAUGGAGAAAUGUGAACUAAUAUUGAGAGUUUAUAAGGAACAAUAAGUUUUGAAAAUACACAAUACAUCCAAACAACCAUCUAAUCUCGACGAGCGAAAGUGUAUUGAUGAAGAUGAACCAUCCAUUUAACAAAACUGUCAGAAUAAAAAACCAAAAUUUGGAGGAAUUAUUGGUAGAGACAAUGACGGAGAAUUCAUAGUUUAGAGAGAUAACACGGGAUGCAAGGUUAGAAAUUGCAAGGAGUACAAGGCAAAACAUUUCAAUUUGACCACCUUAAGGAAAUCACCCCAAAAGUCGAGCUCUAAGUUAUAAAUCGAGCGCUUAAUGUGAAGCAACCCAUUUUUCUAUCACUUUUCACUUAUUUCGAUUAGUUGUUGCAUUACAAGUAGUUUUAGGGAUUGCAUUAAUUUAAGAACUCAAGCAUUUAAAUGAUUUGCUUUGAACACAUUUUAGGUUGUACUUUAAGACUAGCAUUAGUAAUUUAGGUAAGUUUACUUAUUGAGUUUAUUUUUACUUAAACUCAUUGUUAACAUCCUAGCAUUAUAUUAAGCUUACCUUGAUAUGAUAUGCAUUAUUAAGGUAGACUGCAAUAUCCAACCUAUUUUGAAAGACUUAUCUUUUCGUAGCUAUAGGAUUUUUGUAGGGAUGCCACUAUGUCCGAACAUUAUAUGAUUAGAAUUUUUUUGGUGUGAAUUCAUUACAAAUAUUUAAACCUUAUUCUCUAUCACUAAUAUUUAUUUUGAAUUCUUGACAUAGAAAAUUAAAGCCUAGCAAUAAAGAAAGGUGGCAGUUGUCAUGACUUCUACUAGCUGAGCCAACUUGAUCCUUCUACCUAUCAGUAGAGUUUCUGAUCCUUACUAUUUUACAUCUAUUAUUCUUGCUCUUGCAUUGGGAAUAUUGUAAUAUAAUGCUGUCUAGUUAGAGUUGAAUGACUUGACGCCAAAGAUGAUAUUUAUUUGUUUGAAUUGAGUACAUGUUUAGUUAGAUACUGGUCAACACCAUAACUGUGCUUUUACUUGAAAACUUAUAUAUGUUAGAUUUGAUUAUUUCAGCACAUUGCCAUAUUGAAUUAUCAGUUACGUUGGGACAUGACUGAAUUAAGCCCCUGUUUGGCCCCCUUUUUUGGAAAUGAAAAUGGGUGGAAUAGUAGUUUUUCAAAAAAUGAGUGGUUAAAAAAGAAGAAAAUGUCUUCGAUUUACGUGUAAUAUUAUUUUGUGUAAGAUUGUAUUGUUGAAAAUAGGAGAGAGAAAAAUAAAAUGUAAUAUAAUGUAAUUUAAUGGAGGCCAAACGGGGGUUAAGUGAAUUUAAUUGUUGAUGUUGUUGAUCUAGGUUUGAAUAAAAUUUUCCAAGUCCUUUAUAGAAACUAAAUUGCUAUAAAUCAGUUUUGUGACAGGAAGGUUAGUGAUUGUUUUCAUUGAUGUGUGAUUAUUUGGAGUUCUUGGAUCCCAACAUUAGUUGAAGGAGUUUGAGUUAAGGAGUCUAAAAUGGGUACUGAUCAUAUCCUUAAAAAAAAUUCAAAUCUCAUACAUAUGUAACCUCUUUCGUAGCCUUUAUGACUCAAGUGAUUAAGCCUACUAAGGUUUUUAAAACUUGGUGCCCUAUAAUUGUUUGGUUUGGGAGUCAUCGGCCUAAUGCUCGCUACAGGGAUCAUUUAGAAAGUUAAAGGGAAAGAAGUUUUGCACAUAAGAUAUUAAAAAAAAAAAAAAAAGAAUGAAAAGUUAGAUUCUCAUAUUAAAAGGAAAAGUGACAAAUCUUCUACCUCUCAUCAUAACCUUUCUGACUCGAGUUAUUAAGUUUGUAAAGGUAUUUAAAAAUUUGGUGUUAUAUAGUCAUUUGAUUUGGGUACAUGCAUCAUUUAGAAAGCUUAAAAAGAGAAGUCUUGUACAGGAGAUGUAAAAAAAUGAUCUAAAUAAUCAAAAUUGAGAUGUGUUGGCUAAAGACUUUGAGAUGUAAACUCUAGGGUUAGCAGUGUGACUUUAAGACACAUUUACCACAUUUUUCCUAGGUUUACAUAUAUCCAAACCACUUGAGUGAAAAAUGCAUUAUUAUAAUUUUUAGAAACCCAUAUGUGCUAGAAGUACCUCGUGCUUUGGGAGAAAACAUAUGGAUUGAUCAUGCACGAGAGGCGUGAGGAAAAACUGACCACAAGAGGAUUGGGAUUGUGCAUAAAUCAACAUUACUCUAUUAGCUGUGUUCUAGUAUGGGAUGUGAGUUUAAUGUUGGCUAGUCAUACACACACUAAGUCGAGCAUCAGAUAAGUAAAAAUCUAUUUUAAUAUUAUUUGGAUCUUUCUAAAGUAUUACUUAAAUUUGAAUCUAAGGCUUAUGAUAAGCAAUUCAGCAUUGAGUCUUUUAUCUGUGAUUUGUUUGAGUUAGUUAUAUGUGUCAUAUCUAAGUUUUAUUUUAUUUUCUUCGAGGAUUAACAAAUAUUUUAGUUUGGAGGUGUUUGAUAAGUACAUUAUUAUGCACUUAUUUAGGACAUAUUACUAAACUUUUAUGUCGUCAAAUUGUUGAAUUUUAUUUAACUUGGGUUAAUUUUCUUUUGUUUUACUGAUGGACGCGUUUAAAGCAAUUGAAAAGAAAAUGAGCAUUGAUUGGCCUUUAAAUAGAAGUUUGUGGACUAAAUCUCACUUGAAUAAAAGCCGGAGGAUCAAAAUCGAGGAGAAAAUGAAGAAAGGGACUAACUUGCUUCACAUGGAAGAAUUGAGGCCUUAGAAGAUAAAUUGCAACUAAUUGGGCCUCAAAAUAAUGAAAAGUGAAAAUUUAGUAGGGCCUAAAGUGAACUUUUAAUUGUAAUUAAAUUGAAUAAUUAAUGAAACGUUGAAUUGGGCAGCACACACACACACACACACACACACACAUAUAUAUAUAGGCGGAUAGAAACCUUUGGGCGGUUGGAGAAACGGAAAAAGAGAAGCAAAGCCGGCGGAAAAGCAAUACAAAACUGAGGAAUUAAUCACGCUCCAUUGAUAUUUUGUGAUGUCUUUUAUCCUUUCUUUGCCUAAUUUCAAUAUUAUGCUAGGCUAAAUUAUUAUGUGCUAGGAUUUACGAUUAAAUUUUUUAUAAUGAACCUUUAAAUCCAAAUUUGAUUUCUUUUGACAUUUAAAACACGUUUUUGAUUCUUGAAUGAUUGGCAUGGAUUUAAUAUUUUCAACAAUUACUUGAUCACUAAUUUUACCUUCAAGAGAUGGAAGAUAAGUUAGACAUUGUGUCAAUUAUCGUCGAGUCUGAUAGGAAAUAUAAAUAUACAUUUAUACUUUAUGUGAUCUUUAAGUAUUCACAAAUUCAUUAUACAAUUUUAUAUGUUCACAUCCAUCAUAGAAAUAAAGGUGGGUCACAUGUAAAAAUAGGUUUAAUUCUACUUGAGAGUGAUUGUUUGACAAAUUAGAAAUAUUGGUCUUCAUAAUUGAAUCGUGUUGUCAAAUUUAUAAAUUUCGAGUUAUAUAUUUGUCUAAAAUUUGCAUUUAGUUUAAGUCUUGGAUUGAGUUUAAUCAAUUUAGGUCUUGCAUUUAUAAGUAUAUUAUUUAAAUUAGUUAGAAAAAAAUUACAACUUUCAAUUGUUUCGAUUAAAGCAAAGUUAAUUUGAACUUGAUCUAAAUCAAUCUCUUUAGUAGCUAUACACCACUAAAAAAUAUGGCUUCAGGCACGGAUUUUCCAUUCCUAAAACCUUGAUAUCCGUUGCUAUUACUCUUUACCAACGGAAUAUUUGCAACUACAAAUCCGUUGUCAAUUUGAGGGUCGCUAAUAGUUACUAAUGGAUUGUGCUAUAGGUAAAGAGUAAACAUUUUACCAACGAAAAUUUCGUUGGUAAUGUGUGAAUUUUUUACCAACGGAAUUUUUGUUGGUAAAAAUCUUAAUCAAUACCAACUGUCUUUUCAUUGGUAAAUGCCUACCAUUACAAUUGGUAACAAUUCAUAUUGUAAAUAGUCGUAUAGGUGUGAGACAUGGUAAAAAAAAUAAAUUAUUUACUUAUGUUUUUAUAAUUGUUAUUAUUAUAUAUUUAAUAAUUAUAAUUCUUUUUAAGACUUUUAAACAAUUGAAUUAAAAAGUCAAAAUAUUGUUUAACCACUUAUUGGACUAUAAAUUUAUAGAGGAUAACUCCAAAGACUUUAUUAUAAACUUCUGAUGUGGGAUAAUUGAAUUACUUUUACCAACGGAUAAUCCAUUUUUAAUUACCAACGGAGUAUCUGUAGGUGAAAGAUUUAAAUGUUAAACGGUCAUGUUACGCACAGAAUAUCCGUUGGUAAAAAGAUAUUAUCAUUACCAAUGGAAAAUUCGUUGCUGAUUAUUGUAAUUGAAAGUGAAUUACUUUUACCAAUGGAUUGUUUCCGUUGGUAAUAUAUGGCACGUCACCUACGGAAUAUUCGUAGGUGAAAUAUCCAAAUGUUAAACGGUUACAUUAGGCACGGAAUAUCCGUUAGUAAAAGGAUAUCAUUAUUACCAAUGAAAAAAUCAUUGUUACCAAAGGAAAAUCCGUUGCUGAUUAUCGUAGUUGAAAGUGAAUUACUUUUACCAACAGAUAAUUCGUUUCUAAUUACCAACGGAUUAUCGUAGUUUAAAGUGAAUUACUUUUACCAAUAGAUAAUCCAUUUCUAAUUAUCAACAGAUUGCAUCCGUUGGUAAUUUUUCGUAGGUGAAAAACUGUUUUUUAGUAGUGAUACUUGGACUCAAAAAAAUUCAUUUUACUACUUAUUAAUGAACCGUACACUUGCGGAAUUUUAAAUCGAAAUAAUAUUUUUGUGAACAACUAACAUGCAUCUAUGAAUAAUGUGGUUGUCAUAUUUCCAUUUGUUAAUUUCAUAGUGUCUCUUGCUCUCUUUUGGUUUCCCUUAUUCAAGUUAGGAGUAAAGUAAUGUGAUUGGUAUGUUGCUUGUUUGGUAUAUUUUGGAGUUGCAUUAGAUAAAACCAUCGUGUUGUAACAAUUGGAAGGUUAAAAAGUAAUGGUGGGUAUCGUGACUUUAUAGAGCACUUUGUACAAACAUGGUUUCUUAGGUAAUGAUGUUGCAGAAGCUCUUAAUGAUUAUGCAUGUUGGUGUAGAUGAUUUUAUUUUUGCAACCUUCUUAAUAUGUAUGUUACUAGAAAGCUGCAUUUGAAAUUUCCUUUACACCUAUUUGUAGGAAAAUCCAAAGUUUGGAAAGUUCAAAGACAAUGAUAACAACAAAAUUUACCACACUUAUAGCAAACUAUUUAGUAAUAGUUAUGGUUUCAAGAAAUAUCUUUUAACAUUGACUGAAUUAUCGUAGCACGAUUUUGAUUUUGGCUCGGACAACGACACGGAUGAUCCAAAUGACAUGUUGUCCAUCAACGUUGAGACAGUAGAUUUAAGUGCUGGGCCUACAAAGGGCAGAGCAAACUCGUUUGGUGAGAAGCAUGAAGAAAAGCAAGCGAGUAGAAAUAGAAAGAAGAAGAAGUUCGAUGCAAGGGCAGGGAAGUUCUAGAGUUUGUAGAUAACUUAGCAUCUACAUUAAGGAAAUUCGCCUCGGUCAUUUGGUCUAGAGACAAGGGUGGAAUGAUGAUUCUCGAGUACUUCAAUGACUUGCUUUUGAAUGGCCUCAUCAAAGCUGGUGAUCAGUUACUUCUGUUCAUUCUGGUUCUUUUAGGACUCAGACAAUCAAAUUGAUUACAGUGCCACUCAAACAACGGAACUUAGAAUGAUCAAAAGAAUGCCCCACGUGCCUAUACUUGAACAAAAAUAGGUAGCUUCUCAUGUAUCACAUACUUUGAAAAAUAACAAUUCUUUUCGAACUCAUCUAGGCAUUGUCAAGUAGUUUGAGCUCUAGGCUUAAUUCUACAUAAAUCGUAGCCUCACAAAGUCUAUAUAGAUUCGAGAUGGACUUAUCAAUCUUUAUUGGUAACCUAAUAGGUUUAGAUAAAGCAAGCAAAAUGCUCCUAACACAUAAGUCCAAAGGCAGUAAUGAAAAAAAGAAUCUACAAUGGAGUAUAUACACAACCUUAAUUAUAGUGUUUUAGAUUGAAUGCAUAUCUUAAAAUUUGUCAAAGUUGAAUAUAUACCUAGGUUGGAAAAUAUGGCCGUUUGAUUUCCUUGUGCGUAGUGAGCGGCAAGACUAGCAUUCAAAUGCCAAACUCGUGGGCAGCAAGUGAAAGACUUCUUGUUCUAAGCACUCGAAGAGGAGAUGAGCACUUAACGAGAAAAAAUGUGGUGACUUCUUCUCCUUAGUCUAUCUUUAAACUUCUUCAAGGCCUUUUCAACCAAACAACCAAUAUUCAAUGGAAUUUGGGUCACACUUCAACAAAUCUCCACAUUCAUUUAGAUUUCUAUACAAGGAAUUAUUGUUCACUCAUUAACAAACAAUUCUCUAGCCUUCCAGGCAAGCCCCUAAAGACCAAUUCAACAAAAUAAUAUCAAUCAAGUCCAAGAAAUACUCAUAUUUGGCCACAUUGAAUGCCUUCGUCAAUAUGUCAACUAAACUCUCCUUGGUAUCAACUUUGCUCGCUACAAUAUUACCACGAGUAAUCACAUCACACAAAAAUGACACCUCACAUCAAUGUGCUUUGUCCUCUCGUGAAAUAUCAGAUCAUUUGUUAGAAAAUUAACACUAUAACCAUCAAAAUAAAUAAAUAAAUAAAUAAAAUUGUAGAUAUCUACUAGUCUUUACUAAUUUUACCCAACAAUCUCCUCAACCACAUAACCUCCUUACGAGCCUCUGUAAUAGCCAUAUACUCUGCCUCUGUAGAAGAUAAGGCCACCACAUUUUGUAAAGUAGCCUUCCAGGUAAUAGCACAACCACCAUUGGUAAACACGUACCCUGUAUGAGAUCUCCUACAAAAUCUAAAUUAACAUACCUAAUAACUCCAUAUGUAUUUUUUUUUCAAAAUGAAAACAAGAAUUAAUAAAGCUAUAUUGGUAUCUGAAAAUCUACUGCAUUCAUUUCUAAUCUUCAUUUACAAGAUUUUCCAUGUAAGAUACUAACUUUACUAACUGUAUGUGCUAAAUCUGGGUGUAUAUAAAGCAUAACAUACAUAAGCGAUCCAACUACACUGGAAUAAAAAAUAUGUGUCAUGCAAUCGAUAUCCUCAUCUGAUUAUGGAUACAAAACAAAUGACAGUUUAGAAUGGGCAGCCAAAGGGAUACUGACAUUCUUUGCAUUCAACAUAUAAAACCUUUAGAUUGUUCUCUCAAGGUACCAUCUCUGACUCAAGUAUAAUCUAGCAUCAUUUCUUCUCUCGAGAUCUCCAUUCAAAGAAUAUUCUCCACUGAUCCCAAGUGUUUCAUAUCAAAUUUUUUUAUUGAGUUAAACUUUUACUUCAUUACCUCUACUUUAUUUUGGAUAGCUAUCAACAUAUCAUCAACAUAAAGUAGUAGAUAUAUAAACAAUCCAUCAUCACACUUCCUGAAGUAUACAUCACUAUCAUAACUACUUCUUUUAAUGUCAUAAAUAUUCAUGAAUGAGUUAGACCUUUUAUAUCAUUACCUCAGUGAUUGAUUUAGACCAUAAAUGGACUUCUUCAAUGAACAUACAUAGUCUUCAUUUCUUGUGACAAAAAAGCCCACCACUAUUCCAUAUAGAUGUCCUCUUCAAGUUCUCUAUGUAAGAGUAUUAUUUUCACAUCCAAUUUUUCAAGCUUCAAAUCAUUAUUGGACAUAAUACCAAGCAAAUCUUUAAUUGAGCUAUACUUUACAAUUGGAAAAACUAUAUCUAUGAAGUCUACACCUAGAAUCUCUAUAACCCUUAGCCACUAAUCUUGCUUUGCACCUGGUAUUUAAGAAUUCUGAUGCAAAUUCCACGCUCCUUUUGAAUAGUAGAUUACGAUAAACAAUUUCCUUCUCCUUGGAUAAUUUCACUAAGUCCCAUAUGCCAUUUUUAUGAAUAGAUUCCAACUCUUCUUGCAUAGCAAAAUCCCCCUGCCAUAGUCAUUGCAACUCACUACUUUAGUGUAUGUAGUAGGCUCUUCACUAGAAUCAAUAUCUUUAGCCAUAUUCAAUGUUACCAAUUAGCUUUCCCAUACUUUUGUUGAGGCCUAAUCACCCUCUAGGUUUAUCUUUAGCAAUAGAAUACUGCAGUAGUGGUUGCAAAAAAGUACUCUCCUUCACUUUUGAAUUAGACUAAGAUGAAAGCUCUCAUUUAGACACUAAACAAACUCCAACUCCGCACGUAAUUUCUUUAUAUUAAUUUGUAUUACCAAAAUUUCUAAGAGAUAAACUGAACCAUUUCAUUUUAACUUAACAUAAAUCUAUACUAAUCACAACCCUAUUUGUUUCUAAACACUAAAGAUUAUAUCCCUUAACACCAUAUUUAUAACUAAGAAAAAAAUACUGUUUAGACUUUGGCCCCAACUUUCCAUUAUUCAUAUUAGCAUAAUUAAGGCACCUAAAUAUUUUUGAAUCCGAGUAACUAAGGGGAGACGUAGACCAUACAUCUUCUAUGUCAUUUUGCCAAUAGUAAUUGACGGUGAGGGGUUGGUACUAAAUCAAGUUGUAGAAGCAGCUUUCAACCAAGAUUGUCAGGUCCUUAGAUCUUUAUCUGAGAUAUAUAGGUCAAAAUUUGCAGCUAUAGAGGAGAGUAAGGACUAGAUGCUAUUAGGGUUGAAGAGUUGGUUAGAUCUCUACAGACCUAUGAACUAAUAUUAGCUAAAAUAUCAAAAGAUAAGUUUUGGCCUUGAACAUUCUUAGGGAUAACAUUAAUGAGUAUUCUAAUUCGGAGUCACCUAAUAUCGAUAUAGCUUGUAUUGCUAAAAAAUUUUGGAAAAUGUUUAGAAAUAAGAUAAAGCCUCAAGUGAGACAGAGAGGUGAUCCGAGUGAGUCUAGAAAGAGAUCUCAAUAUGUGAGAUGUCAUAAGUGUCAAGGUUUUGACCAUUAUAGGAGUGAGAGCCCUAACAUUAAGAGGAAUAAGGAUAAAGCUAUGAAUAUUACUCUCACUGAUAACGAGUCUAUCUCGGUUAUUCAAAGUAAGAGGUUCACUUAGGAUGAGAAUGGAAAAUAUAUGGUCUUCACUGUUAAGGCUAGGAGUAAAUCUGAUAAAGAGAGUGAGAAGGUUGAGGAUGCAGAUAGUGGUAAGCAAUAUUAGGAAGAUUAUGAAGAUGAGGAAGACAUAACUAAGCUUAUGAUAAAUUAUAUAAGGAGAGCCUUAGGAUAUUGACUACCAAUAAAGUCUUGUGUACGAAGGUCAAAGAUCUUGAGCUAGAGAAAUAAAAACUAAUAGCUGACUUUUAGGAAUCUACCUUAUCCCUAAGUAAGUUGAACUCUGUGAAUGAAUUCUUAGAUACUUGAUUUAAGAAUCUUAUUAGUGAUCUUGAGGAGUCCUCUAGGAGACUUAAUGACUUGAUUAUUAUGAAUGAGUCUUUAGAAAACAUGGUUAAGACCUUUAUGAUUGAUCUUGAUGAUUCCAACACCCAUCUCCUUGCAUUCUCUAGUGGUUUAUUGAAGCUUGAUAGCAUCUUAGGAAUGAGUAAGCCUAUUGGUAAUAAGGGAAGUUUUGGAUAUAAGGAGAAUGAUCACAAUACUUCUAGUACUUUCAAGACCCUUGUUGUCCCUAUCCUUAACCAAUCUAAGUACAUUCCUAACCCUGAACCCAAGAAAAAGGAAAUCAUAAGACAAAGGCCUACUAGACAGCAUAGGACCUACCAACCUAGGAAUAAAAAUCAACGACCACAUAACCUUGGUCCUAGAUUUAUCCAUACUUGUUUCAAUUGUGUUGAGUUAGGACAUAUAAGGCCUAGGUAUCAUAAAUUCUUGAGUAGAAAUAAAAUCAGAACUUCAAUAGAAAUAAAAGUAAAGAAGAGGAUUUUGAUGGCCGAAUUGACUUCUUCACUAAUUAAGUGGGUCAAUUGACUGAGUUAGUGAUAUAGUUGACUAGAUUAAUUCUUCAACUAGGCAAGUUUAGGUAAAGAGGAGUGAUCCAAAAAUUCUUAAAUAGAUCACUAUGCUCUUAAAGGUAAGAGAGUUUGUAUACCUAACUGAUUAGGUAUUUCUAGUGCAUGCUUGUGUAUAUUCAUUGCGAUUCAUUCACUGUUACAUACAUCUCAUUUUUGUAUUUGCUUUAUAGGUAGUAAGUCCAUGUAUGUGCAUCUUCAUCAUGUUUGUAUUGGCACAUGCAUUUUUAUUUUACUUUUUUGUAUUGUGUGUUGAAUAUUUUUAAUUUUUUUUAAAAAUUUUGUGUGGUUAGAGCAUUUAUUUAAAAAAGGGUAAAGUUUUUAAAACUAUAACAUGAUAUAUGAUAUACUUGAAUUUGAGUGUUGUGACCAACUAUGAGUUUAAUUGAUGUGCUGUAGCAUAUUUUUUCAUUAUUUGCUUAGCUUUUGAUAGAGUACUUAGUCUAGGUUUUUCAUACACCAUAUGUACUGCACACAUUAUGAUAUUGCGAGAGGGACUUGACAGCGUGUGAGAUUUGAGAUGGCAGUUUCAUGUUGGUAUGGUGACUUUGAACAUGAAUUGACCUUAUUUCAUUAGACCUAAGAUCAAGUAUAUUCUUUUGAAAGAAAAAAAUUAGUAUCUUAUGCCCUUUUUCGGAGUCUUUUCGACUCGAGUAAUUAAAGUUGAGGCUUUUCUCAGAACAUAGUGUCUAUAAUCAACUGACUUGGGUUAAUCGAUAUAUAUAUAUAUAUAUAUAUAUAUAUAUAUAUAUAGAUUAACCCAAGUCAGUUGAUUAUAGACACNNNNNNNNNNNNNNNNNNNNNNNNNNNNNNNNNNNNNNNNNNNNNNNNNNGUGUGUGUGUGUGUGUGUGUGUGUGUGUGUGUGUGUGUGUUUAACUUUCAUAAGUAGAGGGAUAAGCUUAUUGACAGAGAUGUUUAGAAUGUCAUUUAUUACAAAAUUAAAGUUUGUAGUCCUGCUUACAAAGUAUUAGUAACACCCUACAUACAUAGGGUCACUUAUACAAUUUACUCCAUUUUAACUUGAAUUGAGUAUGUGAAAAAAUGUAUUGAUCGUUAAUUAUGCUUGUGCAUUAUAUCAACUGCAUCUUUGAGUUAUUAUAUAUUGAUGUUUAUGUGUAUUUGAUAGAAUUCCCAUAGUCAUUUGUGACAAAAAAGGGGCGAGAAAGAUCUUAUUGUAAUUUUGAGUUAAGAGUUGAUGCAUUUUAGGGAGAGUUUGCAGUAAGGGGGAAAGAUGAUAGUAUCUUUUAUUCAUGGCAUUCCAUAUCAUAAUGGAUAGCUUCUUUGAAUUUUGAUGUUUGGUGAUAUUAAUGUUUCAAUUGGUGUUUUGAUUAACACUAGUAUCACUUCUCAAUCUAGCCAACAUAUUUAUGAUUAUAGGUUUCAAUUGUUAUAUUUCUUUUAUCGUGUGCUUUUACACUUGGUAUAUGAGUUGUCUAUUUUAGGAAACAGGUUAAUAAGGAAUGUAAGAGACAAACAUUCAGUUUUGGUUUGGAUAGAUUAGUUUUUAUUUUUAUUUCCUUGACUUGUGUGGUAUAAUUUUGUCCCAGAAUACCCAAGGGGGAGUUUGUUAGGAUUUAUGUUGUAUUGGCAAUUUUGUAGAUAAAAUAAAAUCUUAGUUAAAUUGCAUUAGGAGUUUAUUUGAGUUGUGUCAAAGUCAAAAUAGGAGUUAUUGAAUCCUAAUUAAAGUCAAAAGAGUUGAGAUUGCUAGUAUAGUCCUUGAAAGAGUCCAAGAUGUCGAAGAAGAUCACGUGUGAUCAGGGAAAUACAAUUAGAAGUCUAAAGAGUUUUAAAGAGCAGCAAAAGUUAUGUUUUAAAUUUUCACUCAUAAUUUGUAACACAUUUUUAACAUAGAAAACAUUAGAAUUUGAACAAGGCUAUUUAAAGGAAUUGUAGCCCUUUGAGUUGGCUUUUUAUUGUAUUUUGAAUCCACUCAAACAGACAUUGGAAGAGAAAGUUAUUAUAAAAUACUAACAAUUGCUCACCAAUUGCUCACCUAUCGCUUGUCUAGAGUUCGAGCAAUGGUGUUACAUGUGUAACCUUAUUUCGCACUUUUCAAGAGUUUUAUCUGGCCCAUACUACCUAAUUAUCUCUUACUAUAAAUACCCAAGCCCUUAUAUAUUUUGUUUGUGGUUGUUCAUAUAUUACCUUUUCAUAAUAUCAUUCCUAGAUCCAAGAAUAAGAUUACUAAAGAUUGAGGAAGGUCAGACCAAAAGAACGGAAGAGUACAAAAUAGCGUGUUCUUGAUGAUUCACAGGAGAUAGACGAUUUCAAAAAAUCGUGAACAGAUGUGAGUGAAGCACAAUAUCAAAAGAUCAGGAGAUUAUUAGCUUGGUCCUAAAGUUUUUACUCAGUUAGGUUUUCUCCAUCAACAUAUUUUGUGUUGUUUAUCGCUUUCAUACCAUUGAUUGUGGCAUUCAAACUAUAGAAUAAUCUGAUGUGAUUAAUUAACUAUCUAGAAACAAUUAAAAAGUGACUUGUUUCUUUUAUUAUAUAAUUCCUAACAUUGGGUCAAAAUAAAUUAGCUAAAUCUAAACAUUCAAGUGGUAUAAGAGCUUGUCACUCAUGGAAAUGAUAUUUAUACUCAUUUUACAAUAUUAUUUGUUAGUGCUCCAAUACACUUGUUCAACUUGACAGGGCAUUGUCCAACAUAUUUUAAAAGCAGUAAAUAUAAAAGUGGGAAAAAUAUUUUUCCCUCAUUUCAACGCACACAAAUAGAAGAAAAUUAUUAUAAAGGACAAGAAGCGUAAAUUAAUAAAGGUUUAAAGAAAAGAACUCAAUGAAAAAAAGAUAGGAACAUAAGUUCUACAAUGAGCAUUGAUCGAAGAAUUCAAAUGCAAUCAAAGUGUAAUGUAACAAGUAAAAAUACAAUGUAAAUAUAAUUAUCUGGUAUAGAAUCAUUUGAAAAUUUUUGGAUUCAAUUUUUUUAUGGAGCCAUGCCAAAAAAUAUUAUUUAAUUGUUGGAGGUUGUUAAAGUUAUUUACAAUCAAAUUGAAAGUUCCCAAUAUUGCUUAUUUGGCAAUAAAUUUUUUUAACACUUGUUCCACGUAGCUAUGACUAUGCUUCUAUGUUAUGAAAGCAUUAAAAUUAAAAGGAAAAAGUGUUAACAUCAUUGUUCUGCCAAGUACCAUCCACACGCUUUCUAGCAACUCACACCACCAAGCCCUGCUAGUCCACUACUAAAAAUUCCAAAUACAUACCACUUUUUGACAAGAUCAUGUGCCCUAGUCUUACAUGUUACGAAUAGAAACACAAAUUGCUUGUAAUGAAGAAUAUGACAAAAUUAAAAAAAUAAAAAAUAAAUAAAAUGAAGAAGCUAAAAUGAUAGGAUAUUCUAGGAAAUGUUGACCUCCCAAAUGCUGAUUUUCGAGGAACAAUAAACCUCGAAAGACUAAAAGUACAUUUACAGAAAUAAUUGAUCCCCCUUUCUUCAUUCUUUAUUUGAAUUUAAAUAUGAAAAUAUUGUACCAAUUAUCUUCUAAAAUCAAGAACCAUUUCAAAAAUAAGAAAAUAUAAAAUUAAAACCUGAAAAUAAAGAAAUAAAAUAAAUUACAAAUAUAGAAAUGUAUAAUCUUCUUCCUCCGAGAGUUUUGCAAUUCACCGUAAUUGCAAGAAAAUAUAAAACCCAUUUGACGAAAACCGAUAAAAGGACCCAGAGCCAAAAAUAAAAUAUAUGGAAUUAAAAGUUCAAUCGUUCAUCCAAGCAUUUCACUUGAUAUCACUUCAUAAAAAAAAUUAAAUAAAUCGUUUUUCCAACACUUUGUUAGGUAUAUCAUAUGAAGUUAGAUAAUUUUUAAUUUCCUGGAUUAAUAUGUUAUUGAAAGUUCAAUUCUUUCUGCUUACGGGCCAUGCAUGGACUUUCACUUUAUAUAUGAAAAAGUCAUCACCUAAUAAUACUAUUUUUCCCCACAAAUAACUUGAAAAUAAUAUGCACUAAGGAUAAUUCAAGAAGCAUGGCUAAUACCAAAGUCGGCAUCCUUACUAUCUUUUUAAUCUGUGGUAGUUAAGCAGUCAUCUCUAGGGGCGGACGUAGACAUUUUGAAUUAGGGGGUACAGUCAAACCUUAUAUAGAUUGAAUAUUUUGUUCUUGAUUUUUAAAUAAUUUAUACUUAACUUGAGAAAAUGCAGAACUAAGUUUAAAAACACAUUCCUCCAUCAAUAUUUUGUUCAUCGUUUUAAUCCAUUUGAAUUCGAACAGUCUUUUCAUUAAUAUUUUGCUCAUCACAAGAAAAUACGUGUUUACAUUUAAAGAAUUUAUAGUGUAUUUGAUACAAACAAUCCGUUCAAGUAAUAAAAAGAGAAAAAAAAACAUAUAAUCAAUAUUCAUUACUAAUAUUCAAUCAAAUAAAUACAAUUUGUUAAAUAUAAGUCAAGAUGGACAUAAUUUAUUUAAGGCUCAUUCAAAAUACACAAUUUGAUAGGAGAAAAUGUAAAUUUAAGCUCAAAAUAUGAUUAGGAAGUGAAGUAAAUUUCUUAAUUUGUCGAGAAAUUAUAAACAAAUUUUAAAAAAUUAGAAGAGUUAAGGUUUUGAUAGUAUAAGGGAAAGUGAAAAAGUUCAAAUUUAUUGUGAUUUUGUCCUUAUUUGAUGGAGAUUAAAAUCAAAUUUAUUGUAAAUUUUGAUAGAAGUUGAAAUUUUUUUAGUCCCAUGAAAUAUGUUAUUAAAAUUAAUUGUUAAUUUUUAUUUAUAUUAAAAUUUAUAUUUUAAGUCAACAAUCAUGGUUUUAUUUGAAUAUACAGAUAUAAAUAUAUUCUUGUGUGUCACGUGACCCCCCAAAACCCCCCUUCUAUCUGCCCUUGGUCAUCUCUUACCCAUUGAUAAAUCUUGUGUGUUUUGAUCUUCAUGUACAGAGAAGCGUGCAAGGUAAUAAAUAAGUUACUCGUGCAUGUAACAUAUUAAGGUUUUGCAUAAAUUUAACAUACUAAGAUCGUGAAUUUAUUAAGAUCUUCUUGUAAAGGGAAGCGGGGAAUAUAUUUUGUAUGUAAUAUUGAAUAAAACUAAUUAGUUUAAUCAACAAGCUAUCAACUUCUUUUUAUUUUUAACUAUCAAGUUCUUCCACUUAUAAGUUAUUCUUUUCUUCGUUCGUUUGGAUUCUAAAGAGACAUUGCACUACUAUAAGUAAUGCUAUUAAGUUGAAGCGUGACAUACACAUGAUUUUCUCAUACAUGCAUCAUGAAUUUUGCCUAAGUUUUCUUUGACCAUGUUUUAUACGCGAACCAUAGAAUAAUAUGAUGUGAUUAAUUAACCAUUUAGAAACAAUUAAAAAUUAACUCGUUGCUUUUAAUUGUAUAAUUCUUCAUCUUGAGUCUAAAUAAUUUAGAUAAAUCUAAAUUUUCAAGUGAUAUAAGAGAUUUUAACUCAUGGAAAUGAUAUUUAUACUCAUUUUACAAUAUUAUUUGUUAAUGAUCUAGUACGCUUAUUUGUUUUGACAAAGCAUUGUCCAGUAUAUUGUAAAAGCACUAAAUAUAUAACCGGGAAAAUUAAUUUUCCCUCAUUUCAACGAACACAAAUAGAAGAAAAAGUAUUAUAAAGGAUGAGACGUACUAAUAAAUAGAGGAUUGAAGAAAAGAACUCAACGAAAAAAUGAUAGGAACAUAAGUUCUACAAUGAGCAAAGAUCGAAGAAUUUAAAUGCAAUCAAAGUGAGAUUUAACAAGUAAAAAUAUAGUGCAAAUAUAAUUAUCCGGAAUACAAUCGUUUGAAAAUUCUCGGAUUUAAUUUUUUCCCUGGAGCCAUGACAAAAAAUAUUAUUGAGUUGUCAGAGGUUGUUAAGCUAUUUACAAUCAAAUUGAAAGUUUCAAAUAUUGCUUAUUUGGCAAUACAAAAUCUUAACACUUGUUUCACAUAGUUAUGACCGUGCUUCUACCAAGUACCAUCGACACGCUUUCUAGCAACUCACACCACCAAGCCCUGCUAGUCCACUACUAAAAAUUCCAAAUACAUAGCACUUUUCGCCAAGAUCAUACACCUUAGCCCUCUUAAAUAUUACGAACAGAAUCACAAAUUGCUCGUAAUGAAGAAUAUAACAAAAUAAAAAAGAACAGCUAAAAUGAUAGGAUAGUUCUAGGAAAUCUUGACCUCUCAAAUACUGAUUUUCGAGGAACAAUAAACCUCCAAAGACUAAAAAUACAUACACAGAAAUAAUUGAUCCCCCUUACUUCAUUCUUUAUUUGAAUUUAAAUAUGAAAAAAUCGUACCCAAUAUCUUCUAAAAUCAAGAACCAUUUCAAAAAUAAGAAAAUGUAAAAUAAAAAAUAUAGAAAUGUACAAUCUUCUUCAUCCAAGAGUUUUGCAAUGCACCAUAGUUGCUAGAAAAUAGAAAAUCUGUUUGACCAAAACUGAUAGUAAAAGGAUCUAGCGCCCAAAAAAAAAAAAAAAAAAAAAAANAAUAUAUAUAUAUAUAUAUAUAUAUAUAUAUAUUGUAAUUUCAAGGUUGAUCAUUCAUCCAUGCAUUUUACUUAAUAUCACUUGAUAAAAAAAAUUAAAUAAAUCGUUUUCCGACACUUCGUUAGGUAUAUCAUUUUAACUUAGAUAAUCUUUAAUUUUCUGGAUUAAAAUGUUUUUGUAAGUUCAAUUGGCUUUUGCUUACGGACCAUGCAUGGACUUUCUCUUUAUAUAUGAAAAUUUCAUCAUCUAAUAACACUCUUUUUCCCUAUAAAUAACUCUAAAUAAUCUGCAAUAAGCAUAAUUCAGGAAGCAUGGCAAAUAGCAAAGUCAGCAUCCUUACUCUCCUUUUAAUCUGUGGUAUGUUCUAAUUGCUUCUCUUUUUUGGCUUUCAAGAAUUAUGCCAACUUGUACAAUUUACAGAUCAAAUAUGAUUUCUAUGACGGUCAAGAGACGAAUGAUUUAUGCACUUUUUUAGAAACCUAUAUCCACUGAAUUUUGACACUUCUUCGAUGGCCAUGUAUUUAACCAUUGUGAAACAAUUUUUCGAAAAUAUAGUAAAUUAGUAAUACUGAUUUUAUAUUAAUAGUUAAGCAGUCAUCCGUCACCCAAUGAUAAAUAUUGUGUGUUUGAUCUUCAUGUACAGAGAAACGUAGAAGGUAAUAAAUAAAUUACUAUUGCAUAUAAUAUAUUAAGGUUUUGUAUAAAUAUUUACAUACUAAGAUCAAGAAUUUAUUAAGAUCUUCUUGUAAAGAGAAGCGUGGCACAUAUUUUGUACGCAAUAUUGAAUAACACUGAUUAGUGUAAUCAACAAGCUAUCAACUUCUUUUUCUUUUUAAUUGUCAAGUUCUUCCACUUACGAGUGACUCUUUUCUUUAUUCGUUUGUGGAUUCUAAAGAGAUUUUCACUACUAUAAGUAAUGAAAUUAAGUUGAAGCAUGACAUAUACAUGAUUUUCUCAUAGCUGCAAUUGAAUUUUGUCUGAUAAGUGUGUUUUUGCACACUUAUUUAGAUCACAAACAUGAUUUAAUUACGAGCAGAAUAUUUGAAUUGUGACUUAAUCUCUUUGAAUUCAUGCAAUGUAGGCGUUUCUAUGAAAAUGGUGGAAUUCAGGAGAAAAUAGCAGAAAAAGGACUAAAAUGGAGCAAAGUGAUAGUUCAGGGACUAAGAUGCAAAUAUUCAAAAGUUGAACUAAAAGGCAACCCGGGAAAGCAACUAUGCUAAGUAUGAACUCGAAAGUGAUACAAGAUGAUUGGAUCUAUGCGGUUGCAUGGAGGCCUCCCAAGAUUUUUUUCUCAAAUUUUUUUACUCUAUGCGACCACAUAGAAUGUACUAUGCUGUCGCAAAGAACAAGUUCUGGGGCCGAUCUGCAGUUUCCUCAUACGACUGAAACUUUUUUGGUACCCUAAUUUUCAUGCGAUAUAAAUACCAAAAGACAUCCGGAAAGAAGUAGAACGUAUUGGAGGCAGAAAAACACUUUUUGGAGAGGAUUUUGAGCAGAAGAACGAAGAUUUACACGAAGAGCUUCAAGAUUUCAUAACUUGGUGAUGCCUUUUAUCCAAAAUCUGAUGUAUUCUUUUAUUUUAACCAUGUUAGGCUAGAUUUUCAUGUGCUAGGAGAUCGAUGUACCAUGUAAUUUGAUUUUUAAUUUUCUAGUUUUGCAAUUUGACAUUAAGACAUAUUCCUAUUGUUUUGAAUGAUUUAUAUACAAUUAUUGUUUCCGCAAUUAAGGGCCCGUAAUUGUGUGAGUUUGGGUGAUUUAUUCUUGCAUUCGAGAGAAUUGGAAUAAGUUCGAUAUUGUAACGCCCCGACCCCUAGUGGACUGAAACGCUACUUACUUUACUUAGCUUAACCGGUGGUUUAGUAACAAGUGUAUACGUUUUAGUGGAAGCUUACAUCUUCGGAUAAUAAUUUAAAUAACAAUACUUUAAACAAAAACACUGAAUCAUUUUUCAAAACAACAAAAUGUAAUUUAUUUGAAGAAACAUAACUUGUUCUCGCAUUCUGCAUUAUUCAAAAUUUUAAAGAAAUAACAUUGGAAAACAUUUCAUAAAAAUAAAUCCAAAUCACUUAUUCACCAGAUUUCUAUGGCCUCGUUGCAUCACUCUCCAUCUUCUCCUCCAUCCAUGGCCGAGGUAGAAUUCCUUCAAUCUGUAGAGAUGGGAUUAAACCCGUGGGUUGAAAAACUUAAUAGGUGUCAUAGGUGCAUUCAUGAUCAAGCUAUACAUUUUAAAACAUUAACUUUAUAACUUUUCAUACAUGCCAUACCCGGAGGCACCAUUUGACAUGAAGGGGUAUGCCAUAUCCGAGGGUACCAUUUGACAUACAAACAUUUCUUCAACAUAGAGGGAUAUGCCGUAUCGGAGUACCAUUUGACAUAAAACCAUUAACAUAGAGGGAUAUGCUAUACCGGAGUACCAUUUGACAUACAAACAUUAACAUGAAUCGAAACUUAUAACUUAACACGAUUAAACGCAUUGCACCUCUACCUACUUUGAUUGAUACUUUUGAAACUUUGAAAACUUCGAUGAAACUUGGACGUUGAAAGAAAUGCACUCCAUGGAUGUUUGAAAACUUUUAAGAAUUGAUGCUUGAAGACACUCCUUGAUAGCACCCAAAACUUUUAUGAAAAAUGCUUGAAAACACUUCUUAAACUUCUCGGAAAAAUAGUUUUCCUCCCUCUCUUUUUCUCUCUUGGAAACUCUUUCUUUAGUAUGUAAAAGCUCUUGCUUUUUAUGUGAGAAAAAAUGAAUGAAAUGAGGUCUCUAUUUAUAGGUAAAUAUCCCAUAACUUAAAGCAAAUAAAGGGUCAAAUUUCAUUUAAGAGAGAAAACAUGGGUGCCAUUUAAGUUUGAGGUUAAAUGCUUCAAUUUAGUGGGUUUUUAUUGCCAAAAAUUUGGGUGGCCCUUUGAGAAAAUAAUUGAUGAAAAUAAAUAUUUAAAUUCUAGAGAAAAACGAGAAUUUUCAUUUCCGGUAGUUUCGGUCGACCGGUUGUAGUCCGGUUGACACUGUACAACUUUCAGUGUUUUUAUCAUAACUUCUUCUCCUGAUAUCCGAUUGAGGUAAUUCAAAGUGCAUCAGAAAGAAAACUCAAAGAGCUAUAACUUUUAUUUAGAUAUCAUUUUCCAAAUGAAAUGUUUCCUAUGUCGAAAAUGGGUCUCAAAUGAGACUAAAAAUCUGAAGUUUACUUUAGUCAUCCAAUAUUCAUGUCUUAGUGCCACUAAGGUGUCUAAAAUUAUUUGGGGUUCUACAGAUGUAAUAUAAAUCAUCGUAGGUCCGAUAGGGGAUAAAAAUAUACCGCUAUGCCUUACGUGAAUCUUUUAGUGUUCAUAAAACCGCAUGUAUUUUUACAUAUGCACUUGUCAUAGAAAUAUAGAUCGGUGGUAUGUAGAAAUAGGUUCGAUACAUCUCGAGAGAGAAUAUUGGAUAGAUUUAGGAACAUUGAUUCGUCACAAUUGAAAUAUGUUCACAUUGUGAAACUAGGGUUUUAAAGGCAUAAUUGCAUGAGAAAUCGUGAUCCUAGUGUUUAAUUUCUAUUGAUUACAACAAACUUGCAUUCUCAAUAUUUGAUUUCAUUUUAGAGUGUUAAAAAUAUUUUUUUACAUAGUUAAUUUAAUUCAAUCAUAAAAUAAAAAUUGUAUAAUUAGGGUUUUCUUUCCAAAAUUAGGGUUUUAAUUAGGUUUACAUUCACUUUAAUAAUUUAGUUUCGAUUAAGGCGACGAUAGGUAAAAUUGAACUAAUCAAUCUCUGUGGGACGAUAUUCAGACUCAUUUAAUCCACUUUAUUACUUGUUAACAAAUCGUACACUUGUGAUAGUUUUAAAUCAAAAGAAAUAAUUUCGUGAACAAGUUUUUGGCACCGCUGUCGGGGAUUGAGUUUAGUUUAAUUUUAUUUCUCGAGACUCUAAUUCGAACUUCAAAUUUUAUUUUGCUAGUAUAAUUUUGUUUUUAUUUUUACUUUAGGUUAUUAUCCUUUAUUUGUGUUUUAGUUAUUUAAAUUGUUUGAAUCUCAGUGCUCGUAGUGGUUUUGUUUCUCAGAUUUGCAUGCCACGAUCGACUAGAGGAGAAUUGAUUCUAGCUGAUUCUGAAAUCGAGCGCACCUUUCAUCGACUACAAAGAGAUCAUCGAGAAGCACAAGUACAAAUGGCUAAUGAACUAAACAAUCUCAUUAUUCAAGCUAAUGAAGGAGAGGCAAUGUACGGAGGAAAUGAGAUUCUGGGAGAUUUUUUGACUCCUCAAGUAAUUCAAAGUCAAUCCAGUAUAGUGUAUCCACCGUUUGGCCAGCCAAAUUUCUAGUUGAAGACCAAUGUGAUACAACUAUUUCAAGAUGGACACCAGUUUUAUGGCAAAGCCGAGGAGAAUCCACAUACACACAUAUCGCGAUUUUUGGAUAUGUGUCAACAUUUCAGAUACCAAGGGAUUUCAGAUGACACUAUUAGGCUAAGGCUGUUUCCACAUACACUACGAGAUAGAGCACUUAAAUAGUUGGAUUCACUUCCGGUUACAAGUGUCACUACGUGGAACGUGUUGGCACACAAAUUCUGCACAAAGUUUUUCUCCCCAGCCAAGAUAGUGAAGCUGAAAAUGACAUAUCAAUAUUCAGUCAAGGAGAAACCAAAUCAUUUGAUGAAGCUUGGAACAGAUUCAAAAACAUGCUCCGGAUGUGCCCUCAACAUGGGUUUGAUAAAAAGACCCAAAUCCGAUUCUUCUACAUAGGGUUACUUCCAUACCACAAGAGCAUGGUAGAUUCAGCGUCAGAUGACUCAAUAUCCACAUGAACAGUUGAUGGGGCAUUGGAAUUAUUUGAGAGAAUGGCUACCACAUCAUCCAUAUGGUCUUCUGGGAGGGUGAUUCCAAGGAAAACUCCGGGUGUCUACGAGGUGGAUACUUAUUUAGCAAUAUCUGCAAAAAUUGAUUCUUUGUAUCACAAUGUAGAAAGCAUAUCACAAGCAGACUAUGCACAGUGGGGACAACGCCAACAACACAAUCAAUAUGGAGAAUCUUUCCAUCCCAGUUGGAAGAAGCAUCCUAACUUCUCUUGGAGCAACCAGAAUCAAAAUAGGCUCCCGGGACAAUUUCAGCAAUAAGAGAAGAGGCCUCAAUUGGAAGAUAUGAUAGGAAAAUUCAUGGAGAAAGCUGAAGCUACACUUCAAAAUCAAAAUGCAGCCAUCAAAAAUUUGGAAACUUAGAUGGGGCAAUUGGCCAUCGUAUUGACUGGUAGAACGUCAGGUAACUUGUCGAGUAAUAUAGAAAUCAAUCCCAAAGAGCAAUCCAAGGCCAUUACAACUCGAAAUGGAGUACAAUUGCCUGAAAUCCAUGUUAAGAGACCGGGUGUGAUUGGAGAGACAUCUUCCCCUACUGAAGAGGAGACCGUUGUAAAAGAAUCAACUCCAAAGGAAAAUUCAGAAAAGUUACAAGAUAAGGCCAAAGACACAGUCAACCCAUACGAGCCUUCGAUUUCCUUUCCAUAGCGGUUGAAGAAGCAAAAAUUGGAGCAAUAGUACAAAAAAUUCCUAGAAGUCUUCAAAAAGCUCCAUAUCAACAUCCCACUAGUCGAUGUACUAUUCCAGAUGUCUAGCUAUGCAAAGUUUCUCAAAGAUAUUAUAUCAAACAAACGCAAGCUGGAGCACCAUGAGAUAGUAAUGCUUACGAAGGAAUGGAGUGCCAGAAUCCAGAAAAAGCUCCUACCAAAACUGAAAGAUCCAGGGAGUUUUACUGUUCCUUGCACUAUUGAUGAAGUCUAUUUCGAUAAAGCAUUAUGUGAACUCAGUGCAAGUAUUAAUUUAAUGCCUCUGUCUGUUUUUAGAAAACUUAGCUUGGGAGAAGCUAAAGCGACUAUUGUGACACUUCAGCUGGCAGACAGGUCACUGACACAUUCCAGAGGGAUAAUUGAAGAUGUACUUUUCAAGGUUGAAAAGUUCAUAUUCCCAGUGGAUUUUUUUAUUUUGGACAUGGAAGAAAACAAGGAUAUCCCAUUGAUACUUGACAGACCAUUUCUGGCAAUAGGGAGAGCGUUAAUUGAUGUUCAAAGGGGGCAGUUGAUCUUAAAAUUGGGAAAGGAGCAGAUAUCGUUUAAUGUAUUCAAGGCUAUGAAACUACUAGCAGAAUCAGAUAGAUGUUACCAAGUUGACAUCAUUGACAAGGUAGUACAAGAAACAUUCUUACUUCACGACCCAUCUGAUGCCUAUGAGGCAUGCAUUAUACAAUCCCAAUCCGUUCAAUCAGAUUCUUUUGAAGUUGAAACAUGUGCGAGAUUUUUGGAGACCAACCCACCAUACACCCGAAAAGAGCAAUUUGAGGAACUGGGGAUGAGAAAUACAAAGCCACUGUCUUUCAUUCAGUAACCACCAGUUUUAGAACUCAAGCAACUACCGCCACAUCUCAGAUAUGCAUAUUUGGGGGAGUCAGAUACACUUCCAGUAAUCAUUUCAAACACAGUCAGUGAGUUGGAGGAAGAAAAAUUGCUCAGGGUACUCAAAGGGAACAAGACAACGAUUGGGUAGACAAUAGCUGACAUUAAAGGGAUUGGCCCUUCUAUGUAUAUGCAUAAAAUUCUAAUGGAAUAAAAUUGAAAGCCAAGAUAGAGGGUCAGAGAAGAUUGAAUCCUAACAUGAAGGAAGUAGUCAGGGUAGAGAUACUAAAAUUAUUGGAUGCAUGAAUUAUCUACCCAAUUUUAGGUAAUACAUGGAUCAAUCCAGUUCAAGUGGUGCCCAAAAAAGGGGAAUCACAGUGGUGAAAAAUGAGAAGAAUGAAUUAAUUCCCACCAGAAUAGUUACGGGAUGUAGAGUUUACAUCGAUUAUUACAAGCUCAAUGCAGCUACACAAAAGGAUCACUUCUCAUUCCCAUUCAUUGAUCAGAUGUUGGAGAGGUUGGCUGGAUAUUCACACUACUGCUUCCUUGAUGGAUACUCAGGCUACAAUCAAAUACCUAUCGCACUAGAUGAUCAGAAGAAGACCACUUUCACUUGCCCCUAUGGUACUUUUGCUUAUCGUAGGAUGCCUUUUGGUCUUUGCAAUGCUCCAGCCACAUUUCAGAGGUGUAUGAUGACAAUAUUCUCUAAUAUAAUUGAAAGGUUUAUUGAGGUUUUCACGGACGACUUCUCAGUGUUUGGAUCUUCAUUCGAUGAAUGUCUAGAACACCUAAAUUCGAUCUUACAGAGUUAUGAAGAGACUAACCUGGUUUUAAAUUGGGAGAAAUGCCACUUUAUGGUGUAAGAAGGCAUUGUACUCAAGCAUCGGAUCUCGGGAAAAGGAAUUGAGGUGGACAAGGUAAAAAUUCAAGUUAUUGAGAAGUUACCAUCGCCUACAAGGAGUUCGCAGCUUCUUGGGGCAUGCGGGGUUCUACAGGAUAUUUAUAAAAGAUUUCUCAAAGAUCACUAAGUCAUUAUGCAAUCUGCUAAUGAAGGAUAUAACCUUUGAGUUUAAUGAGGAAUGUCUCACAGCAUUCAACACAUUAAAGGAGAAGCUCACGUCAGUACCAGUAAUUGUGGCACCAGACUGGGAACUGUCUUUUGAAUUGAUGUAUGAUGCCAGUGAUCACACCGUGGGUGCAGUAUUAGAACAGUGGAGGAACAAGAUUUUUCAUUUGAUCUACUAUGCAAGUAGAACUCUAAAUGAUGCACAAAUCAAUUAUGCCACCACUGAAAAGGAGAUGUUGGUCGUGGUAUAUGCAUUCGACAAAUUCAGAUCAUACCUUGUCGGGUGUAAAGUCAUCAUCUACACAGAUCAUGCUGCAUUGAAGUAUUUGCUCACAAAGAAGGAUGUAAAACUGAGAUUGAUUCGUUGGGUGCUGUUGCUGUAAGAAUUUGAUAUCAAGAUAUGAGACAAGAAGGGCAGUGAGAACGUAUUAGCAGACCACCUAUCCCGAUUAGAGCUUGGGGAGACGGAAGAAUUAGUGGACAUCAAUUAGAUCUUCCCAGAUGAGCAGAUGUUGAGAAUAGAUGAAGCACCUUGGUACACAAAUAACGUCAAUUACUUGGCCAAUUCCAUCCCACCGCCAGACUACUCAAGUCACCAGAGGAAAAAGUUCUUCGUCGAAUUGAAGUAUUAUUUCUGGGAAGAUCCAAUUCUCUAUAGAUGAAGGGCUGAUCAGAUAGUAAGGAGAUGCAUACUUGAGGAAGAAGUACAUGAGAUUCUCAAGCACUACCACUCAUCUGCAUAUGCAGGGCACUUUGGGGCUUCGAAAACAGCUGCAAAGAUUCUACAAUCAGGGUUCUACUGGCCUACACUAUUUAGAGAUGCCUUUGAGUUUGUCAAGAGGUGUGACAGAUGUCAACGCACUGGAAAUAUCUCGAGGAGGAAUGAAUGCCACUGAAUAACAUUUUGGAAGUGGAGAUAUUCGAUGUUUGGGGAAUUGACUUCAUGGGACCUUUUCCCCAUUUAUUCUCAAAUCAGUACAUCUUGAUAGCAGUGAACUAUCUAUCAAAAUGGGUAAAAACAGUUGUACUACCAACAAAUAACUCAAAGGUAGUAAUUAGGUUCUUGAAGAAAUAUAUUUUUACCCGAUAUGGUACACCGCGAGCUAUAAUCAAUGAUCGGGGCAAACACUUCUGUAAUCGUCAGUUUGAGCAGUUGUUGAAUAAAUAUGGUGUUAAACAUCAUGUUGCUACCCCAUAUCAUCCACAAACCAGCGGGCAAGUUGAAGUAUCUAAUCGGCAGCUGAAGAGAAUACUCGAGGUCACAACUCAUCUAGAAAGGACUAGUCUAAAAAGCUGGACGAUGCAUUUUGGGCUUACAAGACAGCAUUCAAGACACCGAUAGGCAUGUCUCCAUACCACCUAGUUUUGGGAAAAGCGUGCCAUUUGCCACUAGAAAUGGAGCACCAGGCAUAUUGGGCUAUGAAACAGUUAAAUAUGGACUUGAGUGCCGCUGGUGAAAAGCGCCUACUGCAACUUAAUGAGUUAGAUGAAUUUAGCAUAGAAGCUUAUGAAAAUUCAAAACUCUAUAGGGAACAAACCAAGAAGUGGCAUGACAUGCAUAUUUAGAGGCGAGAAUUCGAAGUGGGUAGCAAGUACUAUUGUAUAAUUCGAGACUCAAGCCGUUCCCUGGAAAACUACGAUCAUGGUGGUCGGGUCCUUACACUGUCACAAAAGUCCUACCAUAUGGGGCUAUACAAGUCAGCCAUGAGACUAAUGGUACUUUCACUGUUAAUGGGCAAAGGCUGAAACACUACUGGGGCGGUGACUUCUCCAACCAAAAGUUCACCAUUAACUCGGGACGUCAGAAUAAAGCAGCUGUAGAAUAGUCGAGCCAUCGACUAUAACCCAGUGCUGGGUGGAAAGCAACCCACUGUAUCUUUCGAUUUAUUUUACUUUUCACAUUAUUUUAGGAGUUGUUUAAUUUUUGCAUUUGCAUUUUUUUUUGCUAGGUCAUCAAUCUUUCACGCAUACUAGUCUAAGCAUUACACACAUAAGGUGGCAUGAGUGAAGUUGAUUGAAGUUGUUUUGGGGGAUUGAGUGUGAAGUCAUGCAUUUCGAUGCACAAAGUCAUUCUUCAUAAAAAUUUUCAGAAUGCAUUUUAAGUUUAUUCCAUAAAUUGGUGUUGGUGCUAAGUCCUUCAGCAAGCACAUAUCCCAUUGAAUCGGAAGUUUCUAAAUUUUUCAGGAAUGAUAUUAAACAAGUCAAAUUUUUAAUUGAAAACCAACUUCGGGGAAAAUUUUAUUUAAGGUGUGUUUUGGGGGUUAAAAUUGUAAUUUUGAUUUUUUUUCAUAAUUUAGAUUUUGAAGAAAAAAAUGUUUGUCUAUGCGACCGCAUAGACAAAUGGUCUAUGCGGUCGCAUAGACCAUUACCGAAAGCAAAGUGGUCCCCAUAUUGUUGUACUAUGCGACCGCAUAGUGCAACACUAAUAGUGACCCAGUUACAGGUCUUAAACCCGUAACCCACCUAUUCCACACUACUUCCUCCCAUCACCCUCGUAAUUUCACAGUCCAUUGUUAUUAUUGACUAAUUGUUGCAUGACGCAUGCUUGAUGAGUGAGUGUUGAUUAUACUUUUGCAUACUUGUGUGGGCUUGAUAGCCUUACCGGCUAUGAUGUGAUUCUUGGAUUGGUAUAAUUUAUAAACUUUGGAUAUUGUGCUGCAUAGAUUAACCAAUACUUGGGAUGUAAUACUUGACAUUCUCUAUGCAUGCUUGACAUAUUAGGUGAAUGACUGGAUUUUGAGCAUAAAGUAGGAAAAGAAUGAUAACCCUCUAUUGAAUUAACACGUAAAUCACCUUAAGAUAGUUUGAAAUUGGUUUAGCUAUUAUAGGGAGUAUUGAGAUAAGUGGAGGCUCCGUGCAUGAAAUUUUAUUGUGUGGAUUGCCUAGACCAGUGAGGUGAAGUUUAGGUGAAAAUAUUAAAUUGGGGGUUGGUUUUGGAAACUAAAUAUCUAGAACAAUAACGGCGUAAAAUUAAUUUGUGAGAAUAAGACACUUCUUUUCAUGCCUUUAUGACUUGAGCAAGUAAGCCUGUAAGGAUAUUUCAAAAUCUGGUCCCCUAAGUUAACUGACCUAGGAGUCACCAGCCUAAAACUCGCUAAACGGGUCAUAUAGAAAGCAAGAGGGAAAAAAGUUAAUAAAAAGUCAUCUAAACAAGCCUUUAUAACUCGAGUGAAUAAGCCUGUAAGGGUUUAAAACUUGGUGCCCUAAAGCUAACUGGUUUGGGAGUCACCGGCCUAAAGCUCGUUACAUGGGUUAUAUAGAAAGCAAAUGAGAAGAUGAUAAUAAAAAAUUAAAAAAAAAUGGAAAGUGAGAAAAACAAAAGAGAGACAAUAACAUGAAGAAAAAGCCCUUAGACAUUUGGUUGAGGAAACUAUACCUUCGAGGCGAGGCAAGUAAUCUAUUUUAAUCUUGAUUUUCAAAGCAAUCAAAUUUGGGAGAGCCUUCACUUGUUGACAUGUAAACUUGUGAUAGUGAGAUUAAUCCAAACUACGAGAGGGUAAAGAUUACAUCUAUGUAAACUCCUAAUUUUAAAACACAACCCCGGAAUAAUUGAGUGAAAGGAAUAAGUUUGGGGAGUUGUGUAUCUCCCGAGCGAGUAAGGAUACAUUUGACCACUAGGGGUCGGGACUCAACCCAUCAUGAAUUUGAUAUGUUGGCAUGAAUUCACACACUCACAUCAAGUAUACAUUUAACAUGUAAAGGUUGAUGUCAUUUUUGCAUUGAUAAAUUUUCAUAAAGUCAAAUACUUAGUCAAAUCCUGAGUCACGAUAGGGUAUUAAGUCAUGUUUGUUCAGAAUUAAGUCACCAUCUUGUUUGAGAACAAAUAAUAGUUCAAGUUUGGGGGGUUUGAUAAGUGUGUUUUUGCACACUUAUUUAGAUCACAAACAUGACUUAAUUACAAGCAAAAUGUUUGAAUUGUAACUUAAUCUCGUUGAAUUCAUGUAAUGUAGGUAUUUCUAUGGAAAUGGUGGAAUUCAGGAGAAAAGAGCCGAAAAAGGACUAAAAUGGAGUAAAGUGAUAGUUCAGGGACUAAGGAUGCAAAUAUUCAAAAGUUGAGCUAAAACGCAACCCGGGAAUGCAAAUAGGUUAAGAAUGAACUCGAAAGCGAUACAAGAUGAUUGGAAUAAGAAGGAAAGGGACUAAAAUAAAGAAAAAUGAAAGUUCAAGGACCAAAAUAGACAUUUUGCAUAGUUGGCAGCACUGUGCGACUGCAUAGUGCUACCCUCUACGUGGUCGCAUAGAGGCUUCCCAAGAAUUUUUUCUCAAAUUUUUUUUACUCUAUGCGACCAUUUAGAAAUGUACAAUGCGGUCGCAUAGAAGAAGUUCUGGGGCCGAUUCUGCAUUUUCCUUAUACGAUUGAAACUCUUUUGGUAACCUAAUUUUCACGCGAUAUAAAUACCAAAAGACAUCCGGAAAGAAGCAGAAUGUAUUGAAGGCAGAAAAACACUUCUUGGAGAGGAUUUUGAGCACAAGAACGAAGAUUUACACAAAGAGCUUCAAGAUUUCUCAAGAUUUCAUAACCCGGUGAUGCCUUUUAUCCAAAAUCUGAUGUAUUCUUUUAUUUUAACCAUUUUAGGCUAGAUUUUCAUGUGCUAGGUGAUCGAUGUUUCAUGUAAUUUGAUCUUUAAUUUUCUAUUUUUGCGAUUUGAUAUUAAAACAUAUUUAUAUUAUUUUGAAUGAUUUAUAUGCAAUUAUUGUUUCCACAAUUAAGGGCCCGUAAUUGUGUGAGUUUGGGUGAUUUAUUCUUGCAUUCGAGAGAAUUGAAAUAUGUUCGAUAUAAUAUAAAUCAUCAUAGGGUCCGAUAGGGAAUAAAAAUAUACCGCUAUGCCCUGUGUGAAUCUUUAAGUGUUCAUAAAACCGCAUGCAUUUUUACAUAUGCACUUGUCAUAUAAAUAUAGGCCAGUGGUAUAUAGAAAUAGGUUCGAUACAUCUCGAGAGAGAGUAUUGGAUAGACAUAGGAACAUUGAUUCGUCACAAUUAAAGUGUGUUGUCACAUUGUGAAACUAUGGUUUUAAAGUGAUAAUUGCAUGGAAAAUCGUGAUCCUAGCGUGUUUAAUUUCUAUUGAUUACAACAAACGUACAUUAUCAAUAUUUGAUUUCAUUUUAGAGUGUUAAAAAUAUUGUUUUGCAUAUUUAAUUUAAUUCAAUCAUAAAAAUUGCAUAAUUAGGGUUAUUUCUUUCUAAAAUUAGGGUUUUAAUUAGUUUCACAUUCACUUUAAUAAUUUAGCUUCGGUUAAGACAACGAUAGGUAAAAUUGAACUAAUCAAUCUCUGUCGGACGAUAUUCAGACUCAUUUAAUCCACUUUAUUACUUGUUAACGAACCGUACACUUGCGGUAGUUUUAAAUAGAAAGAAAUAAUUUCGUGAACAUUGCCUAAAUUUUCUUUGCUCAUGUUUUAUACCCAAUAUUGAGCAAGACCAAGCUAAACAAUAGGUAUGUUUUUCUUUCUAAUGAGUGACAUUGCACUACUUUGACAGGGCUGUUUUUCUUGGGAAGCAAUGUGCAAUAUGCUGAAGCCCAAAAGAAAGUUCGCCCAAAAAAUUGCCUCAAAAUUGGGUACAUGACUUGCCCAAAAUCUGGUUCAAGGAGGCUUCAUCCAGGCUGCACAAACUGUUGCAAAAUCAAGAAGGGUUGCAAACUUUAUCGACCUAAUGGAAGCCUUAUUUGUACUGGAAAGUAAUUUGGAUAUGAGAUAAAUCUUGAAUAAACUAUCAUAUGUUUGUACUACAAACAUGCAAAAUAAAUAAAUGAAUCUGCUAUGUUUAUGUGAAAUGAAAUACAAGAUUCAGGUUUAAUUAUAUUGUUGGAUGUUGUUUCUAUGAAAUUAUCUUUUACAUAAUUACUUCUCUAAAUUUAUUGGGUGAGACUUAGAUGUUGUAUACUCUUAUAUUGAUCUACGAUAGCAAAGAGUUGCUGUGGAAACAGUAUAUACCAUAAAAUAAAUGGGGACACUAUAAAAAUUGAGUCGGAAUAAGAGAUUAUGCACCUAUAGAUCUCUUGAAGAUAAAAUUUCCCCUGGCACAUAGAGGUAUGGAGAAUAUACAUUGUAGAAAAGAGAAUAAACAUCCAAAACAGUAACGAAAAAAUUACAAAAUGAUUUAUUUAUUUAUUUAUUUUUUUAAGUUGCAAAAUGAUAAGAAGCUAAUAACUGUAACUAUAACGGAUAAAAAAAAUUAUUGUAAGAUGCAAAAUAGUAAUUAAUAUCAAAAACUGUUUUACUUGAUAUCUUAUUUUAUUCGUCAAACAAAAUUCGUUAAUAUAAUUAAGCAUUUCCAUUUAUCUAUUCACAAUGUCUGGAAAAAAUCAAAGUAAUAGAGAUUUUUCUAUAUUUUUCAAUACAUAAAUAAAUUACUAAAAUUGUUUUUGUUCAUUGAAAAACUGGAGCUCAAGGAGAAUGGAGAUAAUAAAUUGUAUAUAUCUCACAAAAAAGAAGACCAUAUUAUGAAGAAAAUUUAUUUAAAUAAUAUAUUACGGCUUCUAAUAAAUUAAAUUUAAUAAUAAUAUAUAUAAUAGUUAAAACAGACAUGAUGUAAAAAUAAGUAAUAUAUAGUGUGAUCAUUUUGAACAAGGGUGCGUUCAGCUGUUUAUGAUGACAAAUUUGUUGACUUUUCUAUUCCUUUUCAAUGAUAAUGGUUUCUUUUGUUACAAAAAGUAGAAAGUGUUACGAUAUUAAAGUGUGAAUACACGACAAACACAUGGUAUUUAUAAAGCGGUGUGCUAAAAAUAAUUUGUCAGCCGUUUCUAUGUAUAUGUGAUCAUUUGAAGCUCUCCAUGGAGAAUUGCGAAGUUUAUUCCUAAAAGGGUUGGUGAGAGAAAAGGAAAUAAACACUACAAUUUGUUGACCAAUGUAAAAAUAAUAAUAAAAAUAAGUUCCACGAACUCCAUUGUAGAAAAGAUAAGUAUUGCGACUUUUGUACAAUCAGUAAAUCUAUCAAUUGUUGAACAAGUUAUAUGGAGGCACAAAAAAUGAGUCCUAAGUUCAAAUUCCCACUAUUAUAUCAUAAAUAAAUAAACAAAGUAUUAUAUUCCUUAAACCAAUCAAGUAUAAUUAAAUCCGCAAUAUCAAUACGCAAUAGUAAUUUAAUUUUUUCUUGUACAAGUUCGAGAAAAUAUAGCAAGUUGUAGACAGACUUGCGCUCUCCUACUUUUUUUUUUUAACAUUGAAGUACAACUUGGUGUUGGACUAAUGAGUUACAGAUCAAGAGUGCAAGUUUCCCAACUAUUUACUAGUAUGAGAAAUUAAUUUGUUUGAACAAUUCAUACACUGGAGUAUUAUCAUUUUUUAUCGUCUUAUGGUCUAAAUUUUAGCUAGGGUUUCUCAUUUAUUCAUGAUAUAAGAAUAAAUUGAAGAUCAAAUCUAAGUCCUCUUUGAUUUAGGAUCCAACAAGCAUUUUGUUACGUUACUUAAAAUUAGGAGUUCAUGUUUCCAGAUUUUGUUAAUUUCUUGAUUUUAAAAAAGUUUGCUUCCAUAAUUGAUAUUCUAAAAAUUUAUUUAACUAAAGCAUCUCCACCGCUAAAAUGGUUGUCACAUAAACUAAAAUCGAUAAUUUCUACAAAAGUACAUCUCUAAUAUAGAAUAUCAAGAACUAUGUCUAGCUGACGUAACAAUAGAAGUAGAUAGGUGCAUACGGUCACCACAAUUUAAUAUUUCUAUGUCUUUAUUUCUCUCUACUUUUUCCUAUUUUUCUGUCAUUAUUUUAUUUUCUCUCCUAUGAUAUAUACUUUAGUGAUGAAAUUUGAUUAUGGAAAAAAAUCAUUAAAGAUGAAAUUUGCACGAGGUCAUCUAUUCAUUAGAUCUUAAUGUCCCAUAUAUGGAAAACCAUUCUAUGUCACCCUAAUGACAAUCCAUGAAUAAAUUAGAGAACCUCUAAGAUUCCUUACUGUUCGCAAAAAUUACUGAAUUAGCAUUUUCAAUCUAUUGCAAUCUUCUGGAGGCAAGUAUAAGUGGACUGUAAAUGCUUCAAGGAUUGCGCACUCAAGUGUCUGCUAAAUUUUUUAUAGAAUUCUUUCUGGAGCAUUUCUUUUGUUCCUUGUUUUCUUGUCAUAUCUCUUCAAUCAUGAAUUGAACAUAAAGUAUGCAAAAAAUAUGCACCCUCAAUAACUAUACUAUCAAGAUGACUUUCGAAUUCUGAUGUUCGUUGCCAUAAAUAAGCGUAAAUUACACUUAUCACCAAACUCUCAAUAUAUUCUACUUAUUCUCAAGUUUUUGUUAAAUAUUCCUUAAUAACCGAAUGUGAGUCAAUUCAUAAUUAAAACGUUAAAAGGGUGACUUUAAUCCAUGUAUUUUACUUAAUUAAUUCACUUUAUCAAAAUAAUAAUAAUAAUAAUAAUAAUAAUAAUAAUUCCUUUUCCUACACUUGAUUAGGUAUAUCACGUGAACUUUAAUAAUCUUUAAUGUUGUGAAUUAACAUGUAUUUGUAAGUUUGAAUUGGUUUUUGCUUACGGACCAUGCGUGGACUUUCUCUUUACAUAUAAAAAAGUCAUCACCUAAUAAUACUACUUUUACCCUAUAAACAACUAAAAAUAAUAUGUACUAUGUUGGGUUUUUGACCCAAAUUAGAGUGGAUUUUUUUUGAAAAUAAAUUAUUUCCUUAUUUUUAUAUGGGAAAAUUUGUUUCCUUGUAUUUCACGUGAGUUUUAUGGAAAUAUAUUAUUUCCUUAUUCCACAUUAUUUCGAUCUUUAUGCUAUGCCAUGUACUUAUAAAUAGUAGUAUCCUCUUUUAGUUUAGUAGAAGCCAAAUUGCUUGGUCGUUGUAUUGUCUCCAUAUUGUCAAUUAAUAAUACAUCUUGCCUCUGCGUUAAUUCUUCCUUUUUUUCCUUUACUUUAUACCUUGAUAUAUAUUUUUAUAUUGUUGCAAUCCAUAUUAACUUCAUAUCGCAUCAUUAACUUCAUUCUUUACAACCCGUCGAUCCCAACAAGUGGUAUCAGAGUUGGGGUCUUCUGUGGAUUGGUUGAAGUUUUUCAGAGAUGGUUGCCAUGAAGUUUGAUAUUUCCCUGCUCGAUUGCAAUACAAGAUUUUUGUCGUGGCAAGUAAAGAUGAGGGUUAUUUUGGUGCAGUUAGAUUUGGACGAUGUGUUGCUGGGUUUUGAGAAGAGCCAGCUAAUUGGACAACGGAGGAGAAACAACGAAAGGAUCAGAAGGCUUUUUCAUUGAUUCAUCUUCAUCUAUCCAACAAUAUUAUGCAUGAUGUCUUAAAAGAGAAAACGACUGCUACUUUAUGGUUGAAACUAGAGCAGUUGUGCAUGACAAAGAGUCUUACUAGCAAACUGGCUCUAAAGCAAAAGUUGUAUUCCCAACACAUGGCAGAAGGAAGGUCGUUGGAAGACCAUAUUGCCCUGUUCAAGGAAAUUAUCGCAGAUUUGGAGAUGUUGGAGGUUAAAUAUGAUGAAGAGGAUCUGGCCUUGAUCCUAUUAUGUUUGCUACCGGACUCUUAUGCAUGGUUUCAGGACACCACAUUGUACAGUCGGGAUACAUUGACGAUAGACGAUGUCUAUAAUCAUUGCACUCAAAGGAGAAGUUGAAGCAUUUGAUUGGUGAUACAUCAAGUGAUGGGAAAGCUCUUGUAUCUCAUGGUGGUCGAUGGAGGGGCAGAUUUAGGGAGAGAAGCAAUGUGUAUUGCUUCUACUGCAGAUGGAGAGGACACUUGAAGAAUGAUUGUGAGAAGUUGUAGGCUAAAGGCGAUUUAGCUGCAAAACAUAGGGGGUAAUCAUGGAAUUUCGGACGAGACUAAUGUGACCGAGGAUUUUUUAGAUGGCGGAGAUGUGAUGUUGACUGUGGUUUCUGACGUGGAAUCUAAGCCUGACGAGGAAUGGAUUCUUGAUUCGGCAUGUUCGCACCAUAUGUGUUUCAAUAGGAAUUUAUUUCAAACAUAUGAGGUUGUUCAGUAAGGUGAAGUUGUAAUGGGGAACAACAAGUCUUGCCCUAUUGCUGGAAUCGGUCGAGUUAGAUUGUGGUUGCCGGAUGGGAUGGUUAGAACACUUGGCCAAGUUCGAAAUGUUCCAGACCUAAAGAGAAAUCUCAUCUCGCUAAGUACCUUGGAUGCAAAAGGUAUAAAUUCUUUGGUGGAGGUGGAGUCUUGAAGGUUCGAAGAGGUGUCCAGGUUAUAAUGGAGGAACGGAAGAGAUCCCAGUUGUACAUAUUGCAGGGAAGCACAAAACUAGUUUUGAGACAUUAGGACAAGUUCAGUACCAUGGUGGAUAUACAGAUUGGUGCAGUAACUCUUGUGAUCGGCUCUAGAUCAGUUCAGAAUACUGCUAAGGAGAGCGUUGGUGAUUUCGCUUUGCUACCAAUUUCAGCGGAUGCACUGUGUUCAAAUGUCAGGGGUGGACUCAUGGAGCAUAGGUACGGUGGUGUUAUUGAUAUCUAUGAUGCUUUUGGGAUCGUUGAAGGUGACAGUUCUGACAAAGGGUCUUCUGAUCAAGCACUUGGUUUGGUGUCUGCUACAGGGUGUGCUUUGACCUUGUUUGGCCAACAGUAAUUCCUUGGUAGAAUUUUGGGAACUCGGAUUUGGGUUUAGGUGUCGCUUGUAGAUGCCUUGCAGAGGAAGAUGGUUUAGUUAGGAGAGUUUUGAUUACUAUGUUGAGGAGAUUGGCUAUUUCGAUGCAAAUGGAUUUGAAAUCUUGGAAUUUCGUUCGUUGCACCGAAAUUUGGGUCACGGUGGAGAUUGUUGGGUUUUUUACCCAAAUUAGAGUGGAUUUUUUUUUGGAAAUAAAUUAUUUCCUUAUUUUUAUAUGGGAAAAUUCGUUUUCUUAUAUUUCACGUGAGUUUUAUGAAAAUAUAUUAUUUCCUUAUUCCACAUUAUUUCUAUUUUUAUGCUAUGACAUGUACCUAUAAAUAGUGGUAUCCUCUUUCAGUUUAGUAGAAGCCAAAUUGCUGUGUCAUUGUAUUGUCUCCACAUUGUUAAUUAAUAAUACAUCUUGCCUCUGCGUUUAACUCUCUUUUCUUCUUUACUUUAAACCUUGAAAUACAUUAUUAUAUUGUUGCAAUCCAUAUUAACUUCUUAUCGCGUCAUUAACUACAUUCUUUACAACCCCUCUGUCCCAACAUACUAAGCAUAAUUCAGGAAGCAUGGCUAAUAUCAAAGUUAGCAUCCUUACUCUCCUCCUAAUCUGCGGUAUGGUUACUGAUCUGUGCACUUUUUUGUAACUUAUAUUGGCUGAAUUUUGACACUUCUAUGAUGGCCAAGUAUUUUAUCAUUGUGAAACAAUAUUGCAAAAAUACUGUAAUUUAGAUCUUAUGAUAUUAGUUAAGCAGUCAUCUGCUGCCCAUUGGUUAAUAUUGUGUGUUUUGAUAAAGAGAAGCAUUGAAGAAGUUGCUUGUGCAUAUAAAGUAUUAAGGUUUUAGAUAAAUUUGUACAUGCAUGCAGUUGAAUUUAUUGAUCAUUUUCUUUCUAGACAUUUUUCCUUCAUUAUUAAGUUUUUCCACGGCUAAAUUAAUCUUUUCUUCAUAUGUUUGUGGGAUCUAUAGCGAUGUUGCAAUACUAUAAGUUAUGCCAUCAUGUUGUAGCGUGACAUAUACAUGAUUUUAUCUUAACUGCGUAUUGAAUUUUCUCGAAAUUUUCUUUGAUCAUACUUUAUACGCAAUACUAGACAAGACUGAGCUAAACAAUAGGUUUGAUUUCAAUAUUAUGUUUUCUUUCUAUGGCAGGAUUGUUUUUCUUGGGAAGCAAAGUGCAAUAUGCUGAAGCCCAAAGGAAAUUUUGCCCACAAGUUCGCCUCAAAGUUGGCUACAUGACUUGCCCAAAGUCUGGUCCUAAGAGGUUUCAUCCAGGUUGUACAAAUUGUUGCAAAGUAAAGCGAGGCUGCAAACUUUACAGAUCUAAUGGAAGCCUAAUUUGUACUGGAAAGUAAUUGGAUAUGAGAUAAAUUUUAAAUAAACUGUCGUGUGCUUAUGCUAUAAACAGGCAAAGUAAAUAAAUGAAUCUCUUAUGUUUCUGAGAAAUAAAUACAAGAUUCAGGUUUAAUUGUAUUGAUGGACGUU